rnacentral:lncRNA from 1 species
AUCUUCAGAGCUUGCUCAUCUUGAACCUGUCACAGAAUGCAUUGCAAACUCCAAAUUGGUCCCAUUUCUCUCCCAUGCCUUUCUUGCGCAUCCUCAACCUCAGUUACAAUCCUCUUGCGUCGAAAUUCCCAGAUUUUAUAUCCAGUUCUCAUAGCCUGACUCACCUUAGCCUUAAUUAUAACGAGUUUACUGGUGAUUUAGUACGUGAAUCAGUAUUUGCCGAUCUGCAUAAUCUUGAAAAGCUCAGUCUUGUUGGCAAUUCUUUCGAGGGGCCAUUUCCGCCGGAUAUAUUCAGGCUUUCCAAAUUAAAACAUCUUAGCAUGUCAGAUAACAAACUUUCAGGUUCAAUUCCCAAUGACAUAAGGUUGCUUUGUGAUCUUGAAUACCUAUAUUUAGCCAACAAUUCCUUUGAAGGACCGCUUCCACCAAAUAUAUUCAAGUUUUCAAAAUUAAAACAUCUUGUUCUUUGGGGUAAUAAGUUUUCUGGUUCUGUUUCCAAUGAUAUAGGUUUGCUUUCUGAGCUUGAAACUCUCGAUCUUAGCUCUAAUUUUUUUGAGGGGCCGCUUCCGCCAAAUGUAUUCAAGCUCUCCAAACUAAAAGUUCUCACCCUGUCAAUUAACAAAUUUUUAGGUUCAAUUCCCAAUGACAUAAGGUUACUUUGUGAUCUUGAAUACCUAUAUUUAGGCAACAAUUCCUUUGAAGGACCGCUUCCACCAGGUAUAUUCAAGCUUUCAAAAUUAAAACAUCUUUUUCUUUGGGGUAAUAAGUUUUCAGGUUCUGUUUUCAAUGAUAUAUGUUUGCUUUCUGAGCUUGAAACCCUCGAUCUUAACUCUAAUUUUUUUGAGGGGCCGCUUCCGCCAAAUGUAUUCAAGCUCUCCAAACUAAAGAUUCUUUCCCUUUAUGUGAACAACUUUUCAGGUUUUAUUUCUAAGGAUAUAGGUUGGCUUUUUGAACUUGAAACCCUCUAUCUUGGCUCUAAUUUUUUUGAGGGGCCGCUUCCCCCACAUGUAUUUAGGCUCUCCAAAUUAAGAGAUUUGGACCUCUCAGACAAUAGAAAUUUAUUUGAAGGAAGUAUUCCUAUUGGACUGGGACUCUUGACUAACCUCAGGUACUUAGAUCUACAUUUCAGUAAUCUCAGUGGCUAUAUUCCAUCUGACAUUGGAAACCUGAAGCUACUAGUACUUCUUGAUCUCAGUUCUAAUAAAUUGACUGGACCGCUUUCAAAGAUCAUUUCUAAUCUCACAAAUCUUAUAUUUCUUGAUGUAAGUGAUAAUAGUCUUAGUGGAAAUAUUCAGAGUGACUUGUGGAAAUAUAACGAUCAUCCAACUUUGGAAUACAUCGAUUUAAGUGGGAACCAUUUUACGGGUAUAGUUUUUCUCUAUAGAUCUUUUCUUUUUCUCAUAUGUAACUAAGCUAGUAAUCUGAUUAUUGCAGUUUCACCAAAGUUUCAACAAUCUUGACAGGUGAGCUUCCAACAACAAUUUGCAAUGUCACUUCCCUUUUGGUUCUUGAUUUGUCAAAUAAUGAAUUAAGUGGUGCACUUCCAAACUGUUUCGGGAAUCUUGCUGAUAGAUUGCUUUUCAUUAAUCUUGCUAAUAAUCAGUUUCGAGGAACAAUACCAACUACUUUCUCCAGGAGUUGUCAGCUGACAUAUCUAAACAUGGAUAAUAAUGAGUUUGAAGGAUUGUUGCGCCCAUCUUUGGCGAACUGUAAGCACUUGAAAAUUCUUGAUAUUGGCAAUAAUAAAAUAGGUGGUACAUUUCCGUCAUGGCUUUAUGCACUUGGAGAGCUAGAAGUCCUUGUCUUGCGAUCAAAUAAACUCUAUGGUACAAUAAGUGGGAGGAGCAUAGAAAAUCCCUUCCCCAAGUUGCGGAUUGUGGAUCUGUCCAACAAUCAAUUCACUGGCCAUUUGCCAAUUCAAUACUUUAAGAAUAUGAAAUCAACUGAUAAUUUGUAUAGUUAUCAGAAUGACACAGGAGUUUUUUCUUUCCAUUAUGAAGCAUCUGUAUCAUUAACUGUGAAGGGAACAGAGUAUGAAGUGAAAAAUAUCCUUCAUAUUUACACAACCAUUGAUCUGUCCUGCAACAAGUUUCAAGGAGAAAUUCCUGACGUUAUUGGAGAGCUUAGAUGGCUUGCAUUGCUGAACUUAUCUCAUAAUAGUCUAACAGGACAUAUCCCAUCAUUGCUGAGAAAUAUGAAAGGACUCCAAUCUUUAGAUUUGUCUUCAAAUCAACUGACAGGGGCUAUUCCACCUCAGUUAACUGCAUUGACAUUUCUAGAGGUCUUGAACCUCUCGGGAAACCAUCUUAGUGGAGAGAUUCCUCAGAAAGGACAGUUCAGCACAUUCAACAAUGAUUCUUAUCUAGGAAACUCCGCGUUAUGUGGAUCACCUUUGACAAAGAAAUGUGUAAACACAGCAUCACCUCCACAGGAAGUCGGAAAUGGUGAUGAAGAUGAUGCUGGCGAUGAAUGGACAUGGGAAGCAAUCGUGAUGGGAUAUGGAUGUGGACUGAUAUGUGGAUUGUCGUCUGCGUACAUUGUUCUCAGACUAGGAAGGCCUUGGUGGUUUGUGAGAUAUAUCGAAGUACUGCAACUGAAGUUGAUGAAAAGAUAUGCAUGAAGAAAGGUACUGGUAGAUCAAGAUGAACUUGAAAGUUAUUUUCGUGGAUGACAUUUGUGAACCAGUACUGUACUAGCUGCUUAAGUAUUUGGUAUUAUGUAAUAAUCCGUUUGGUCGGGACUCAUAAUGAUAUUUCUUGCUUCAGGGGUAUUAAUAUAAACCUUGGUAUUGUGUACUAGCUGUCUGUUUGGUCGUGACUCAUAAUCUUUCAUGUAUUAACAUAAGGUUUUAAUACAUCCCGUACCAGGUUAGCCAUCUUCAGAUAUUACACAUCUUACUGCUGUCGCAUAAUGAAUUGCAAUCUCCAAAUUGGUCCAACUUCUCUUCCAUGCCCUUUUUGCGCAUCCUCGGCCUUGGCAGCAAUAAUCUGGUGUCAAAAUUCCCAGAAUUUAUAUCUGACUCUCAUAGCCUCACUUUCCUUGACCUUUCUUUUAACAAGUUUACAGGUGAUCUUGUGCUUGAAUCAAUUUUUACCGAUCUACAUAAUCUUGAAAACCUCCAUCUUGCUGGAAAUUCCUUUGAGGGGCCGAUUCCACCUAGAGUAUUUAAGCUUUCCAAUUUAAAAGUUCUUGAACUCACGGGUAAUAACUUUUCUCGUUCUAUUUCCAACGAUAUAGGUUUGCUUUCUGAACUUGAGACCCUCUAUCUUGACUUCAAUUUUUUUGAUGGACCAAUUCCCCCAAAUAUAUUCAACCUUUCCCAAUUAAAAAUUCUUGAACUAACAGAAAAUAACUUUUCUGGUCCUGUUUCCAAUGAUAUAAGUUUGCUUUCUGAGCUUGAAAACCUCAAUCUUGCCUUAAAUUCUUCUGAUGGGCCUUUUCCAUCAAAGAUAUUCAACCUAACCAAAUUGAGACAUCUAAAUCUCUAUGGCAAUAAGAAUUUAUUUAAAGGAAGUAUCCCACUGGAUAUCAGAAACCUGAAGCUCCUGGAAUCUAUUAAUCUCGGUUCUAAUCAAUUGGUUGGACCACUUUCAAUGCUCAUUUCUAAUCUCACUAAUCUUAAGAUGGUUGGGCUAAGCGAUAAUAGGUUUUUUGGCAAAAUUCCUAGUGACUUCUUGAAAAACUUGCCAUCCUUACACGUCAUUGAUCUUUCAAAUAAUAAUUUGUCCGGAAAUAUUCCCAGGGAGUAUAACGUGCAUCCAAUUUUAGAAUACAUCAAUUUAAGUGGAAACCAUCUUACAGGUUUACUUCUCCCUCAAUAUAUUUUAUUUUCCUUUUGUAUGUUACAUUGAUUACACUUUUACCGAAGCUCAAACAAUUUUAACAGGUGAGAUCCCAGCAACAAUUUGCAAUGCUACAAACCUUUAUAUUCUGGUUCUGUCAGAUAAUGGAUUAAGUGGUGCCCUUCCGCAUUGUUUGGGAAAUCUUGCAGAUAAAAUGCAUUGCAUUGAUCUCGCUAAUAAUCAGUUCCGAGGACCAAUACCAACAACCUUCUCAGAGAGUUGCCAGUUAAGAUAUCUAAACAUGUAUGACAAUCAGUUAGAAGGACUUUUGCCCCGAUCUUUGUCAAACUGUAAGCACUUGAAAAUUCUUGACAUCGGGAACAACAAAAUGGGCGGUACAUUUCCUUCAUGGCUAUUCACUCUCAGAGAGCUAGAAGUCCUAGUCUUGCAAUCAAAUAAACUGUAUGGUCCAGUAAGUGGAAGGAGCACACAUCACAUCCAUUCCCCAAGUUGCGGAUUCUAGAUCUCUCCAACAACCAAUUCACGGGCUAUUUGCCAAUUCAAUACUCUUUAAGAAUAUGAAACCAGCUGCUGAUAACAUUUGUCUUAGGAUGACACAUGUUCUAAACUAUGACAAUAGUAUGCAAUCUCGUUUAAUACUUUCAUAUUAUGAACUAGUUCUGUUGAAUAAAUAAAUAUUAUUAAUUAAUCAAUCAUGUGCGCUCGAGUUUCCCUGGCCAGAUGCCCAGAUUAUUAGAGCAUCUCCAGCAGAGUCUUAACCGGUUCUCUAAAUAUAUAAUAAAAUAUGUAUCUUUUAAGGGAUUACUACAUUUUAGUGAAUGAGAACUCCAACAACAUUCCCUAUUUACAUUCUCUAUUAUUAUUAUAAUAUUAUAUUCAACUUGUAAUAAGAGAGAGAAAGUUUGGAAAGAGUAAAAGUGAGAAAAAAUAAGUGAAUAUUUUAUUCUUCAGAAUAAUAUAAGGAAAGAAAAUGCCAAAACAAUUAACUAUAAUCUACGCAAUAAUUUUUUAUAUUGAUUAGACGUUAUCUUUAUCAAUAUUUAGUCAGAUAUUCGGAUAUAUAUCAUUCCCUUUGUUUUUAUACCAUCUUUUUUUUGACUUUCGGGCCAAAUCACUACGUGGGUUGACUGGAUAGUAGAAAUUAAUAUUUUUGUCUGUUUUUUAAAAUAAAAAUCUGUAUUUUUAUUUUGAUUUCGAAGAAUAUAAUCCAUAAGGUAAAUAAUUUUUAANNNNNNNNNNNNNNNNNNNNNNNNNNNNNNNNNNNNNNNNNNNNNNNNNNNNNNNNNNNNNNNNNNNNNNNNNNNNNNNNNNNNNNNNNNNNNNNNNNNNNNNNNNNNNNNNNNNNNNNNNNNNNNNNNNNNNNNNNNNNNNNNNNNNNNNNNNNNNNNNNNNNNNNNNNNNNNNNNNNNNNNNNNNNNNNNNNNNNNNNNNNNNNNNNNNNNNNNNNNNNNNNNNNNNNNNNNNNNNNNNNNNNNNNNNNNNNNNNNNNNNNNNNNNNNNNNNNNNNNNNNNNNNNNNNNNNNNNNNNNNNNNNNNNNNNNNNNNNNNNNNNNNNNNNNNNNNNNNNNNNNNNNNNNNNNNNNNNNNNNNNNNNNNNNNNNNNNNNNNNNNNNNNNNNNNNNNNNNNNNNNNNNNNNNNNNNNNNNNNNNNNNNNNNNNNNNNNNNNNNNNNNNNNNNNNNNNNNNNNNNNNNNNNNNNNNNNNNNNNNNNNNNNNNNNNNNNNNNNNNNNNNNNNNNNNNNNNNNNNNNNNNNNNNNNNNNNNNNNNNNNNNNNNNNNNNNNNNNNNNNNNNNNNNNNNNNNNNNNNNNNNNNNNNNNNNNNNNNNNNNNNNNNNNNNNNNNNNNNNNNNNNNNNNNNNNNNNNNNNNNNNNNNNNNNNNNNNNNNNNNNNNNNNNNNNNNNNNNNNNNNNNNNNNNNNNNNNNNNNNNNNNNNNNNNNNNNNNNNNNNNNNNNNNNNNNNNNNNNNNNNNNNNNNNNNNNNNNNNNNNNNNNNNNNNNNNNNNNNNNNNNNNNNNNNNNNNNNNNNNNNNNNNNNNNNNNNNNNNNNNNNNNNNNNNNNNNNNNNNNNNNNNNNNNNNNNNNNNNNNNNNNNNNNNNNNNNNNNNNNNNNNNNNNNNNNNNNNNNNNNNNNNNNNNNNNNNNNNNNNNNNNNNNNNNNNNNNNNNNNNNNNNNNNNNNNNNNNNNNNNNNNNNNNNNNNNNNNNNNNNNNNNNNNNNNNNNNNNNNNNNNNNNNNNNNNNNNNNNNNNNNNNNNNNNNNNNNNNNNNNNNNNNNNNNNNNNNNNNNNNNNNNNNNNNNNNNNNNNNNNNNNNNNNNNNNNNNNNNNNNNNNNNNNNNNNNNNNNNNNNNNNNNNNNNNNNNNNNNNNNNNNNNNNNNNNNNNNNNNNNNNNNNNNNNNNNNNNNNNNNNNNNNNNNNNNNNNNNNNNNNNNNNNNNNNNNNNNNNNNNNNNNNNNNNNNNNNNNNNNNNNNNNNNNNNNNNNNNNNNNNNNNNNNNNNNNNNNNNNNNNNNNNNNNNNNNNNNNNNNNNNNNNNNNNNNNNNNNNNNNNNNNNNNNNNNNNNNNNNNNNNNNNNNNNNNNNNNNNNNNNNNNNNNNNNNNNNNNNNNNNNNNNNNNNNNNNNNNNNNNNNNNNNNNNNNNNNNNNNNNNNNNNNNNNNNNNNNNNNNNNNNNNNNNNNNNNNNNNNNNNNNNNNNNNNNNNNNNNNNNNNNNNNNNNNNNNNNNNNNNNNNNNNNNNNNNNNNNNNNNNNNNNNNNNNNNNNNNNNNNNNNNNNNNNNNNNNNNNNNNNNNNNNNNNNNNNNNNNNNNNNNNNNNNNNNNNNNNNNNNNNNNNNNNNNNNNNNNNNNNNNNNNNNNNNNNNNNNNNNNNNNNNNNNNNNNNNNNNNNNNNNNNNNNNNNNNNNNNNNNNNNNNNNNNNNNNNNNNNNNNNNNNNNNNNNNNNNNNNNNNNNNNNNNNNNNNNNNNNNNNNNNNNNNNNNNNNNNNNNNNNNNNNNNNNNNNNNNNNNNNNNNNNNNNNNNNNNNNNNNNNNNNNNNNNNNNNNNNNNNNNNNNNNNNNNNNNNNNNNNNNNNNNNNNNNNNNNNNNNNNNNNNNNNNNNNNNNNNNNNNNNNNNNNNNNNNNNNNNNNNNNNNNNNNNNNNNNNNNNNNNNNNNNNNNNNNNNNNNNNNNNNNNNNNNNNNNNNNNNNNNNNNNNNNNNNNNNNNNNNNNNNNNNNNNNNNNNNNNNNNNNNNNNNNNNNNNNNNNNNNNNNNNNNNNNNNNNNNNNNNNNNNNNNNNNNNNNNNNNNNNNNNNNNNNNNNNNNNNNNNNNNNNNNNNNNNNNNNNNNNNNNNNNNNNNNNNNNNNNNNNNNNNNNNNNNNNNNNNNNNNNNNNNNNNNNNNNNNNNNNNNNNNNNNNNNNNNNAUAUACACUUCCAUUUCCACUUUCCAGUAUUAAGUUUAGAAUUAAGAUCUUAACAACAUAGCAAUCAUUUAAACCUCGAAGAAAAUUGUGCACAUUAACAAGACCAAAGAGAAAACAGAUAGCAUAAAAUUGUGUAACACGUAUAAUUUAAAUCCACUUCUCAGUAUACUCCACAUUCAAGGUGAUCUAACUGCUACAAUAUUCUAAUUUUCACAGCUACGACACUGAACAAUAUAAGAACCAGUUUACUGUAAGUUUACUGAACAUAUAUAUACGACAUUGAACAAUAUAAAAUAGCUAUCCUUUGUAAGACCAAAAACAAAGGACACUAGCUAGCUAAUUCAAUAUACAAAACCACUCCAAUCAGUUUAUGAUAAGCAACUACAAACAUACAAAUACAUAUAAACAUACAAAUACAUAUAAACAUACUAUCUCAUUUUCCAAAAACCACAACUACAAACUAUCUCAUUUUCCAAAAACACACACUGAAAUACAUAUAUACAUACACAUACAACCACAAGGAUACCCAAACUCAAGUAAUAAAUAAGAAAUUACCUCCUCCAACUCGAAGAGAGCUUGAAUAGACUUGAACAGAGCUUGAACAGACUCCGAGCUCGAACUCCCUACAAACUCGAACUGAAGUACGAGCACCCACUAAACCCACAAACUCCACACUCGAACUGAACUCUGAGAUCUGUUGAAAAAACGAAUUAAAGAAGCAAAUGAGUAUUGUAAUCGAACAAACAUCAGUUUAUUAGGUACAAAUCAACCUUUAUCGCACAAAUUUAAGGAUGAAAUCGGCCGAAUUGGAACCUAGGGUUCGCUCGCUGAGAAAGGGGGAAGAACGGGGAGAGAGAAUGUAUUUUGUACAAAUGAUUUAAUUUAGGUAGUUUUAUUAGUUUUAUGUCUUUUUCCUUUUAAUUUUAUGUUUAAAGACAGGUGUUGAUGUCUUGUUCAGACAACACAUCAACUAAGCAGCGGGGUUUUAAAGGCGGGGUUUUUUUGUUUGUGAAAAAUUUGGCUAAGUGGGGAAUAGAAGCGGGGAAGCGCGGCCAAUUUUUUAAAAACAUGUUUUAGACAUCGGUUCUACACUAAGAUGAUGUCUAGUUUUUUAAUAGACAUCGGUUUUUAAAAUUUCGAUGUAAAAAAGGGUUUUAACAUCGGUGGUUUUUUUAACCGAUGUCUAAUCUGUGAUGUCUGAUCCUGUUUUUCUAGUAGUGAUCACUGCAACAAAAUAUUAGUUACGACGGAACAAUGUCGCUGGACUUUAUUUGUUUACAUUUUUUUAAUAGUAGUUAAUUUUUAAACUUGCGACGGAAAACAUACGACAGUCUACUUCGCGAGAGAAAAUCAUUUUAUUUUAUUUUUUAGCGCCAGAAUUUUAAUACUAAACUACUAUAGGGCCGUUUGGGCUAGCUUAAAAAAAGUGAUUUUUUACUUACAGUAAAGAAGUGGAUUAAAAGUGAGAAGCAAAUAAGUCAAUAAAAUGUUUGGAAAAGAAGUAGAAGCUGUGAGAGAGAAGUUAGCAUUCUCAGCUUCUUAAAAGUGCUUCUGCUUAUUUACAUAAACGGGUAAAAAAAAAAAAGCAAAAGCCAGAAGCAGCUUCUACUUCUCGAAACAAACAGGGCCAAUAUAUAUGAAGGAAACUGAUCUCUAUUGUUUUCAGCUUGCUCAUCCAUGGUAAGUAAUCCGUCGAAAAAGUUAGUUUGUUGUCGUGGUGUCUUAUCAUGAGAGAAAAUGGUAAUAUCGCAAAAUAUUUGCAACUGAAAGAUAAAUUAUAGUUCUAGAAACCAUUUAGGUAACGAUGCGCGGAGUUAUUUUCACUCACUUAGAAUUAAUGAUAAAUAUUUGCAACUGAAAGAUACAUUAUAGUUCUAGAAAAGGAUCCACGGAAUUAUUUUCACUCACUUAGAAUUAAUCCUAAGUUAUUGUGAGUUUUUGAAUAUGGAUUAUCUCAAAUUUUAUUAAAACACAUAUCGAUUCAUAUAGACAAAUUUGCCUACCUAAUAUUAUAAUAUUUAUGGCGAAGUUGUAUGAACAAUUGUGUAGAUAAUUAUACUUUACAAAGCAUACUUCUGCUAGCUGAAUUUUGAUUAAAAAAUCGAAAGGGAUAGGUCUGGGUCUCUCCAAGUCUUUGAGGACUCAUUCCAAGUCUUCUGAUGAGGACAAAAUAUAUCGCUGGUAGUCUUUCAGUCCUUCCUAGAGUAUUUUAUGCUCUGCACUGCAUUUGUGUUGAUAAUUUGCGCAAUGUUGAUGAGGAUUGCUCCAAGUCUUGGCGGACUCUUUCCAAAUCUUCCGAGGACCUAUCGGUUCAAUUUAGCCCAUUAAAAAUUUUAUUAUCUCAAAGCUAUCUGCAAAAUAAUAUAUAAGGUAAAAAUGAAUAUAUACCAUUGUUUUGUGAUUAAGUUGUAUAGGCAAUAUGCAUUGCAAAAUCAGCAACAGGAUAUAUGAAUACUAAUUAAUUACCUGAUAUCAGUAUGAACAAAUACUUUCUAUGUAGUUGUAAUAUUAGUCUUCUUUAAAAGUUAUCAUGAGGGAAGGUAUAUAUUGUGAUGCGGGAGAAAUAUUGUCACUGAAAAUAAUUAUAAUUCUAAAAUUUCCAUUAUACACUUUUUUUAGUGUUUGUACGUGGUAAGUACUUCAGACGACAUUUCUCGCGUAUGCCUCCGAUUAAGAAUUUGAUGUUCAGCCUAGUCCUAAACUAAAAUUAUUAUAAAUGUGUACUUCAAAAUUAUAUAUAUUGCUGGUAGUCUUUCAGUUCUUCCUGGUGUAUGCAAUUGUUUCAUUCAAUACCAAUUAUUUUAUACUAUGCACUCUGAUAUCAUGUUGAGAACAAUCCAUCAAAAACUUUAAACCUUAAUUAAGGUGUUAGAGGAAAAUACCAAUUAGAUCUUAUGCUAUAUUUCAAUACUUCCAACACUCUGCGAUGCAAAGCAGGGACUCUUGAGUAUUUUCAUAUGUGUAUUAGUUUUGAAGAUAAAAGUUGUAUAGAGAAUUGUGUUGAUAAUUUGCGCAAUUGCGCAAUGAUAACUGGGAUAGGUCAUCUUCUCUCCCAAGUCUUGGAUGGAAUCUUUCCAAGUCUUCUGAGAACCCAUCAGCUCAGAUUAGUCCAUACAAUGUCAAGGGUCCUAUGAUAUGGUCUACUAACAGCCCAGUGUCGGUAAUAAAUCCAAUUGCAUAUAACCUAUUCAAAAUCAAUCCCCUAUAAACAAUCAUCUCUAAAAACUAUUCACAUAAAAUAAAAUUUUAAAAAUAUAAAAUAUCUAGUUGUUUUCAAUAUAUAAUUUUCCACAGUAGAUAACANNNNNNNNNNNNNNNNNNNNNNNNNNNNNNNNNNNNNNNNNNNNNNNNNNNNNNNNNNNNNNNNNNNNNNNNNNNNNNNNNNNNNNNNNNNNNNNNNNNNNNNNNNNNNNNNNNNNNNNNNNNNNNNNNNNNNNNNNNNNNNNNNNNNNNNNNNNNNNNNNNNNNNNNNNNNNNNNNNNNNNNNNNNNNNNNNNNNNNNNNNNNNNNNNNNNNNNNNNNNNNNNNNNNNNNNNNNNNNNNNNNNNNNNNNNNNNNNNNNNNNNNNNNNNNNNNNNNNNNNNNNNNNNNNNNNNNNNNNNNNNNNNNNNNNNNNNNNNNNNNNNNNNNNNNNNNNNNNNNNNNNNNNNNNNNNNNNNNNNNNNNNNNNNNNNNNNNNNNNNNNNNNNNNNNNNNNNNNNNNNNNNNNNNNNNNNNNNNNNNNNNNNNNNNNNNNNNNNNNNNNNNNNNNNNNNNNNNNNNNNNNNNNNNNNNNNNNNNNNNNNNNNNNNNNNNNNNNNNNNNNNNNNNNNNNNNNNNNNNNNNNNNNNNNNNNNNNNNNNNNNNNNNNNNNNNNNNNNNNNNNNNNNNNNNNNNNNNNNNNNNNNNNNNNNNNNNNNNNNNNNNNNNNNNNNNNNNNNNNNNNNNNNNNNNNNNNNNNNNNNNNNNNNNNNNNNNNNNNNNNNNNNNNNNNNNNNNNNNNNNNNNNNNNNNNNNNNNNNNNNNNNNNNNNNNNNNNNNNNNNNNNNNNNNNNNNNNNNNNNNNNNNNNNNNNNNNNNNNNNNNNNNNNNNNNNNNNNNNNNNNNNNNNNNNNNNNNNNNNNNNNNNNNNNNNNNNNNNNNNNNNNNNNNNNNNNNNNNNNNNNNNNNNNNNNNNNNNNNNNNNNNNNNNNNNNNNNNNNNNNNNNNNNNNNNNNNNNNNNNNNNNNNNNNNNNNNNNNNNNNNNNNNNNNNNNNNNNNNNNNNNNNNNNNNNNNNNNNNNNNNNNNUGUAUUAGUUUUGUAAGAUAAAAGUUGUAUGGACAAUUGUGUUGUAUAAUUUGCGCAAUGAUAACUGGGAUAGGUCAUCUUCUCUCCCAAGUCUUGGAUGGAAUCUUUCCAAGUCUUCUGAGAACCCAUCAGCUCAGAUUAGUCCAUACAAUGUCAAGGGUCCUAUGAUAUGGUCUACUAACAGCCCAGUGUCGGUAAUAAAUCCAAUUGCAUAUAACCUAUUCAAAAUCAAUCCCCUAUAAACAAUCAUCUCUAAAAACUAUUCACAUAAAAUAAAAUUUUAAAAAUAUAAAAUAUCUAGUUGUUUUCAAUAUAUAAUUUUCCACAGUAGAUAACAAAAUAUCUUUAUCAAAUUGUUAUUUAUGGGUUCAAUAUUUAAGCUAUAAUUCCAAUAACACGGCAAGCAUGCAGCGUAUAAAUAGAAGUGUGCAGUAUGUUAUCAGAUUCAUAACCCAGUUGAUCAGGAGAAACAUGGCAUACUCUGCAAAGCCUUCUCACCUUCUUCUCUUUGUUUUCUUUCUCUCAUCACUUGAAUCCAUUCUUGCAACAACACGAGAAGGAGAAGCUCUUGUGAAAUGGAAGAAUAGCCUAGCCCCUUCUUCUUUUCUCGAUUCUUGGUCCCUCACCAAUCUCGAAAAUCUUUGUAACUGGACUGGCAUUACUUGUAACUCUGCAGGUUCAGUCUCUGAGAUUAAUCUCUGUGAGAAACAACUUAAUGGAAUGCUGUCCGAGUUUGGUUUCACUUCAUUUCCAAAUCUCAACUAUCUCACACUCGCAGACAACUUCUUCUCCGGUCCAAUACCACCAGCCAUUGAGAAUUUAACACAGCUUCAAUAUCUUGAUUUGAGAAAUAAUUAUCUAGAUGGUCCCAUUCCGUUCCAGGUUAGCCAUCUUCAGAGCUUGCUCAUAUUAAACCUGUCACAGAAUGCAUUGCAAGCUACAAAUUGGUCCAAUUUCUCUCCCAUGCCUUUUUUGCGCAUCCUCAACCUCAGUAGCAAUCAUCUUGUAUCGAAAUUCCCAGAAUUUAUAUCCAAUUCUCAUAGCUUGGCUAUCCUUGACCUUUCACAUAACAACUUUACAGGUGAUCUUGUGCGUGAAUUUACCAAUCUACAAAAUCUUGAAACCCUCUGGCUUUAUUGUAAUUCUUUUGAGGGGCCAUUUCCGCCGGAUAUAUUCAGGCUCUCCAAAUUAAAACGUCUCUCCCUGUCAAGUAACAAAUUUUCAGGUUCAGUUCCCAAUGACAUAAGGUUGCUUUGUGAUCUUGAAUCCUUAAACUUAAGCAACAAUUCUUUUGAAGGACCGCUUCCACCAAAUUUAUUCAAGCUUUCGAAAUUAAAGAGUCUUUUUCUUUGGAGUAAUAAGUUUUCAGGUUCUAUUUCCAAUGAUAUAGGUUUGCUUUCUGAGCUUGAAUUUCUCAAUCUUUACGAUAAUUUUUUUGAGGGGCCGCUUCCAUGCAUCAAAUAUAUUCAAGCUCUCCAAAUUAAGGGUUCUUUACCUUAACGGUAAUAAACUUCUAGGUUCUCUUUCCAAUGAUAUAGGUUUGCUUUCUGAGCUUGAAACCCUCAAUCUUCGCUCUAAUUUUUUUGAGGCUCCGUUUCCGUCAAAUAUAUUCAAGCUUUCCAAAUUAACAAUUCUUGACCUCGCAUACAAUAGAAAUUUAUUUGAAGGAAGUUUUCCUAUUGGACUGGGACUCUUGACUAACCUCAGCUACUUAGAUCUAACUUCCACUAAUCUCAGUGGCUCAUCUGCCAUUGGAAACCUCAAGCUACUACUAUAUCUUGGUCUCAGUUAUAAUCAAUUGACUGGACCGCUUUCAAACAUUGUUUCUAAUCUAACAAAUCUUAUAUUUCUUGGUGUGGAUCAUAAUAGUCUUAGUGGAAAUAUUCCGAGUGACUGGUGGAAAGCCUCUGUAUCCUUACUUUACAUUGAUCUUGGAUAUAAUUAUUUGUCUGGGAACAUUCCUAAGGAAUAUAAAGAUCAUCCAACUUUGGAAUACAUCGAUUUAAGUGGGAACCAUUUUACAGGUAUUUUUUUCUCUAUAUAUCUUUUCCUUUUGUCACAUGUAACUAAGCUAGUAAUCUGAUUAUUGCAGUUUUACCUAAGUUUUAACAAUCUUGACAGGUGAGCUUCCAACAACAAUUUGCAAUGCUACCUCCCUUUCGGUUCUUGCUUUGUCAAAUAAUGGAUUAAGUGGUGCACUUCCAAACUGUAUUGCGAAUCUUGCUGAUGGAUUGCUUUACAUUAAUCUUGCUAAUAAUCAGUUUCGAGGAGCAAUACCAACUACUUCAUCCAAAAGUUGUCAGCUGACCUAUCUCAACAUGGAUAAUAAUGAGUUUGAAGGAUUGCUGCCCCCAUCUUUGGCGAACUGUAAGCACUUGAAGAUUCUUGAUAUUGGCAAUAAUAAAAUAGGUGGUACAUUUCCUUCAUGGCUUUAUGCACUUGGAGAGCUAGAAGUCCUUGUCUUGCGAUCAAAUAAACUCUAUGGUCCAAUAAGUGGGAGGAGCAUAGAAAAUCCCUUCCCCAAGUUGCGGAUUUUGGAUCUGUCCAACAAUCAAUUCUCAGGCCAUUUGCCAAUUCAAUACUUCAAGAAUAUGAAAUCAACUGAUAAAUUGUAUCGCUAUCAGAAUGCCACAACAUUAACGGGUUUCCAAUAUGAUGCAUCAGUCCCAUUAACUGUGAAGGGAACAGAGUAUGAAGUGAAAAAUAUCCUUCAUAUUUACACAGCCAUUGAUCUGUCCUGCAACAAGUUUCAAGGAGAAAUUCCUGACGUUAUUGGAGAGCUUAGAUGGCUUGCAUUGCUGAACUUAUCUCAUAAUAGUCUAACAGGACCUAUCCCAUCAUUGCUGAGAAAUAUGAAAGAACUCCAAUCUUUAGAUUUGUCGUCAAAUCAACUGACAGGGGCUAUUCCACCUCAGUUAACUGCACUGACAUUUCUAGAGGUCUUCAACCUCUCGGGAAACCAUCUUAGUGGAGAGAUUCCUCAGAAAGGACAGUUCAGCACAUUUAACAAUGAUUCUUAUCUAGGAAACUCCGCGUUAUGUGGAUCACCAUUGACGAAGAAAUGUGCAAACACAGCAUCACCUCCACAAGAAGUCGGAAAUGUUGAUGAAGAUGAUGCGGGUGAUGAAUUGACAUGGGAAGCAAUCUUGAUGGGAUAUGGAUGUGGACUGAUAUGUGGAUUGUCAUCUGCUUACAUUGUUCUCAAACUAGGAAAGCCUUGGUGGUUUGUGAGAUAUAUCGAAGUGCUGCAACUGAAGUUGAUGAAAAGAUAUGCAUGAAGAAUGGUACUGGCCGAUCAAGACGAACUUGAAAGUUGUUGGACAUUUCUGAACCAGUAGUGUACUAUUCUCUUUGUGGCUGCAUAAGUUUUUGGUAUUGUGUAAUAUUCUGUUUGGUCUUGAAUUUCAGGGGUAUUAAUAUAAACCUUGGUAUUGUGUAAUAUUCUGUUUGAUCAAUGUUUAUAUCAAUAAUUUUAUGCUCCUCACUGCAUCAUGCAGCUCUCAUAUUAUCUUCAUAUGUGUAUUAUUUGGAUAUCAAAGUUGCAGGGACAUAUGGAUAUGUGUUAACAGGGACUGCUCGGUCUUGGACGGACUCUUUCCAAGUCCUCUGGGGUCCUAUCGGUUCAAAUUAGUCUAUUAUCUGCAUACUAAUUUGUCCAACUCGGGCUUGAAUAGUAAAGAUAAAGAGUGCGAGUUGAGUUUCUCAAAGUAUGAGUACAAUAUCGUUUUUGAAUGAUAGUUAGGGGUGCGAUAUGCAAUUACCUCAAAAAUAUAUGAUCAUUAGUAUAUUAUAUUAGUAUCCACACACUUAUAUCUCAAAAUCUAUCCUCCAAAAUUAUCAUCUCUAUAGGCUAGCCACAUAAAAUAAAAAUUUAAAGAUAUUAGAUUUUUAGUUAUUUUCAUUAUAUAAUUUUUCCACGCAAAAUAACAAAAUAUCUUUAUCAACUUAUUAUUUAUGAGUUAAAUAUUCAAGUUAUAUAAUUCGGACAUGCUGGGUAUAAAUUGAAGUGUAACGCCUAAUUUCCGGGGUCUGGGAGUAGUUGGCGGGGUAUGAGAGAGCAGGCUAUUUAGAAGUCUUGGUCAUGAAAACUUCCAAGCUAAACUUCGACAACGGAAUCUUCUGAGGCUACUAUUCUAAAGCACGCAUAAUCAUUGUAUCCAUUUUCCGACAAAAAGUCUAUUUAAGCAAAUGAAAUACAAACAACUGAGUGGAAUGCUGACCGAAAGUCUUUUUGACUAAGCUUAUGAUUUAUUAGUACAUGAUUAAUAUGAUAAGCUAAGCUGAGAGCAUAAGAUAUCGUGUGUAUAAUUUUGUGUUUAUUAAUGACUUAUAAAUUAUUAAAAAUAUAAUAAGAAAAAUAAAAAUGAUUUAUAACUAAUUUAUGUUUUAUGAGUAAUUUUUAUUAGAAAAAAGUUUUAAAAAAUUAUUUCACUGGAAAAAAAACCUCCAACUAACUUUUGGCUCUAAGUCAGUUUUUGAUUUAUUUAUGACUUUAUGUCGGAUUCUGAUUUUUACACAAAAAUCUGGUUUUAAACCUCUGAGUUUGGUUUCACUUCAUAUACAAACCUCAACAAUUUCACCAUCAAACACAAUGACUUCUCCAAUCUCCGGUCCAGUACCACCAGCCAUUGAGAAUUUGGCACAACUUCAAUUCCAUACCAGGUUAGUCGUCUUCGGAGAUUACACGUCUUAGACCUGUCAAAUACAAAUUUCAAUCUCCAAACUGGUCCGAUUUAUCUUCUAUGCUUUUUGUUGAGUCCGGCUCAUCUAAAGCCUUAAGAUGUUAGAGGAAGCACCCAAUGAAUCUUAUAUAUGCUAUAUUUUAACAAUUCUGAGCACACUCAACCUUGGUAUUAAUAAUAUUGUGUCGAAAAUUCCAGAAUUUAUAUCUAAUUCUCAUAGCCUAACUUUCCUUGACCUUUCCAUAUAACAAAUUUACAGUUAAUCCUGUGCUUGAAUCAGUAUUUGCAACCAAAAUUAUGCAAUUAUAGUGCAGGUAGUCUUCCAGUUUACGCUCUACACUCCAGGAUAAGCUCGCAUAUAAUUGACAGCUAUAAUCCUUCCAACACUUUGUGAUGCAAAGCAGAGGGAUAGGUUGGCUUAAAAAUAUAUAAGGUCACUUAUGCAUCGCUCUUCACACACUUAGACCCUGUUUGUGUGGGCUUUAAGUCCCGGCUCAAGCUAUUUCGACUUAAUCACUUCCGAGACCAAUACCAACAAGUUAAGAUAUCUAAAUAUGUAUGACAAUCAGUUAGAAGGACUAUUGCCGGGCAACAACCUUCUCAAAGAGUUGCCAGUUAAGAUAUCUAAACAUGUAUGACAAUCAGUUAGAACUUUAGAAGGACUAUUGCCCCCAUCUUUGUCAAACUGUAAGCACUUAAAAAUUCUUGACAUCGGGAACAAUAAAAUGGGUGGUACAUUCCCUUCAUGGCUAUUUAAUCUCGGAGAGCUAGAAGUCCUAGUCUUGCGAUCAAAUAGACUGUACGGUCCUGUAAGUGGAAGGAGCACAUCACAUCCAUUCCCCAAGUUGCGGAUUCUAGAUCUCUCCAACAAACAAUUCGCGGGCUAUUUGCCAAUUCUAAACUUUAAGAAUAUGAAACCAGCUGCUGAUGAUAACGCGUAUAGUUAUAAAAAUAAGUCACAAGGACUAAUUAAUUACAUCUAUGAAGCAUCUAUCUCCUUAAAUGUGAAAGGAACAGAGUAUGAAGUGAAGAACAUUCUUCAUAUUUACACAGCCAUUGAUCUAUCGUGCAACAAAUUUCACGGAGAAGUUCCAAAGAGAGCUUAAAUGGCUUGCAUUGCUCAAUCUAUCUCAUAAUAGUCUUGCCGGACAUAUGUUCUGAAUUAUUAUUAUGCUUUCAUCAAUAUUUUCAAACAUUUCUCAAUAUGUAUUUUCAAAGAAUUCUCAAGCCCUGGAACAUUUGGACCGGUUCUUUGGAAGCCAAGAUACCCAGGUUAUCAUGGCCAUGCACAAAAAUGAAUAAAUUAUUCCAAGUCUUCCAUGACUCAUUCCAAGUCUUCGGAGGAGACCCUGAGCACAAAGAUGCUCAGGGUCUCCCCAAGCCUUCCAGGACUCAUUCCAAGUCUUCGGAGCACGGUCUCGCCUCGCCCUUUCAAAGAUGUGAUAGUAGCUCGAGAGUGAUAUAAAUUAUUUUCCCGACACUAAAAAUAAAUAAUCAGAUCAAAUUAAUCAAUAAUGUAUUAAGGAUGAAAUCCAAAUUAAUCCUAAAUUUUGAUAAUAUAUAAAAAUUAUAAUUAUAAAUUAUAUACCAAAUCAGAAUUGAAUUAAUUCCUUGGCACUAAAAUUGAUAAAGAAAGUAUAAUAAUUUAAAUUUAAUUGAUGAAAAGUCAAAGUCUUCUAAUAAAUCCAUAAAGAAUAUGAUAAUCAAAAUAAUGAAAAUUAUAAUUGAAAAAUCAAAAUCAUUAGUGUAUUGGAAUAGUGUUCACACACUUGUAUAUCAAAAUUUGUGGUCCAAAAACUAUAGCACAAUAUCCUAAAUACACCACAUUAAAUAUUAGUUCAAAAAUAUUUAGUAAAUAAUUGUUUUCAUUCAUCAUUUUGUUAUUUAAAAAACUAAUAAUUUGGGUUGAUGUUAACCUAUAUUUUAAUAUAUAAUUAUAUUAUUUUCGUCUUAUUUAUUUAACUAGAAACAAUAUUUUUAUCAUACAUCAAUUAUAUUAAAAGAUAUAAUUUUAUUAAAAAAAUUGAAUUAUUAUUUAUGAAUUCCAGCAUGAAGCGUAUAAAUAGAAGUGUGCAGUUGAUCAGAUUUAUAACCCAGUUGAUCAGGAGAAACAUGGCAUACUCUGCAAAGACUUCUCACCUUCUUCUCUUUGUUUUCUUUCUCUCAUCACUUGAAUCCAUUCUUUCAACAAGACGAGAGGGAGAAGCUCUUGUGAAGUGGAAGAAUAGCCUAGCCCCUUCUUCUUUUCUCGACUCUUGGUCACUCACCAAUCUCGAAAAUCUUUGUAACUGGACUGGCAUUACUUGUAACUCUGCAGGUUCAGUCUCUGAGAUUAACCUUUGUGAGAAACAACUUGAUGGAAUGCUGUCCGAGUUUGGUUUCACUUCAUUUCCAAAUCUAAACAGUCUCACCCUCGCAGACAACUUCUUCUCGGGUCCAAUACCACCAGCCAUUCAGAACUUAACAAGGCUUCAAUACCUUGAUUUAAGCUUGAAUUAUCUCAAUGGUACCAUGCCUUUCUUGCGCAUCCUCAACCUCAGUAGCAAUCCUCUUGCGUCGAAAUUCCCAGAUUUUAUAUCCAGUUCUCAAAGCCUGACUCACCUUGACCUUUCAUAUAACAUGUUUACCGGUGAUCUAGCAUGUGAACCAUUAUUUGCCAACCUGCAUAAUCUUGAAGUCCUCAGUCUCGUUGAAAAUUCUUUUGAGGGGCCAUUUCCACCGGAUAUAUUCAGGCUUUCCAAAUUAAAACAUCUUAGCCUGUCAGUUAACAAACUUUCAGGUUCAAUUCCCAAUGACAUAAGGUUGCUUUGUGAUCUUGAAUACCUAUAUUUAGCCAACAAUUCCUUUGAAGGACCACUUCCACCAAAUAUAUUCAAGCUUUCAAAAUUAAAACAUCUUGUUCUUUGGGGUAAUAAGUUUUCAGGUUCUGUUUCCAAUGAUAUAGGUUUGCUUUCGGCGCUUGAAGCCCUCGAUCUUUAUUCUAAUUUUUUUGAGGGGCCGCUUCCACCAAAUAUAUUCAAGCUCUCAAAACUAAGGAUUCUUUCCCUUGGGAACAAUAACUUUUCAGGUUCUGUCUCUAAUAAUAUAGGUUUGCUUCCUGAGCUUGAAACCCUAUGUCUUGACUCUAAUUUGUUUGAGGGGCCGCUUCCCCCACAUAUAUUCACGCUCUCUAAAUUAAGAUAUCUAGACCUCUCAAACAAUAGAAAUUUAUUUGAAAGAAGUAUUCCUAUUGGAUUGGGACUCUUGACUAACCUCAGGUACUUAGAUCUAUAUUCCAGUAAUCUCAGCGGCUAUAUUCCAUCUGACAUUGGAAACCUGAAGCUACUAGUAGGUCUUAAUCUCGGUUCUAAUAAAUUGACUGGACCAGUUUCAAAGAUCGUUUCUAAUCUCACAAAUCUUAUAUUUCUUAGUGUAAGAAAUAAUAGUCUUAGUGGAAAUAUUCAGAGUGACUUGUGGAACUUCCCUAAGGAAUAUAACAAUCAUCCAACUUUGGAAUACAUCGAUUUAAGUGGGAACCAUUUUACAGGUAUCUUUUCUCUAUAUAUCUUUUCCUUUUCUCAUAUGUAACUAAGCUAGUAAUCUGAUUAUUGCAGUUUUACCAAAGUUUCAACAAUCUUGACAGGUGAGCUUCCAACAACAAUUUGCAAUGUCACUUCCCUUUCGGUUCUUGAUUUGUCAAAUAAUGGAUUAAGUGGUGCACUUCCAAACUGUUUCGGGAAUCUUGCUGAUGGAUUGCUUUACCUUAAUCUUGCUAAUAAUCAGUUUCGAGGAACAAUACCAACUACUUUCUCCAGGAGUUGUCGGCUGAAAUAUCUAAACAUGGAUAAUAAUGAGUUUGAAGGAUUGAUGCCCCCAUCUUUGGCGAACUGUAAGAACUUGAGAAUUCUUGAUAUUGGCAACAAUAAAAUAGGUGGUACAUUUCCGUCAUGGCUUUAUGCACUUGGAGAGCUAGAAGUCCUUGUCUUGCGAUCAAAUAAACUCUAUGGUACAAUAAGUGGAAGGAGCAUAGAAGAUCCCUUCCCCAAGUUGCGGAUUGUGGAUCUGUCCAACAAUCAAUUCACAGGCCAUUUGCCAAUUCAAUACUUUAAGAAUAUGAAAUCAACUGAUAAUUUGUAUCGUUAUCAGAAUGACACAGGAGAUUUUAUUUUCCAUUAUGAAGCAUCUGUCUCAUUAACUGUGAAGGGAACAGAGUAUGAAGUGAAAAAUAUCCUUCAUAUUUACACAGCCAUUGAUCUGUCGUGCAACAAAUUUCAGGGAGAAAUUCCAAAGGUUACUGGAGAGCUUAGAUGGCUUGCAUUGCUCAACUUAUCUCAUAAUAGUCUUACUGGACCUCUCCCAUCACUGCUUGGAAAUAUGGAAGCACUCCAAUCUUUAGAUUUGUCUUCAAAUCAACUGACAGGGGCUAUUCCACCUCAGUUAACCGCAUUGACAUUUCUAGAAGUCUUAAACCUCUCGAGAAACCAUCUUAGUGGAGAGAUUCCUGAGAAAGGACAGUUCAGCACAUUCAACAAUGACUCUUAUCUAGAAAACUCUGCGUUAUGUGGAUCACCCUUGACGAAGAAAUGUGUAAACACUGCAUCACCCCCACAGGAAGUCGGAAAUGGUGAUGAAGAUGAUGCUGGUGAUGAGUUGACAUGGGAAGCAAUCGUGAUGGGAUAUGGAUGUGGACUGAUAUGUGGAUUGUCAUCUGCAUACAUUGUUCUCAAACUAGGAAGGCCUUGGUGGUUUGUGAGAUAUGUCGAAGUACUGCAACUGAAGUUGAUGAAAAGAUAUGCAUGAAGAAAGGUACUGGUCGAUCAAGACAAACUUGAAAGUUGUUGUCCUGGUAGACAUUUCUGAACCAGUAGUGUACUAGCUGCAUAAGUAUUUGGUAUUAUGUAAUAAUCCAUUUGGUCGGGACUCAUAAUGAUUUCUCUUGCUUCAGGGGUAUUAAUAUUAACCUUGCUAUCUUGAUCUGUGUUAAUGCAAAUGAAAAAGAAUGGAAAAACAAAAAAAUUGCAUCAAACCUGUUGUACCAAGAUCCAUUAAUCUGCUUUCAUCUCUUACGCAACAAUUUAACAGCACUUUCACACUGUUUGAAUGAUUAUCAUAAAUUCGAGUUUUCCUCGCCAGCACCAAAUCCAAAUAUACAAUCCCACACAUUCCAGUCUCAGCUUCAGCUCCCAGGCUAGCAUUGAUUUAGCCAAGCACGACAGUGGCCGCUUGUGUGCCUAACAAUGACAGUUGGGGAUUUGAUGGAACGUGCCUUGGUCCUGCCUUCAAAUGUCUAACAAUAACAGUUGGAUAUGUCGACAAAAAAAUUGUUCCUCACACUGAGGAAUAACUCUGACAGUUCUUUUCAUUGUGCCUUGGUCCAGUAAGUGGAAGGAGCACAUCACAUCCAUUCCCCAAGUUGCGGAUUCUAGAUCUCUCCAACAACCAAUUCACGGGCUAUUUGCCAAUUCAAUACUUUAAGAAUAUAUGAAACCAGCUGCUGAUAAAGCGUAUAGUUAUCAAAAUAAGUCACAAGGACUAAUUAAUUACAUAUAUGAAGCCUCUAUCUCCUUAAAUGUGAAAGGAACAGAGUAUGAAGUGAAAAACAUCUCUUUAUAUUAUAGCUCCUGAUGCGUGAUUUGUACAGUUACCACACUGCUUAAUUCUUCACCUCAAAGUUCCACCUUAUUACAAAAAUGCCACCGCUCUAUUAAGCGGCACCCACGUAAGCUCAUUGCCACCACGUGCUAUCUUCCUGCUGUCUUUUGUUUAUUUUAUUCACUAAACCGUACUUACCCGAAGCUUAUGUAACAAGCUUACAUUCUUUACAUUUUACUCAUUUCAAAAUUUAAAACCCAGCCUCCACGGCUCCCUUACAAAAGUAACCGGUUUGAACGUAAAGUUUUCAAAACUAACCAGCCUACGUUCAACUUUUCAAAACUAACCAGCCUAAAUCAAAAAAAGUCGGGCGACCCUUACCUGUUUUUUUCCCGAGCACCGGUCGCCCUCCUCAGGGGCGUCCCCCAUUGGAGUUCAUCAAGCACAGGUCGCCCUCCUCAGGGGCGUCCCCCCUUGAAGUUCUGUGACGUGGUCCGCCCAAUCACGGGCGACCACGUGUGACACUACCCCCUUAAAACCCCCUCCCAGCCACACAAACACACAAUUACACACACAUUUGCACACACUCAGUUUGAAAACAACACUGCAGCAGCCACAGCAAGGAGCCGAAAGGGGAGAUUUUGGUAAAGGAAGGAAGAAAAGUGGGAGAGGAUCGCCCGAGCUAGCAUCAAGGUCGCCCACCCUAGCAAAAAAUUUGAAGGUACUACCUUAUUCCUCCCCUAAAUAUUAGUAUAUAAAGCCUUGAUUUGUAAUUUAUUACUUGAUUAGUUUGUCUUGCAUGUUACAAAUAUCGAUUAUGUUCAUGAUUAUGGCUAAUUUAUAGACUAGUGUUAUAAUUACCGGCUUGAGAUUAGUGUUAUAAUUACCGGAUUGAGAUUUGGUACAUUAUGAUUUUUAAAUUUGUUAAAAAAUUUAAAGAUUUAUAAUAGAAAUUAAGGAUAAUUUAUAGAUUUGAUAUGUUGGAAUUUAAGAUUUUAUGCUUUUUAGAUUUUGUAGGUAGUAAUUAAAUUUAGUUGGAGAGAAAAAAUAUAAUAUAAUAUUCGAAUUAAAAAGAUAUUGAGAAUAUAAUAUUCGAAUUAAAAAAUAUUCGAAUUAAAAUAUAUUAAAAUAUAAUAUUCGAAUUAAAAAUAUAAUAUAAUAUUCGAAUUAAAAUAUAAUAUAAUAUAUAUUCGAAUUAAAAAAUAUUCGAAUUAAAAUAUAUUAAAAUAUAAUAUUCAAAUUAAAAAUAUAAUAUAAUAUUCGAAUUAAAAUAUAAUAUAAUAUAUAUUCGAAUUAAAAAAUAUUCGAAUUAAAAUAUAUUAAAAUAUAAUAUUCGAAUUAAAAAAUAAUAUAAAAUAUAUUGAGAAUUAAAAAAAUUAGAAAGCAAAUAAAAUAUUCGGAUAAAAAAGAUAUUAAUAGCUAAUAUUAAAAAAAAUCGAUUUAUAAUAAUAAAAAUUCGAAAAAAAGCAAAAUAAUCGAAUUAAAAUAAAAUUUUCGAACAUAUAUUAAUAAAAAUCUUAAUUAUAUUAAUAUAUAAUUCGAAUAUAUGAAAUUUCGAGAAUUAGAAUAUUUAUGAAAUUAAGAGAAUUAAAAUAAAUAGGAAAUUCGAACAAAAAUUAAUUUAAGGUACGCUCUCGAUUCUCUCUAAAUUAAUGUGUAUAUAUAUAUAAUGACUUGAUUUGGAUUAUUGUUGUUUUAUUAGCUUGAGUUGCAUGUUAUAAGAUCGGUUAGUUUAUUGAUUGUGGCUUGAGAUUUGUUAUAAUUGAAAUUAAGGCUAAUUUAUAGAUUUGAUAUGUUGGAAUUAAGGCUAAUUGAAAUUAAGGCUAAUUUAUAGAUUUGAUAUGUUGGAAUUAAGGCUAAUUGAAAUUAAGGCUAAUUUAUAGAUUUGAUAUGUUGGAAUUUAAGAUUUUGUGCAUGUUAGAUUUUGUAGGUAGUAAUUUAAUUUAGUUAGAAACAAAAGCUUUGAAUUCGAAUUACAAAUAUUAUGUUGGAAUGAGAUUUUGUAUAUAUACAAAAGCUUUGAAUUCGAAUUAUAAAUAUAUUUGAAAAUUGUUGGCGCAGAUGGAUCCUGCAGCUUAUCAUCCCGGGCCGGUUAACGGCACUUUGUUGACAUUGCAGGACACGCAUAGGUCCACUUUUGUGUGGAACAGUAGUACGGUAAUGACUUGAUGGACUGUUGUUUAUUAAAGUUAAUGUUUGCUUCACUAUAAACUGCUGACAAGUUCCUGUAUUUUAAAUUGCAGGACAUUCCUGAUCUUAGAGUCAGGACGAACUUCGGUGAGUACUGGAAUGUAGUUGACCAAACCAGGCCGCCUCAGACGAUAAUAGAUGCUAUUAAUGAUGCGGGCUUUGAGUGGGUGUUCAGGUUGGGUCAGGUCAAGCAUGACAGGGGCUUGAUCACUGCUUUUAUCGAGAGGUGGCGUCCAGAGACGCACACUUUUCAUCUACCUUUCGGGGAGGCCACCAUUACACUGGAGGAUGUCCAUCACAUUCUCGGGUUACGAACCACUGGCCGGCCAUUUAUUCUACAUGGCUUCACCACCACAGCUCGCGAGAGAUUGGCCAUGAUACGCGAUGUUCUUGGAGUGACUCCUAAGCCGGCUGAUGUGAGGAAGAACGGCUUGAGGAUCGGUUGGUUGAUUGAAAAAUUUGGCGACUGUGCCCGGUUGGACGAGGCAGCGGAGGAUUUUGAUGCACAGACUAUCUUUCACAUCAGGGCACACCUACUGUGUGUUAUUGGAUCGUUGUUUCCUGAUAGCAGCGGGAACUAUGUGAAUCUCAACCUCCUUUGGAUGCUACGUGACUUGCAGAGCGUGGAUGGUUAUAGCUGGGGGAGUGCUGUUCUUGCAUACCUUUAUAGGAAGAUGUGCGAUUCCACCCAUAAAGUCACAACCGGCUUCAUUGGCUACGCCACCACUACGCCAUAUAUGAUCUAUCGCAAUGGUAUGAACGCGAGUGUUGCAAAAUUAUGUUGCAAUAGAGACACUGAUCCAUAUCUACCGCAACGAUAACCAUUCAUGUCAAUUAUAUGUUGCAAUAGCAAACAUUAUGUGUUGCAGCUUGUAAUAUACUUGUAAAAGUGUUAGCUUAAAGUAUUAUAAUAUUAUUUUAACAUUAAAUAAUAAUUUAAAUUAUUUUAACAAUAUUUUAAAGUGAUAUGCAAAUUAAAUAAAUAAGAUACGCGAUGAUAUGCAAAUUUUAUUCAUAAUAAUUAAAAAAAUUAAAAUAGGAAUUUUAAAAGUAAUUAAUUUUUUUAAAAGCAAUGAAAAGUAAAAAUAAUUAAAUUCCCCUUGUUUUGAUAUCAGAACUGAUAUAUAAGUUUCAAAAAUAAAAAUAUAGAUAUACGAAUUAUAAGUAGUAAUAAAUACAUAUAAUGAAUUUUGUUCCUAAAAUAAUUACAUGAAUUUUAUUUGUUAAAAUAAUAAAGUAUAGGUGCAGACGUGCAGUACAUUAUUUGACUUUAUUGAACUGGGCAAAUAUCGAGCUCAAAGCGGGUAAAAAUUAGGCUUACAGCCGCCCAAAUUUUCAGCCAAGUUUGAAAUUUUCACACAUACACUAUACACGCUCGAGUCUCCUUGAAUACCCUCAACACUCACUACACUCUCUCCCUCGCUCAACUCUCUCUCCCUUCUCUACUCUCUCUCUCUUGUUAAUCUCUCUGAAGCUAAUCUCUCUCUGGCCACCAUUUUCACUCAAUCUCGCCAUCACUUUUAAUUAACUUGGAUUUGCAUUUAUAGUUGGAGCACAGUUGAUUUGUGGGUCGAGGUUCCAAUUCUUCAAUUAGGGUUUUGGCUUUUCAAUCAGGGUUUUGGUUCUUCAUUAAACUUCAAUUAGGGUUCAAUUACUUACAUAUAAUCUCUUAAACUUCAUCUGAUAUCUCUUUCUCUUUGAUUUCAGGUGUUCUUAGUUUGGGUUUGCACUCCAAGACUUUAUUAUAAGGUAUUUUUGAAUUUAGGGCUUCAUGUUAUGAGUUUAUUUGCAUUUAGUGUUCUUUGUUUUUAUGUUUAUUUGGUUUAUUAUCUUUAUCUAGUUUAUUUCCUUUGAUUUUUUGUUUUUUUUUUCAUUUGUUUUGUGAAAUUGCAAUACUCUGUUUUUGUGUUAAUUUUUUUGUUGCUUAAAAGUGUUCAACAACAAUAUUCUUCUUAAUUAUAAAAGAUCUAUCACGAGGAAGAGGUCCCUGUUUUGUAUAAUAUCUUGUAUGUCUUUUCUUUUCUGUAUAUUAUUAAGCUACCUUGGGGCAUCCUUUUUCUAGACCAGAUUUCGUGCGCAAUCUUUAGUAAAGAGCAAAUAUUCCGAUUCUUUUGCAUUUGUCUCAAUGUCAGUGCUUUGCAUAUAUGGAUAUAUUUUACAUGAAAAUGGUGCUUUUGUUGUUGGCCUGCUUAAUGUUCAAGACAUGUAGUCAACUCAGUUUAGUGUGACAAUAAGACUUUCUCAUUUCAUUAUGAUUCUCACAUAUUUUAUGCUCGUCACAGUACAACACAGUUUUGUAUUUGGUGUGAGUGAGCAGUAAAGAAUUCUAUGGAAGAUGCUAGUGACUACCGGUGGUAUAUAACCAGGUAAAAAUAAUGCUCAGUUGAUAAUCCUUAUAAGGGAGGCUCUUACUAUUUCUUCCUCUUUAACAUUGAGUUGUUUUAAUGUACAUACUAGCUGGUUGCUCAAGUGUUCUAUCAUUAUAAUGUAUACAUUGGAUACAAUAUUUGUUCAAUGAGGUAUCUAACUAGCUUGCUGAUGGCCGGGGACUAUAGAUUUAUUCAUUGCUAAUUGGUUAUAUUCGUUGUACCUGUUAUGCCUCAAUCAUAAUGGCAUAGUGACAAUAAAAGGAAAACGAAUUAUAAAUAUUUCACAUAGCAUGCUCUAGUUAUCUACAACUAUUGUUUUGGACUUCUGGUUUGGCAUUUAUAAUAAGUUGGCAUAUGUCUUUGAAUUCAUAUAGUUUGUAGCAUGACCUAAUUGGCACAAGUCAUCCUCUGCCAUGUCUUAUAUCUUUAGUUAGUAAGAAUUAAUAUUUCCCAUGUUUCAGCCACUAUACAAAUAUUGAUCAUGGACGAAGUUCUUACCCUGUUUAGUAUUAAUUUCAUUAUCUGCUGCAACUUUAUUGUGUUAUCUGUGCACUGCCCAACUAAGUACACAUAAUUUGAGUUUAAAAUAAAGCAUGCUUCUUUACUGGAGCUCAGCUUAGUAGUUGCAUUGUAUUGUUGCAGGAGAAGCUUAAGCCGUUAAUGGAUCAACUUAACAAAGUCAAAGACUUGACUGUUCCAGAAUUUGGAAAUUUCCGAACUUGAGAAGUGCGAGCAAAUGCAAGAAUAUGUUUAUAUAUAAUAGUGUAGUGUAGUGGGAUGUUUGGUUGGAUUCGUUUAAUACUUUGAUUUGGUUGGAUUUGUUAGGUAGUUUUGUUUGGUUGGAUUUGUUAUAAACUUUGAUUUGUAUGAAAGAAUAGUUUAAUGUUUCAGUGGAUAUAGUGAAAUAUUGCAAAGUUGUUAAUUUAGUCUUGCAUUAGCACAUAUAUGUUGUAGUAGCUAAUAUAUAUAUGUUUCAAUUUAUAACAAAAAAUGUUGCAAACAUGCAACUGAAAAACAGGUGUCCAAACAUAGGACCCACAUGUGUGACCCACGUGUGGGUCCCACUUUUUUUGAAAUCAGGAGGUCUAACGUAACAUAAUAUAUUUGUUGCUAUAGGGUAGUCAGAUGUUGCAAUAUCACGUCUAUUGUAACAUAAAAAGCCGUGUUGCAGUAGGUUACCCAAAUGUUGCAAUAGAAGCCUAGGGCAACAUGAAAAAAUGCAACUUAAAUUUUAUGUUGCAAUAGCCCUUUUUCGGGCUAUGGCAACAUAUUUUGGGGUUAUGGCAUCAUUUUUUUGAUGUUGUCNNNNNNNNNNNNNNNNNNNNNNNNNNNNNNNNNNNNNNNNNNNNNNNNNNNNNNNNNNNNNNNNNNNNNNNNNNNNNNNNNNNNNNNNNNNNNNNNNNNNNNNNNNNNNNNNNNNNNNNNNNNNNNNNNNNNNNNNNNNNNNNNNNNNNNNNNNNNNNNNNNNNNNNNNNNNNNNNNNNNNNNNNNNNNNNNNNNNNNNNNNNNNNNNNNNNNNNNNNNNNNNNNNNNNNNNNNNNNNNNNNNNNNNNNNNNNNNNNNNNNNNNNNNNNNNNNNNNNNNNNNNNNNNNNNNNNNNNNNNNNNNNNNNNNNNNNNNNNNNNNNNNNNNNNNNNNNNNNNNNNNNNNNNNNNNNNNNNNNNNNNNNNNNNNNNNNNNNNNNNNNNNNNNNNNNNNNNNNNNNNNNNNNNNNNNNNNNNNNNNNNNNNNNNNNNNNNNNNNNNNNNNNNNNNNNNNNNNNNNNNNNNNNNNNNNNNNNNNNNNNNNNNNNNNNNNNNNNNNNNNNNNNNNNNNNNNNNNNNNNNNNNNNNNNNNNNNNNNNNNNNNNNNNNNNNNNNNNNNNNNNNNNNNNNNNNNNNNNNNNNNNNNNNNNNNNNNNNNNNNNNNNNNNNNNNNNNNNNNNNNNNNNNNNNNNNNNNNNNNNNNNNNNNNNNNNNNNNNNNNNNNNNNNNNNNNNNNNNNNNNNNNNNNNNNNNNNNNNNNNNNNNNNNNNNNNNNNNNNNNNNNNNNGCUUAUCCUCGUAUGUAGUUUGUUUAUGGUUAUGUACCUGACCAUGUACUCGUACAUUUUUAUUUCUUGAUCUGAUUAUGUACUCUUAGUCUAGUAGAUCGGUUGUUACGUUAUUAUGCAGUUCUUGUGCAUUCUUAUGUCAUAAUGUUUUAUAAUGAUUCAAGCAUUGAAAUUCAUAUGGACAAUAAAGGAAACCUAACAUAACAUAAUAAACGACAGAACACUAAAACACAUACACAUGUUGAUCUUUCUCGAAACCAGUAAAACUGACUUUAUUUUGACUAAACUUUACAUAUAUCAAAUAACUGAAAAAAAUAAUAUAAAAUUUGAAUUACUUGAACAACAAAAGUUGAGACAUUACAUAUAAGAUACAAUACAUAUAGUAAUGGGGGUGAUCUUUUGGAGAAAAUACCUAACUCAAAGGGAUUUCUUCAAAUAAUUUGAGAUGGGUCAGAGCUUCAAGAAUCUGUGUACUCUGCUUUUACAAGUACAAAGUGGGAAAAAGUGAGACAUAAAUAAAAUGUAGUGAAGUAUUUGAGAUGGGAGAAAGUAAAACUAACUUAAUUUCAUAUUAAUAUUGUGAAGAUAUUAGCAUAGAAUGAUAAAUAUACAUUUCUACUACCCAUUUAUAAAAGAAAUAUUAUAAAAUAUAAAACUCUACGCUUUAAAUUUAAAUUGUUUUAAGUUGUUUUCUAUUAAAUUAUUUUCCCCACAGGGGAAAAUAAUAUUAAAUUGUUUUAAUAUUAUUGUUUUAUUAUUAUUUGAUUAUUAAAUUAACGAGUACAUAAUUUGUAAAGUUUAGUGCUAAGAUAUAUAUAUUAUUUAAUUUUAUUAAUUAUAUUAAUUUCACAAAACAAUUAAAAUUUGAUUUUAAAUAAAAUAUUAAAUAUAUAAUACAAUAAUAUUAAAUGGCGUAUAAUCAGUGUUACAGAAAUCGGGAAUCGGACCUAAUCGGUUGAGCUACCGAUUCAGGGAUUAAUCGGAAAUCGGAGAUUAAUCGGACUGAAAAUCGGAUUUAUUUUAAUAUUAAAAUAUUAUUUAUUAUUUAGUUAUUAUUAUAUUAGGUAUCUAGUAACUAAUAUAUUUACUAUAUUCAUAAACUCUAUAAUUAUUCAUAUUUAAAGUAAUAUAGUAUUUUAAUUCUAAUAAUUUAUCACAUAUACUUCUAUUAGAAAAUAUGUUAUAAGGAUUAAUCGGAUUUUAAAAAUCGAAUCGGUGGCCGACCUUGCAGGAGAUUAAUCGAGGAUUAAUCAGUUAAAUCGGGGAUUUUUAGAACAUUCGGCGUAUUAUAAUACAAUUAUAUCAAAAUUUAAAAAAAAAUCAGUACCUCAGUUUGGGUAUCGGUCAGCCACCUAGGACAAGUGAAUGAGUGAAACCGCUACAAAAAAUGUAGUAGUAUGGGUCGCCCCUGUCAAGGGCGAUCCUAACUGUAUUUUGUAACAGUAUGGGUCGCCCCUGACGAGGGCGACCUGAACGGGGAAAAACUUCAGCUUGGGUCGCCCGACUUUUUUUGAUUUAGGCUGGUUAGUUUUGAAAAGUUGAACGUAGGCUGGUUAGUUUUGAAAACUUUACGUUCGAACUGGUUACUUUUGUAAGGGAGCCCAGCCUCCACCAUUGCAGCUCUGAGCAGCCAUGAACCAGGUUAUACUCCAGUCUCCUUUUCUCCCCCGCGUGUGUAAGUCUGUACUGCAGCCCACAUUUUCAACACGCUUCUGUCCUAAGCUUCGCAAGAAAUAUCUUUUUUUUGAAAUUCAAAAAAUUUGCGCACCAUAUCAUCGUCCAGCCAAACCACCAUCGGCGAAUCAGCAAAUAUACAUAUCAGAUCUAAUAUACACCAAUCUGAGCUUUGAUGACUGAGGUUUGAUUUGUGUUUUAUUUAAUAAAAUGAUAAAAUGAUGUCUUCUUUCAUGAUCAUGCGAUUAAUCGAUUGUAACUUUAAGGGAGAUGGAACAAGCAAUUCACGACGUCUAUUUACCUCCGAAGACAUGAUUAGUGGUAUGGUUACAUAAAUUUAACUUCUCUAUUUUUCUACCAUGUGUGGCCUAAUUGUUUCAUCUCUUGCUUUGUAGGUUAUCAGUCCAAAAAGCGGAGGAAAAGGGGCUACACAAUUAAGAGAUGAAACAGUAUUGAGCAUGUGAGCUUUAAAACUUGAUGAUUAAAUUUUUCAUAUUAUAUUUGUUCUGUAUUUAGAAAUUUGUGGAGGAUGUGUUUGAUAAUAUGUCUGAGAGAAGAAGUUAAUAAAUUUAUCGUGUUGAGGAUGUGUUUGAUGAUAUGUCCGAGUGAAAAAAUUAAUAAAUUUAUUUUCAAAAUGUUGCGAACAAAUUGUAAUUUAUAUCUAGCAGCUUCAAAUAAUUUUUUUUAGAGCAAAAAGAAUCGCAAUUGCAUGUGAAGAGAUGCACCUCCCUGAUAUUAGACUUUUAGUGUAAUUGCAUGUGUAACUAAACCGCUUGACUAUAAUGUUGGUGUAGAGUACGGAGCUUUAAUUUAUGAUGUUCUCCUCAAUCUGUCCAAAUUAUAGCUGAUCGUGGGAAUCAACUUUAGGGUAAGCUCUGCUCUGAAACUCAUUUUCUUAUAUUGGAACUUGGUUAUUUCUUAAAUGAAACGACUUUGACGUUUUCACCGAGUAGUCAUAGAUGCGUGAGUUGUACAAUAGUAAAAGAAAAAUAAAUUACAUAAAGACUGUCUGAGGUAAAAUAGUAUACAAGCUGCAAUUUUAUAUUUGGUACAUUGACGUAAAAAGUUAUUGUUAUGUUCAGGGGGAGGUGCUGAGAAAUGACAUGAUUAUAUCAUACGAGCGGCGACAAACUACUGAAGUUGCAAAAGAAAUGAUCUUAAAGAAAGCAGAGAAAGUGGGGGAGUUUUUUCAAGAAAAGAAUUUAAAGAGGAGAUGAGAUGCCAGAGUAUUACGCGCUAUUGCCGAAACAGGAUUAAAAACUAUAUUGGGUAUCUCUUCUUGAUCUCUUGAUUAAUUCCACUAGGAAGCUUCAAUAUUAUAUAGGAAGUUUUCUUUUUAAGCUUAAUUUUGAAUUUGAAUCCUCAAACUAUAACUACUGUAUAUCUCUUUAUAUUAUAGCUCCUGACGCCGGGAACUUCCCCUUCUACAACCAGCCCAACUGUACAUAACAGUUGCUUGCUUAUGAAUUUCAAAUUUAUAUUAUAAUGUUUAUAUGUAAUAUUGAAUCAAAGUUGCUUGCUUGCUUAUGUAAUAUUGAAUAUCUACUGUUGGAUGAUUGUUAACUGCUGUGUUACCAAGUGUUUGAUUAAAUUCCUACAAGUUUUGUUUGAAUUUUGUUCUUUAUUUAUCAUUAGUAUGUUUCAUUUUUAUGUUUGACUCUAUGCUAAUCGCUGAUAAGAUUUCUAUGAUUAUAGGAGAUGAGUGUUCUUAUGGCAUGAAUGAUAUUGGAAAAGUGAAAUGUGUUGAUGCUUUGUGUAAAUAAAUCAUGAUCUGCCGUUAUAGUUUUCUGUUUGUUUUCAAUUUGUGUGUACCUAGGUGGUUGUUACUGAGCAUUGAUCAACUGUGUUAAUUAAUUUAUUAAAAUGGAGUUGAGUCUGAGAACUAAAGGGCAAUUAUAUACUUCUUUAGGCUUUCCUUAACAUGUUUUUAUUCAUUAAAAAAAAUCGAUGAGUUUUUAUAAAUAUAUAUACUCUGUUAUUUUCUCUGUACCUAAUUAAAAGGAUUUUAAUUCGAAUUAUAGGUGUUUGUCAUGUGAAUAUUAUCUAAAAGAUAAUGGGGCCGUUUGGGUUAGCUUAAAAGAAGUGACUUUUUGCUUAUAGUAAAGAAGUGGAGUAGAAGUGAGAAGUAAAUAAGUUAAUAAAGUGUUUGGAAAAGAAGCAGAAGCUGUGAGAGAGAAGCUAGCAUUCUCAGCUUCUUAAAAGUGCUUCAACUUCUUUACACAAACAGGUCAAGAGAAGCAGAAGCCAGAAGCAGCUUCUGCUUCUCUUGGCCAAACAGGCCCAAUAUCUUUAAGGUCUCUUGCAUUGGUCAUUUAAUGUGUUAAUUAAAAGUUUACAUUUAAAUUUUUUGAUCUAAUAAUUUUGGAUAGAUGGUUUGUGAGGUUAAUGAAUGAACUAAUAUGGAAUGAUAAAAUGUAGGAGGUCUGGAAAGAUGGGUUUCAAUGCAGGUUUAUUGCUACUUUCCUUCAGGUCUGCAUUGCUUUGGUCUGUCUUCAGGACUGAGACUGUGAUUGGUUUCGGAACAGACACAAGUAUAUAUAUGGACCAAUGCAAAGCACCUGAUUAUCAUACUUUAGGCUUUUGCUCUGCUUUCUAUGGUAAAAAAAAGUGACAUUACUUCGAAUCUGAUACAGUUUAUCCAAGAGCUUGCUUCAAUAUUAAGAAUGCAAUACGUGUUGCAGAUAAAAUUUUGACCAGCAACAUUGGGGCACCCAACCCAAAUCUAGCAACAUUGGCCGUGGAGCUUUAAAUAUCUCCGUAAGAUUCUUUUCCCUCGCAGGCAGGCAUCUUUUUCUGCGAAAAAUAUACAAGAAAAAAGGACUAAUUUGUUUAAUUGAAAAUAAAUUUCGGAUGAGUUGGAUUAAGAAUCAAAUGGAGAGUCCUGUUUUGGUUUCAUUUUGAUGGAGAGGUUGCUUAGGUCCUGUUUUGAUCGAAAGGUUGAAAAAAUAUUUGGUAUUUUUUGGUCUCAUUUUGGUUUGUUUCGUUCCUUCACAGGUGUGCAACAAGUGAUGAUAGUAUUUAAACAUGAUUAGCAAACUGCCCAGCAAUCCAUGCAUGGCAAGGGGAAUGCACAGCUUAAUGAUUUCAGUCUCCGUACCAUCCAAGUGCAACAAAAAUCAAUUAUCUUGUGAUGUCUAGGAUUCUACAAAAGUAAGAAGCCUUCAUUCAUCUUCAUUCAUCCCCUGUUACUAGAAAAGCAUUGGUAGCCUAUAAGCAGGUACACUAAGUAGCUCACCUAAUUUUUGCAUUUCAGUAUCAACGGAAAGUGGUGCAGGACUCCACUUUAUAAUUAAAUUAUGUGUCUAAAUUAUGCGUGUUGUAAUGUUUAGUGACCAUGUUCCAGACCCGACAUGUCCUUACUUGGCAGAUCAAGUUAUCCAAGAUUUGGGAAGGAGUUUCGCCUUUGAGAUCUCCAACAAGUAAGAAGAAAUAAUGUCAAGGAAUGAACUAAUGUAAAAUGAUAAGAAGAUGAAGGUAUAAAACAAUGAUUAUAAUGUAGGCUUCUUCGUAAUGUAAUGAACAAAAUAAUGGAGUAACUAUAACUAUUCUUGCUGCAAGCCUGUGUUUGUUUAAUGCUAUCUGGCAGUAGUUUAGCAUUGGUAUAUUCCUUAAGGUGGAUUUGGAUAGAGUGAGAGGAGACAUUACUUAUCUUUACCUAGCUACUGCUUUUCAUGAGAUUUGGGCAGAGCGUAACAUUAGAAUUCAUCAUCCUAAGAGUUUUAAAGUUGCAAACCGGCUUAUCAAGGACAUAAUAGCCUCUGUUACUAUUUUUACAUGCUCCUCUAUUGUUGUGUGAACUUGCUGAACUCCUUUUUUCUGUUGUUCUACUUACUAAAAUCUUUUUAAUUUUCUUUUGUUAGGUACACUAAGUGGUUCACUCAAUUUUGGCAUUUUAGUAUCAUUGGCAAGUGGUGUAGGACUCCAUGAUUCUGUGUUGUCCACAAGCAACGAAAAAAANNNNNNNNNNNNNNNNNNNNNNNNNNNNNNNNNNNNNNNNNNNNNNNNNNNNNNNNNNNNNNNNNNNNNNNNNNNNNNNNNNNNNNNNNNNNNNNNNNNNNNNNNNNNNNNNNNNNNNNNNNNNNNNNNNNNNNNNNNNNNNNNNNNNNNNNNNNNNNNNNNNNNNNNNNNNNNNNNNNNNNNNNNNNNNNNNNNNNNNNNNNNNNNNNNNNNNNNNNNNNNNNNNNNNNNNNNNNNNNNNNNNNNNNNNNNNNNNNNNNNNNNNNNNNNNNNNNNNNNNNNNNNNNNNNNNNNNNNNNNNNNNNNNNNNNNNNNNNNNNNNNNNNNNNNNNNNNNNNNNNNNNNNNNNNNNNNNNNNNNNNNNNNNNNNNNNNNNNNNNNNNNNNNNNNNNNNNNNNNNNNNNNNNNNNNNNNNNNNNNNNNNNNNNNNNNNNNNNNNNNNNNNNNNNNNNNNNNNNNNNNNNNNNNNNNNNNNNNNNNNNNNNNNNNNNNNNNNNNNNNNNNNNNNNNNNNNNNNNNNNNNNNNNNNNNNNNNNNNNNNNNNNNNNNNNNNNNNNNNNNNNNNNNNNNNNNNNNNNNNNNNNNNNNNNNNNNNNNNNNNNNNNNNNNNNNNNNNNNNNNNNNNNNNNNNNNNNNNNNNNNNNNNNNNNNNNNNNNNNNNNNNNNNNNNNNNNNNNNNNNNNNNNNNNNNNNNNNNNNNNNNNNNNNNNNNNNNNNNNNNNNNNNNNNNNNNNNNNNNNNNNNNNNNNNNNNNNNNNNNNNNNNNNNNNNNNNNNNNNNNNNNNNNNNNNNNNNNNNNNNNNNNNNNNNNNNNNNNNNNNNNNNNNNNNNNNNNNNNNNNNNNNNNNNNNNNNNNNNNNNNNNNNNNNUUUUACAUGCUCCUCUAUUGUUGUGUGAACUUGCUGAACUCCUUUUUUCUGUUGUUCUACUUACUAAAAUCUUUUUAAUUUUCUUUUGUUAGGUACACUAAGUGGUUCACUCAAUUUUGGCAUUUUAGUAUCAUUGGCAAGUGGUGUAGGACUCCAUGAUUCUGUGUUGUCCACAAGCAACGGAAAAAAAGCCUGCAGAAAUGUUUCGAAUACUUUGAACGAAAUAAAGGUACAUUAUUAGGCAAGUGAUUGUGGCGGCAGAGAUAGCAGUUUGAUUGCUACACAAUUAUGUGUUUCACAAGAUUUUGCUAUUUUAAAUUAUAGUAAAUUUGAUUAAAUCCCACUCGGAAAGUUUGAAAUUUCUUGAUGUUGCUUAGUUAAAAUUUGGAUAUGGACAAUUAUGAUAUUUGUGAAUUUGGGUUCUUUUUAUAGGUGAUUUUUGAACAUUGCUAGAAUGAUAUAUGAUCUCAGGCCUCACACUCUUAACAUCUUUACGAGGCUUACGAGGUUCGAGAUGAGUUGGUUACUUAACAUGAUUCGUUUAAUUUAAUUAUGUGUUUGUGUAGUUGGGUUGAUUUGUUGUUUGUUUCGUUUAAUUGUACAAUUAAGGAGAUGGUGUUUACAAUAAUAAUAUUGAAGAUAGUUUGUAACUAGAGUAUGUUGUUAAUAAUUUGGUUAUGAGAAAUUGAGGCCGACACAAGUUUAAUCUGGCUUUCUCGAGAUGAUCUGACCUCGAGAAGAAAGAUUAUCUCAAAGUAGUUUUGUAAGUUGCUUCUCUCUGUUUUUGGACAAUGUAAAUUCUUACAUUACAUCUGCCUCUUGCAGGUAACAUCUUUGCUUUUAGGCUCUUUAUAUCGCCGAUGUAAGUUUUGCUCCAUAAAUUUCAGUGUUUGGCUAGAUCUCCUACAACUGUACUUUUAAAGAAAAAUAGAAGAAAUCAAGAACUGAGUUUACUGUACUUUUGCAGUGAUAAUCAGAUAUGUACCGGUUUUGCUUCGCAUAGUCACACCUUUUCUUUGUACAAUUGCAGACCCACUUUUAGGGGUAUUAUGAUGAGGAACGAGUGUACAGAAGACUUCUCAGGUCUUCCAUAUCUAUAUGCCCUCCUGCACUGCUUGAUUUGUGCCUGGUAUGGCAUGUCGUUUAUGUCAGAUGAUAAUGUGCUUGAUAACUGUAACCUUAUACAGCUACAUUUACUUUAAAUGUCUUGAACACAGUGGUUGCAAAUAAUGGUUAAAUGAUUAAUAUUUACACUGAUCUACUGCUUUUACACUGAUCACUGCUUAUGAUGUUGAAAAACCAAAAUUUGGUGGAGAAAUUGGGAUCAAUGGAGGGAGCUUGCACUGACACACGAAAUCUGUCAAAGCCUAGAUUACAAAGUAAUACUUUACUUGACUGAUCGACGGUUCAACUCAGCAGGAUAUGGAGUAUGCUCGCAGUGUACAUAACAUCCAAUCUCCCAAGGUCUCAUCAUCUACUUUGGAGACAACCUCAAAAUGGGUGUAGUUGCACUUGCACCCAAAAAUGAAGCCAGUGCAAAAAUCAAAGAGAUGACCCAUUUGUUAAAAAUGUUGAGGCUGAAGAGUACAAGGGAACCAAGGUCAGAGAUGUCUCCUCCGCUAAGAGAUGAGGAAAUAUGGCAGUCGUUGGUAUUUGGGAAAUGCAUGUUAGCAAAUACAUGGAUUAUAAAUUGUAUGAGUGACAGGAUGAUAAUAUAGCGUCUCAUAGUCUAAUAUUGCCAAUGACAGGGCUAAUAGCAAUAGCACUUUCAAAAGUAGGUUUGCAGCUGUGAAAUUCACUCAAAGUUGUGAAAUUUGUGAAAUUUGCUUUUGCUCUAACAUGUAAUACCCCGGGUUCCAUUCUUUUGUUUACUUGAAUUUGAAUUGUAUUGUUAUCUUUGUUUUUUUAUUAUAAUUAUCCAAAAAUAGAUGUCCAUCUUGACUUUUGGUUGGUUAUUAGACAGAGGAAUUGAGCCCGGAAAUAAAAGUGUUACUAAUUAUCAUCCAUUAUUAAAGCAAUUAUUAUAUUAGACCAAUUUUAUUUUUGCACUAUUUGAAAUAUUCACUUUAUCUGAAUGAUGAAUGGUUCUUCUUUCAGUUAAUACAGUGUCAUUCACUGGUUAACAAAUGACCUCUUAAAUUAUUCAUGAAAUCAUUUAAAAAUAUAUAAAGUUUAAUUGACAAAUUUAUCUUUUUUAAUAAAAUUAUACUCAAAUUUUUGGUUGAAAUGUAUGUAGCUUUAAGAUUAUAAUCACUUUUAGCCGAAAGUACUUUAAUAUUAGUGUUCAUAAAAAUAAUUUUUGAAUAACUUAUUAAUGAUUAAUUAUUUUAUGUAACGGUUUAAUAAAAUUAUACAAAUAUAAUGAUUUCUAAUUUGAGAAUAGUUUUUUAUAGUUCAAAACAAAAUUUAUAAUAAAAAAAUUUAACGAGUUAUCAGUAAUUAAUAAUAUACAUUUACAAUUAAAUUAUCCAAAUUAAUUAUAAAAUAUUAAAAUUUAAAAUAUUUGACUAAAGUGCGAGGCGUCACCGCUCGGCGACGUCGAGGGGCACUUGAUAGAAUAUGACUUUUCAUAUAUUACAAAGUUUAGCUAUAUAAUUAUUUUGAUUAUAAGAUAUUAAAAUAUAAAAUAUUCGACUAAAGUGUGAGGCGUCGCCGCUCGACGACACCGAGGAGGACUUGAUAAAAUAUGACUUUUCAUAUAUUACAAAUGUUUAGCUAUAUAAUUAUUUUGAUUAUAAAAUAUUAAAAUAUAAAAUAUUCUACUAAAGUGUGAGGCGUCACCGGUCGGCGACGACGAGGAGCACUUGAUAGAAUAUGAUCUUUCAUAUAUUACAAAGUUUAGCUAUAUAAUUAUUUUGAUUAUAAGAUAUUAAAAUAUAAAAUAUUCGACUAAAGUGCGAGGCGUUGCCGCUCGGCGAGCCGAGGAGUACUUGAUAAAAUAUGACUUUUCAUAUAUUACAAAUGUUUGGCUAUAUAAUUAUUUUGAUUAUAAAAUAUUAGAAUAUAAAAUAUUCGACUAAAGUGCGAGACAUCGCCGGGGAGCACUUGAUAAAAUAUGACUUUUCAUAUAUUACAAAUGUAUUAUAUAAUUAUUUUGAUUAUAAAAUAUUAAAAUAUAAAAUAUUCGACUAAAGUGCGAGGUGUCGCCGAGGAGUACUUGAUAAAAUAUGACUUUUCAUAUAUUGAAAAUGUUUAGCUAUAUAAUUAUUUAAAUUAUAAAAUAUAAAAUAUUCGACUAAAGUGCGAGGCGUCGCCGAGCGGCGACGCCGAGAAGUACUUGAUAAAAUAUGACUUUCAUAUCUUUAAAAAUAUUAUGUAAUUUUCGAACGUAAAUGAAUUUUAAUUACGAAUUAACUUUUAUAAAUACUCAAGUUAUACAACGGUUUUUGUUGAAUUUGAUUUUUAUUUUACACUGAACUUUUAUUUUUAUAACUACAAAAUCACAAGUUAUAUUUAAUAUUUUUUUUAUAACUCAAUUGUUGUUUUCUUGCAUAUAAAAGUUUGUAAGUAUAAGUAAUGGAUAUAAUAACGUCAUAUUAAUUUUCAAAAUAUAAUCAAUAUUUUAAAUCUUAUUGACAAAAAAAGGACUAAAUUCUAUCUAUUAUUUUAAAAUAUUAUUUUAAAAUAUUAUUGUAUAUACAAAUACUCACAAAUACUCCAUGACGCUGACGAACAUCCAAUAAUCAUUAUCAGGUAGUGAAAGAUCUGAGGAACACAUUAAAAUUUGUACUUCAAUAAAACACAAUUGAAAGAUGAAUUUUAGCCAAAAUAAAUAUGCAUGAAUACAGGUUGGCAAAUUGGCGUAACAACCACUGAGCUACUCAAGUACAAGGACUCGAUGAAAGGCCUCUACUACUCCCAGAACCUGAAAAUGCUAUUUCUAUAAUUCCAUCACGUUAUUUAUCUUAUUUAAUGUACUGUUCUGUGAUAACGUAUGGGAACUCGCUAAUAUGGAAUGCUAGCUUUGCAUUUGGUCUCCUCGCCAUAUUCACAAAUCAUUAGGAUUCAUAUAGAAUUGGUGCGUGUUCAAAACAGAAUUUUUUCAAGCACAAGAUCAGCAAAAAUAAAUUUAUUAAUCUUCUGCAAUUUAAAAUGCCCAGCAAGGCGGGCAUAAAUACUAGUUCUUCAUAUUUACACAACCAUUGAUCUGUCUUGCAACAAAUUUCAAGGAGAAGUUCCAAAGGUUACAUGAGAGCUUAAAUGGCUUGCAUUGCUCAAUCUAUCUCAUAAUAGUCUCACCGGACAUAUCCCAUCACUCCUCGGAAAUAUGGAAGCACUCCUAUCUCUAGAUUUGUCUUCAAAUCAAUUGACAGGGGCUAUUCCACACCAAUUAACUAAAUUGACAUUUCUAAAGGUGUUGAACCUCUCGGGAAAUAAUCUUACUGGGGAAAUCCCGCAAAAAGGGCAAUUCAGCACUUUUGGAAAUGAGUCAUACUUGGGGAACCCGGCCUUGUGUGGACUUCCUUUGACGGAAAAAUGCAUGCAUGCAGUGUCACCAACUCAAGAAGUCGGAAAUGGUGAUACUGAUGAAGAUGACGAUGCUGAUGAUGAACUUAAUUGGGAAGCCAUCCUGAUGGGAUAUGGAUGUGGAUUGAUAUGCGGAUUGUCUUUGGGGUACAUUGUUUUCAAGAUAGGAAAGCCUUGGUGGUUUGUGAAAUACAUUAAAAUACUACAACUGAAAUUGAUGAAAACAUGCACAAAGCAUAGCAGACGAAAGACUUGAGGAGAUGUUGUCUUAGGAUGCAAUCUCGUUUAAUACUUUCAUCAUUAUUCUCCAAGAUGUCUGAACAUGUAUUUUCAAAGAAUUCUCAGUUCACCUUUAGCCUUAUAAAGUAAAAGACAUUUUAAAGGCACUCUCAACUUACACCUAUAUAUACACGUACGGUUCACUUCAGUACAAAGAUUAUUAGCCAUGCAAAACAUGCAGAACCACUAGUAAUGCAGAAAAACAAAAUAUCAGUUUUCUCCAAAUAUCACUACAACAAAACUGCCAUUUUACGACGGAAAUCUAAUAUUCUAAAGGUUUACGACCAAACUAUGUUGGUGGACUUUAUUUUAAUUUACAGUUUUAACAGUAGUUAAUUUUGGAUAUCUAAACUUGCGACAGAAAACAUACGACAGUCUACCUCGCGAGAGAAAAUCAUUUUAUUUUAUUUUUUAGCGCCAGAAUUUUAAUACUAAAAUAUUAUAUAUAUGAAGGAAACUGAUCUCUAAUGUUUUCAGCUUGCUCAUCCAUAUGUAAGUAAUCCGUCGAAAAAGUUAGUUUGUUGUGGUGGUGUCUUAUCAUGAGAGAAAAUGAUAAUAUCGCAAAAUAUUUGCAACUGAAAGAUAAAUUAUAAUUCUAGAAACCAUUUAGGUAACGAUGCACGAAGUUAUUUUCACUCACUUAGAAUUAAUGAUCAUAAAUAUUUGCAACGGAAAGAUACAUUAUAGUUCUAGAAAAGGAUCCACGAAGUUAUUUUCACUCACUUAGAAUUAAUUGUAAGUUAUUGUGAGUUUUUGAAUAUGGAUUAUCUCAAAUUUUAUGAAAACACAUAUUGAUUCAUAUAUACAAAUUUGCCUACCUAAUAUUAUAAUAUUUAUGGAGAAGUUGUAUGAACAAUUGUGUAGAUAAUUAUACUUUACAAAGCAUACUUCUGCUAGAUGAAUUUUGAUUAAACAAAAUCGAAAGGGAUAGGUCUGGGUCUCUCCAAGUCUUUGAGGACUCAUUCCAAGUCUUCUGACGAGGACAAAAUAUAUUGCUGGUAGUCUUUCAGUCCUUCCUAGAGUAUUUUAUGCUCUGGACUGCAUUAUGCAGCUCUCAUAUAACUUUGCGAUGCAAAACAGUGGCAAGUAAGUAUUUCCGUAUGUGUAUUUAUUUGUAUAUUAAAGUUGCGUAACAUUUGUGUUGAUAAUUUGCGUAAUGUUGAUGAGGAUUGCUCCCAAGUCUUGGACGGACUCUUUCCAAAUCUUCUGAGGACAUAUCGGUUCAAAUUAGUCCAUUAAAAAUUUUAUGAUAUGAAGCUAUCUGCAAAAUAAUAUAUAAGGUAAAAUGAACCAUUGUUUUGUGGUUAAGUUGUACAGGCAAUAUGCAGUGCAAAAUCAGGAACAGAAUAUAUGAAUACUAGUAAUAUGAUAUCGGUAUGAACGAAUAUUUUCUAUGUAGUUGUUAUUGUGAUGCGGAAAAAAUAUUGUAACCAAAAAUAAUUAUAAUUCUAAAAAUUUCCAUUAUACACUUUUUUAGUGUUCGUGGUACUUCAAAUGACAUUUCUCGCGUAUGCCUCCAAUUAAGAACUUGAUGUUCAGCAUAGUCCGAAACUAAAAUUAUUAUAAGUGUGUAAUUCAAAAUUAUAUUGCUGGUAGUCUUUCAGUUCUUCCUAGUGUAUGCAGUAGUUUCAUUCGAUACCGAUUAUUUUAUGCAUUGCCCGAGAACCAGUCUAUCUAAAACCCUAAGAUGUUAUAUUUUUAUACGUGUAUUAGUUUUGAAGAUUAAAGUUGUAUGGACAAUUGUGUUAAUAAUUUGCGCAAUUGCGCAAUGAUAACUGGGAUAGGUCAUCUUCUCUCCCAAGUCUUGGAUGGAAUCUUUCCAAGUCUUCUGAGAACCCAUCAGCUCAGAUUAGUCCAUACAAUGUCAAGGGUCCUAUGAUAUGGUCUACUAACAGCCCAGUGUCGGUAAUAAAUCCAAUUGCAUAUAACCUAUUCAAAAUCAAUCCCCUAUAAACAAUCAUCUCUAAAAACUAUUCACAUAAAAUAAAAUUUUAAAAAUAUAAAAUAUCUAGUUGUUUUCAAUAUAUAAUUUUCCACAGUAGAUAACACAAUAUCUUUAUCAAAUUAUUAUUUAUGGGUUCAAUAUUUAAGCUAUAAUUCCAACAACACGGCAAGCAUGCAGCAUAUAAAUAGAAGUGUGCAGUAUGGUAUUGCAUUCAUAACCCAGUUGAGGAAAAAUAUGGCACCCUUCCUAAAGCCUUCUCACCUUCUUCUCUUUGUUUUCUUUCUCUCAUCACCUGAGUCCAUUCUUGCGACAACACGAGAAGGAGAAGCUCUUGUGAAGUGGAAGAAUAGCCUAGCCCCUUCUUCUUUUCUUGAUUCUUGGUCACUCACUCAUCUCGAUAAUCUUUGUAACUGGACUGGCAUUACUUGUAACUCUGCAGGUUCAGUCUCUAAGAUUAACCUUUUUGAGAAACAACUUAAUGGAAUGCUGUCCGAGUUUGGUUUCACUUCAUUUCCAAAUCUCAGCAAUCUCACCCUCACAUACAACUUCUUCUCGGGUCCCAUACCACCAGCCAUUGAGAAUUUAACCCAGCUUCGGUAUCUUGAUUUGAGCUAUAAUUAUCUGGAUGGUCCCAUUCCGUUCCAGGUUAGCCAUCUUCAGAGCUUGCUCAUCUUGAACCUGUCACAGAAUGCAUUGCAAGCUCCAAAUUGGUCCCAUUUCUCUCCCAUGCCUUUCUUGCGCAUCCUCAACCUCAGUUACAAUCCUCUUGCGUCGAAAUUCCCAAAUUUUAUAUCCAAUUCUCAUAGCCUGACUCACCUUAGCCUUAAUUUUAAUGAGUUUACUGGUGAUCUAGUACGUGAAUCAAUAUUUGCCAAUCUGCAUAAUCUUGAAGUCCUCAGUCUUCUUGGCAAUUUUUUUGAGGGGCCAUUUCCGCCAGAUAUAUUCAAGCUUUCCAAAUUAAAACAUCUUCACCUGUCAGGUAACAAAUUCUCAGGUUCAAUUCCAAAUGACAUAAGGUUGCUUUGUGGUCUUGAAAACCUAUUUUUAAGCAACAAUUCCUUUGAAGGACCGCUUCCACCAAAUAUAUUUAAGCUUUCAAAAUUAAAACAACUUGUUCUUUGGAGUAAUAAUUUUUCAGGUUCUAUUUCCAAUGAUAUAGGUUUGCUUUCUGAACUUGAAACCCUCAAUCUUCAAUUUAAUUUUUUUGAGGGGCCGCUUCCCCCACAUAUAUUUAGGCUCUCUAAGUUAACAGGUCUAGAACUCGGAGACAAUAGAAAUUUAUUUGAAGGAAGUAAUAUUCCUAUCGGACUGGGACUCUUGACUAACCUCAGGUACUUAGAUUUACAUUCCAGUAAUCUCAGUGGCUAUAUUCCAUCUGACAUUGGAAACCUGAAGCUACUAGUACUUCUUAGUCUCGGUUCUAAUCAAUUGACUGGACCGCUUUCAAAGAUCGUUUAUAAUCUCACAAAUCUUAUAUUUCUUGAUGUAAGUAAUAAUAGUCUUAGUGGAAAUAUUCAGAGUGACUUGUGGAAAUAUAACCAUCAUCCUACUUUGGAAUACAUCGAUUUUAGUGGGAACCAUUUUACAGGUAUAUUUUUUCUCUAUAGAUCUUUUCCUUUUGUCAUAUGUAACUAAGCUAGUAAUCUGAUUAUUGCAGUUUUACUGAAGUUUCAACAAUCUUGACAGGUGAGCUUCCAACAACAAUUUGCAAUGUCAUGUCCCUUUCGGUUCUUGAUUUGUCAAAUAAUGAAUUAAGUGGUGCACUUCCAAACUGUUUCGGGAAUCUUGCUGAUGGAUUGCUUUACAUUAAUCUUGCUAAUAAUCAGUUUCGAGGAACAAUACCAACUACUUUCUCCAGGAGUUGUCAGCUGACAUAUCUAAACAUGGAUAAUAAUGAGUUUGAAGGAUUGUUGCCCCCAUCUUUGGCGAACUGUAAGCACUUGAGAAUUCUUGAUAUUGGCAAUAAUAAAAUAGGUGGUACAUUUCCGUCAUGGCUUUAUGUACUUGGAGAGCUAGAAGUCCUUGUCUUGCGAUCAAAUAAACUCUAUGGUACAAUAAGUGGAAGGAGCAUAGAAGAUCCCUUCCCCAAGUUGCGGAUUGUGGAUCUGUCCAACAAUCAAUUCACAGGCCAUUUGCCAAUUCAAUACUUUAAGAAUAUGAAAUCAACUGAUAAUUUGUAUCGUUAUCAGAAUUCCACAGGAGUUUUUUCUUUCCAUUAUGAAGCAUCUGUCUCAUUAACUGUGAAGGGAACAGAGUAUGAAGUGAAAAAUAUCCUUCAUAUUUACACAGCCAUUGAUCUGUCCUGCAACAAGUUUCAAGGAGAAAUUCCUGACGUUAUUGGAGAGCUUAGAUGGCUUGCAUUGCUCAACUUAUCUCAUAAUAGUCUGACAGGACCUAUCCCAUCAUUACUGCGAAAUAUGAAAGGACUCCAAUCUUUAGAUUUGUCCUCAAAUCAACUGACAGGGGCUAUUCCACCUCAGAUAACUGCACUGACAUUUCUAGAAGUCUUAAACCUCUCGGGAAACCAUCUUAGUGGAGAGAUUCCUCAGAAAGGACAAUUCAGCACAUUCAACAAUGAUUCUUAUAUAGGAAACUCCGCAUUAUGUGGAUCACCAUUGACGAAGACAUGUGCAAACACAGCAUCACCUCCACAAGAAGUCGGAAAUGUUGAUGAAGAUGAUGCGGGUGAUGAAUUGACAUGGGAAGCAAUCUUGAUGGGAUAUGGAUGUGGACUGAUAUGUGGAUUGUCAUCUGCAUACAUUGUUCUCAAACUAGGAAAGCCUUGGUGGUUUGUGAGAUAUCUCGAAGUACUGCAACAGAAGUUGAUGAAAAGAUAUGCAUGAAGAAUGGUACUGGCCGAUCAAGACCAACUUGAAAGUUUGUUGUCCUUGUGCACAUUUCUGAACCAGUAGUGUACUUGCUGCAUAAGUAUUUGGUAUUAUGUAAUAAUCCGUUUGGUCGGGACUCAUAAUGAUUUCUCUUGCUUCAGGGGUAUUAAUAUUAACCUUGCUAUCUUGAUCAAUGUUAAAGCAAAUUAAAUGAAUGAAAAAACAAAAAGUAUGCAUCAAAUCCGCUCCUGCUGUACCAAAAUCCAUUAAAUUGCUUUGGUCUCUUACCUAACAAUUUAACAGCACACUUCCACACUGUUCAUACCUAAUUUGCGUGUAAUAUGAAAACUAAGAGGCAUGGCUUUUGUCUCUAUAAGUCUUUGAGAACUUAUUCUUCCAAGUCUUCUUCGGAGGCCUGCUGCCUCAACAACCUUUCAAAGAUGUAGCAGUUGCUCGAGAGUAACAUAUAUAUUAGAUAAAGACUAUGCAAUAAUCCACGUGACAGAAAAACCAAAGUCCAAUUAGUUUUCCAAGUUCAUAAAAAAUACUAUAGGAUCAUUAGCAUUACAUUAGUAUUCCACUAGCAUACAGCAUAUUAUAAGACAAAAGUAAGCGGAAAUAAACAUAAUUUCAAUAGAUUUAACUUACUCUUCAGAAUCGAUAAGUUUGGAACACGUUGAUUGAGCACAAGACGAAGGCCACACAUGCGCAUCAUCUGAUGCAGCUAUAUAUGGUGCCUUUACAGUUGCUCAUACAUAUAGUGAAACAAUAAGGAUCAACUCCUCCAUUGUACGUACACAUUUUCAUACAAGCUAUAAAGCAUGGUGAUAGAGUCUUUGCAAUCUCGUCAUGACCGGCACAUCCGAUUAUGAUAAACUCUAGCAGGAUCAUCCAAGUAAUAAUUUUCAUAAUGAUAUUAAUUAUCAUUGUGAAUAGUUGCAUUGAGUUAUAUAUGUGUGUGUAUAUAUAUGCAAUGGAUUUUGUGGUUGAGAAUAUCUAUUAGAUUUUGUAUAUCCAUAACAAUUAUUAAAAUUUAAACAAGAAUAUCUAUUAUUGGUUGUGGUUGACUAUUGUAGUAGUCCAAGAAAUCAAUGCAAGUGAAAUCUAUAUUAUAUUUUAAAAGAUUAUACAUGAAAUACAAAAGGUUUUUUUAGGACUGCUGUUAAAAAUUGUUAUGUUGUACGAAAAAAUGCUGAUAAAAAGAGUGUUAUACGAAAAAAUGCUGAUAAAAAAAAUGUCGUAUAAAUCAGAUAUGACAGCUUCCCACAAAAACUAAAAAAAACAGUUUUCCGUAAUAAUAUGGGAGAGGAAAAACUGUUUGUAGAUUUAUAGAACAAUUUUUCGGUAAAAAACUGUUGUUGUUUUCGAGAGUAAUGACAAACAGUGCCGAAAUCAUUUUGCAGGUAGUUAAUCUCACUUCCAUAUAAUAUACUCCUAUAUAUUACCGAAAAAACAUGAAAUGAUGCAAACCUCAUACUAUUGACAACAGCUAAACUCCUUGCAAUACUUUCAGCUGCAAAAUCCAUCAAAUUUUUUGAUUUAUCAUGUAACUGUUUGACAGAGUACUUCCAAGCCUAAGUAUCAAAAAUCACUACCUUACGAAAUAUAUCUCACCCUACCUUCUCUGCUUAACUGUUUCGAGUGCUUUUACCAAGCAUAUUUUCCAUUAAGCGUGAAAGGCACAGAAUAAUUAGGAUCACCGAAUAUCCCAUCAGUGCUGGGGAAUAUGGAACCAUCUUAUCAAUUAACUAGUUUAACAUUUCUUGCGGUCUUGAACCUCUCAGAAAACCAUCUUAUCCUAAUGUGCCGACUUCCUUUGACGGAGAAAUGGUGAUGCUGAUGCUAAUGAUAAUGAACUCAACUGGGGAGUGAUCCUUAUGGGAUACGGAUGUGGAUUGAUAUGCGGAUUUUCUUUGGGGUUUAUAUUUUGUGGUUUGUGAGAUACAUUGAAGUACUGCAGCUGGAGUUGAUCAUUAUAAAGAACAUAGGCAAGUUAAUCGCUUAUUGAAAUUAGUAAUUGUCAAAAGUAAAAUGUUGAAAUUACUUUUUUCGAUUGAAAUCAUUGAAAAAAAGUCUCUGUCGAAAUUGAUCUGCCAAAAUUAUGUUUAAUAUCUACGGCCAAGAUUAUCUGUCGAAUAUAUUUCCCGACAAUUUUAAAAGACAAAUUUUUCGCCUCUCAGCUGUGAGCGGGAACAGAUAUUUUCGACAGAAUUCCAUUGAAAUUAGCUAAUUUCAACAUAAAUUUUCUAUCGAAAUUACUUGAGUUCUUUGUAGCUUGUUUUCACAAAUACGCUGAUAGCCUUUGGGGACGGGUAUAUUGUUUUCACAAAGCCCUGGUGGUAUGUGAGAUGCUUCGAAGGACUGCAACUGAAGUCGAUAAGAACAUGCAGAAAGAAAACCGAUCCAUCUUGAUAAACUUGAAAAAUGUUGUCAUAUGGUGAUAUAUACUCCCUGGCCCCAGUCUCUUGGAAAGAACUUGGUUGAUUUUUUUUUUUCAGUAUUGUUGGAGCUGUCAUACUAGUGCUAGUGUGCCGACUAGCACUAGUAUGACAGCUCCAACAAGUAUCCAUCCCUAAUAAUUGCAGCAAAUUAAAAAAUAUAGCUAUAUCUUUUUAGCAAUGGUGCAAUUUGGAAAGCUUUCUCAUCAUCUUCUUCUUUUCUUUAUCUCAUUACUCUCAUCUAGUUCCACUGUCCUAUCUGCAACAAUUCGCGAAGGAGAAGCUCUUGUGGAAUGGAAGAACAGCCUAUCCCCGAAUUCAUUUCUUGGUUCUUGGUCACUAAUUAAUCUCACUUAUCUUUGUAAUUAAGUGGACUGGCAUUGUAUGCAACUCUGCAGGUUCAGUCAGUCAGAUUAAUCUUCAAGAACUCACACUUGCUAACCUCCGUUUCUUUUCGUUUCCAAAUCUCACCAAUCUCAACAUUACACAUAACAACUUCACUGGUCCAAUACCACCCGAGACUUUAGCUAUAGUAAUCUCAAUGGUACCCUUCCAUACCAGGUCAGCCAUCUUCAGAGGUCGGUCGUCUUAGGCCUCUAAUUUAAUCACUUGAAAGCUCUAAGCUUGUCCAAUUUUUCCCCCAUGCCUAUACUGGUUGGUCGCGGUCUUGGUGGUAAUAAGCUGGCGUCAAUUUUUCCAGAAUUCAUAUCUAAUUGCUAUAACAUGAUUAACCUUGAUCUUUCAUUUAACAUGUUAACUGGUGAUCCCUUCAACAACUUGCGAAUCUUGGAUCUCUUCGACAAUGAAUUCACUGGUUACUUGCCAAUCCAAUAUUUUAAUAAUAUGAAACCAGUUAAUACCGUGAUUGAUUAUUACAACAUAACAGUGAAUCAUGAUUAUCAAGCAUGUCUUGUUAACAUUUUGCACUCGUAUUAAUUGUCUUAUAUAUGACUAACUCAUCUUGCACUCGUAUUAAUUGUCUUAUAUAAUACUAAUAACAAAAAUAUGAGGCGGUGCUUAGUCAGAUGAUUUUAGUUGUUAAAAUAUUUUUGUGUUAUUUAUAGAUAGUGAAACAUGUCUAAUAUUUUAUCAAUUUUGUUUCGUUUCUUGAGAUUUCCAAAUAUUUAUUGGGACAUUGUACCAUGGUGUAUUUCACAUAUUCGCAAUUUUAAUUAUUUUGUAUUUUUAUUUUAAAGAUAUGAUAAAGUUUAUUUAUUUAUUUGUUUUUAUCUUAAAAGCGAUUUUCGAGUGUUGCUUAAACCUCGAAGAUUCCAAUCGAGUUUUAUUCUCGGAUCUGUUUCGGAAUUGAGCUUGGCCUUGAUUGUUUUCUGAAUAAAUCAGAUCUUUUGAAAUCAAAGGUUCGAUUGUGUUUUCCCGUCUCGCCUUUUGGCGUGUGUUGAUUUAGUACCCAAUUUUUGGGUGAUUCUGCGUUGUUAUAUUUGUGGUUGUUAUGUCUUUCUGUGUUAUCAAUGAGAAUGAUUGGGAUGGAGUUUUGGGAGAUUUGGCUUAUCGCAUCAUUACAUCUUUCGGCAUGUCUAUAGCUGGCUCCCGGCAUGUAGAUAGCUGGGGUAUGCUUGGAACGGUGGCGAUCGCAUGUGCUCACCUGUCACAAAUUAUAGUUGUUCAUUAUUCGAGGGCUCUUGUUCCUCGUUGCUUAGUUUUUACAACUGAGUCGUCUGAACACCGCAACAGCCAUGGAACUAUUGUGAAGGUCAAUUGUGAAGCUAUCAUUUUCGAGAUUGAUGUAGGCUGGAUUACUCGAGAAGCUUUUGUAUUCAUUUUCAGUUUCAAGAAUUCUUGAAUUCAGUGUGUUAAGCAGUCUGGAAACAAUGCGGCUAUUUGAUUAGCUCGUUUUAUUGUUUAUCAACCUGAUUGCAUUGUCAGUUGGGGAUUUGUCCCGAUUAAACUUGUUUUAAUAUAAUGGAAUGAAUUUGCAUUUUGUCAAAAAAAAAAAAAAAAAGCGAUUUUGAGUUGUUUGAGUUAGAUAUAUACUCCUACUGUGGUUCAACUAGUUUUGCCAUAAGUGAAUAACUUCCGGUCAAUAUUUUGAAAUUUGUCGUUAUCUUCUAAUUAAAAUAAAGGGUUAAAUAGCUACUUCAUCAUUAAUAUCGUUGAAAAUUUGCAGCUGAGUCAUGUUGUUGAAAAGACUUUCAAACUGCAUCAUUAAGUAAUUAAAAAAUUUCAAAAACACCACUCUCCGUCAGUUAUGUUAAACAAUUAACGGAAAGUUCGAAAAAAAAUAAAGAAAAGACAAAAAAACAUUAAAAAAAUUUGAAAAAAAAACCCGAAAAAAUGUGAAUAAACUAUGAUAUUUUUUUUCUUUUUUUGAAAAAUGUGAAUAAAAUCAAAAAAUCAAAAAAAAUGGGAAACCAAAAGUGGCAAGCUUUUUUUUUUUUUGUUCCUUUCAAAUUUUCUAAAAUCUGGGGAAAAAAGAACUUGCCAACUAAUUUUUUCCAAAUUUUUUCAAAUUCUUUUCAGAUUUUUGAAUUUUUUUCCAAUUUUUUCCUCACUUUUUUUCUGUUUUUUUUUGAAUUUAUUAAGAUUUUUUUUGUUUUUUCUGCUUAUUCUGAAUUUUUUAAGAUUUAUUCGCAUUUUUAAAAAAUAUUUUUGAAUUAUCCGUUAAGUAAUUAAUGGAACUGACGGAGAGUGAUGCUUUUGAAAGUUUUUAAUUACUUGAUAAUGCGUUUGAAAAUUUUUUCAACAACAUGACUCAGUUGCAAGUUUCCGGCGAGGUUAGUAAUGAAUUAGUUAUUUAACUCUUAAUAAAAAUCUAUCUAAACAAUAUUAUAAAUAUAAUGUUAUGGGUUCGAUGAGUCGUGUAAAACAUGGAAGAAGUUUAGGUGGGGUAAAAAGAGCCUAGCUGUGUGAUUUCCAUUCUGUUAUACGUGAUAUACUGUAGUUGAUCAUCUCCUUUGUCCGCUUCAUCCUGUGCAACCUUAACCUUUAAGGAAAAACUUAUGAGAUUCUCUAGUGCAUCUAAAUUCUUGUGUGAAGAAUGUGAAGAAAAAUGUUAGUCUCAGAUUAUUUUUCCUAAAAUGCUUGCAUGUUACAUUUUAUAUGUAUGUCCUGACUUUAAGUAUAAUUUAGCAUUUUUAUUUAGUAUUGUGUAAAAAUAAUAUAUUUUAUUCAGUCUUAUUAAAAAUAUAAUCAUGUUAUACUGUAAAAGUAUUUGUGAAUUUCUUUGUUACAUAUGUGUUUAAAUUAUUUUAUUUAUAUAUGUUUUACAAUUUUUUACAAAUAUAUAGGUUGAGUAUUGCAUAGGAAUAUAAUUACACGUUAGCAAAUAUGAUUAUGUGUAAACUGUUCUGCGUGCAUGUAUAUUGCUGCUAAGUUUUAAACUUCUUACUAACCGGAAUAAUUUUGACAGAUGUGUGGAACUUGAUUAAUUUAGUUGCACUAUAAGAGAAAGCGUUUUUGUCAAUAAAAAUUGUUAAGGAAAUUAGUCCGUUGGUAGUUCUCAACGGAUUUGUAACAAUUUGACUGGUCAAUGUUCUGUCAACCAAUUCGUAAUGAAAUACCCACACUUAUUUACAACGAGAUGUUCUAUUAGGAAAUAUAGCCACACAAUGGAAUAAUAACAAAAGACCAAGGAAUGAGCAACAGACUAGCAACGAAAGUAUCUGUUAUUACAUUCGUUGAUAUUCCCUUGAUAAAUACUAGACUUUUUAGCACUUUGGUGGCUUGUACUAUUUCAAAUUUGCACGUUAGUGGCCGACCUUUAAAAGUCAUCAAUUGUGUUGCUGAACUUAUUUUUUUUUAACACAUUAGGGGCUCCGCAUCAUAUCCGUUAAAUCGAAGUAACGGCGUCAAAUGAUCAAUACAUAUCUCCUCCUCCUCUUAUUUCCCUCCAAAUUAAAAAACGAAACGGCUACCCUCUUUUCCGAAGCAAGAACGACGACGAAUUCCUGCUUACAGAGAUGAGUUGGUUCCGGCGUCUUAAAGAGGAUGCUGAUGUGUAUUAGCCUCGACAGUGCCCCGAUUACUGUAGUAAGCUCUUCAACUUUUCUUCUUUGUAGCAUAUGAAAUGAGUUUAAUUGACCAUUAUUUCAGUGUUUGUUGUUGUUAGUGGCUAGUUGUUUAGUAUUAUGGACCUGCAAUUGCUUUAUACUAUUAAAAUGAAAGAUUCUGCUUGUGGGUUUUUAAAAAUUAAGGCUUUUACAUAGUCCAAGAUUCGGUCAUUAUAAAAUCAAUUUAUGCCUGUUUUAGUAUAGUGCUUGUUGUUAGUGGCUAUUUGUUAAGUAUAGUGUUGUUUAUUGUAAAUAAAACUGUUGCUUUGCACUCUACAUUUGCAGAACCUGGUGAUUUUACCCUAAAAAUAUAUCAUGGGGCCGAUUGGGUAGAUAACCCUAGGGCAUAUGUGGGAGGUACAGUAGAUUUCUUUGACUUCUGUAAUGCUGAUCAGAUCAGCAUAAUUGAGAUAUAUAGUAUGUUGAAAGAGGUUGAUGAGUUUGGGUUUCACCAACUGUGGUAUAAGCUACCUGGCACUACAUUCGAUAGAGCUUUUGUACUAAAUAAUGAUGAGGAGCUAAUGACCAUGUGUGAGCUUAUAUCUGAUGUGGAUAAGUAUAUGGAGAUUUAUGUCACCACUAUGGCACAUCUAAGUAUAGUGCCCUAUAGAGAUUUAGAGGUUGAAUUUGUUGAACCAACUCCUAAAGAAGCACCUGAAAAGAACAAUCCAUCACCUGAAAAGAUCAAUCCAGCACCUGAAAAGAUCAAUCCAGCACCUGCAAAGAUGUAUCCAGCACCUGCAAAGAGCAUUCCAACUGUGGGAAAUGAUGAUGAUCAGGAAGAGUUUGAGUUUGAUUUUGACAAUACACGGUUUUGGGAUACCACCCAAAAUGAAAUUGAAAUUGUGCAACAAGUUAGGGAAAUGGAGGGGUUGGAAGAGGAAUUUUCAGACACAGAUUCUGAUGAUGAGGAUUUUGUGCCAGAAGAAAAGGAAAGUAGUGAUGAGACCUUCCACUGUGAUAGUUCCAAUCAAGAUAAUUCUGAUGAUGAUUUGUUGUUUGAUGAUGAUUACUACCAUCCUUACCAGCAGAUGGAAACCAACAAAGAAAAAUAUACAACAACAACAACACAGCAAGAAUUUUCCAGUUCCUUGCUUGCUUCUGCGCCUCGGAUAGUUCUUCACUGUAGAAAUCCUUGUACUCAUCUUUGGCCUUAAUCAUUUCAGCAAAACAUUCAUCGUCCUUGUUCUUCAAACGCCUUAUCAGUCCAUUGAUUACACUCUUGCUGCGCGCAUCAAACUCGGGUUCAACCCACUUGAAGAAAUUGCACCUUCCAUUCACGCAAGUCAAGAAUCUUCUACCCGGAUUGUACUCCGUCCACGAUGUCUUCUCCACUGCCCAGCUUCCACACAUACAUUGUUGAUUCAUCUUUGCAGAGCUUUUUGGUUUGGAUGAGAGAUUUAGGUUUGAAUAUGCUCAAUUACACACAGCAGAAACGUAUAUAUAUACACAGCAUAUAGCCGUUGCAAAAAUAUUUUCCUGAAAUACCCCUGACGACCGUUACUUCGAUUUAAUGGAUAUGAUGCGGAGCCCCUAAUGUGUUAAAAAAAAAAUAAGUUCAGCAACACAAUUGAUGACUUUUAAAGGUCGGUCACUAACGUGCAAAUUUGAAAUAAUACAAGCCAUCAAAGUGCCAAAAAGUCUAAAUACUAACAGUUUCGUUAGUAAUUGAUUAUUAGUUUUACAUGGACAAUUGAUAUACACCACAUGAGCACAUACACGGAUACAAUGCCAGGCUCUUAGUUGAAAUGUGUGUACUGCUAAAGCUCAAGGAGAUUUAGUUGACUAAAUUGAUUUGAGUUGUAGAAAAAGGUUUAAUAAUAUAAUGGACUUUGAUAUAUGUAUUGUAGAUAUUAAGUAAUUCUCUUGAAUUUAUAUAUGUAACAUAAUUGUUAAUUGGCUCAUCCUUAACUAGAUAUUUUAUAUUACAUUCUUAACUACAGAUUUUGUAUUUAAAAUUUUUUUAAAAAAUUAACCUUUAUUUGGUAUGUGGAUUUUGUAGUCAAAUGUGGUCAAUUUACUUAGCCUUCGAUCGAAUACCUACCCAAAACAUAAAAAUAUUUUUUAAUCAUUUAUUUUCGACGAUCCAACUAUACGGAUAUUAUUGUAAUGUGAUAAUAUUGUUUACAAAUUUUUUUUAAAAAAAUUAGCCUUUUAUUUGGUAUGCGCAUUUUGUAGUCAAAUGCAAUUAAAUUACUUAGUCUUUAGUGGAAUCUUUACCCGAAACAUAAAACUUUUUUUUAAAAAAAAAUUUGGACAAUCCAACCGUACAGAUGUUAUUGUAACGUGUUAAUAUUGGUUAAAAUAAAUUUUGAGAAAAUAUGUCUUUUAUUUGGUGUGUGGAUUUUGUGGUCAAAUGCGGUCAAAUUACUUAGCAUUUAAUCGAAUACUUACCCAAAACAUGAAACUAUUUUUUUUAAAAAAUAAUUUCGGACGAUCCAACCGUACGGGGGUAUUGUAACACAAUAAUAUUGAUUAAUUUUUUUAUAGGAAAAUUAUAGCCUUUUAUUUGUUGUGUGGAUUUUGUUGUCAAAUGCAGUCAAAUUACUUAGCCUUUAAUGAAAUACUUACAUUAAACAUGAAUUUAUUUUUUUUUAAAAAUCAUUUGGAUGAUCCAAUCGUACGGAUGUUAUUAUGACAUGUUAAUUGAUUAAAAAAAUAUUUAAAAAAAAUGCCUUUUAUUUAGUAUGUGGAUUUUGUAGUAAAUGCUACUUAGCCUUUAAUCGAAUACUUACCCGAAACAUGAAACUAUUUUUCUAAAAAUCAUUUUGGACAAUCCAACCGUACGGAUGUUAUUGUAACAUGAUAAUAUUGAUUGUUUUUUUAUAUAAUAACCUUUUAUUUGGUGUGUGGAUUUUGUAGUAAAAUGCGGUCAAAUUACUUAGCUUUUAAUCGAAUACUUACCUGAAACAUGAAACUAUUUUUAAUAAAAUUAUUUUAGAUGAUCCAACCAUACAGAUGCUAUUGUAACGUGAUAAUUGAUUAUUUUUUAAAAAAAUUAGCCUUUAAUAUGGUGUAUGGAUUUUAUAGUAAAAUGAGGUCAAAUUACUUAGUCUUUAAUGGAAUAUUUAUUAGAAAUAUAUUUUAAAAAAUUAUUUUGGACGAUCCAAACUGUAUGAAUGUUAUUUUAACAUGUUAAUAUUGAUUAAAAUUGUUUUUAAAAAAAAAUUAGUUGUAUUUUAUGUGUGAAUUUUUAGUCAAAUACGAUAAAAUAUUUAUUUAGCUUGUAAUGAAAUAUUAAAACCCUACUUCAAAAGAAACUUGUCUAAAACUACCUAUAAGUGUUAGAGAAUCAUCGAUUUAGUUAUCAAAUUAGUUAUCAUAAGGGUUUUACUCCGCUUUUCUCUGGUAUGAUGUUGAUUUUUGGGGUUUGAUUGGUCGAUUUUCAUGUUUUAUAAGUUAUGUGAGUUCGAUUUUGAUGUUUUUACAAUUAGGUUUAUGUAUGUUCUUAUACAGGUUUCAUGUUCAUGUUUUGAUUUGUUGAUUUCCUAUUUUUCAUAUUUUGUUGAUUAGUUAUUUGUGUGGGUUUUGAACUUUGAUGAGUGUGUAUGUAAUCUCCUGUUUUUUUUUUUCAUUUUUCUGGUUCGAACACUUCGAUUAGUAGCUGGAAAAACAGCUGAUGCGGCAGUAGCGGCUAGUGAGAUGGAUAACAAGAAAAGGAUGAUUUCGAGGUCAUCUCGUGCAAGUCUUCAGAUAUAGUUUUGUUCCUUUAUGUUUUUAAUUGACAUAAAUUUUCACAUUUGAUGAUUAUAUUAUGGGGGAUUCUGGGUAUACUUGUAUAUAAUCUAGCAAGUUAUUAUAAUUCUGGACGGGGGGCUUAUUGUGAAAUUAAAUUGAGGGAUAAGUUGUGUUAUUGGUUCUAGUGGAUUAAAUUUAUGUUGACACUUGAUAUAUGCAUUGAUGUCGUAAAAUAAGUUGCACAUCAAACUAUUUGGCUUGUUUAAGUUGUAUGGAGUAAGGCUGUACGCGGAUCGGAUCGGUUCGGUUGGAGGGUAAUAACCAAACCAAACCGCAACUUACGGUUUUCUAAAAUCUCAAACCGCGACCAUACUGUUGGUUAAAAAAACCCAACCAAAUCCAUCCACGUAAUUGCGGUUGGUUGCGGUUCAACUGCUAAAAUAGUUAUAACAAAGAAAAUAUAUAAGUUAUUGCUUAAAAUCUUGCAUAAAGUACAGACUUUAACUCAAAAAUAUAUAAUUUAUCACUUAAAAUCUUGAAUAAAGUUAAUACAAUAAAUCUGAUUACAUAUUACAAAAGCAAACUACUCCGGAAAUAUAUAACUUGAAGCAGAGCUUCAAGUUAAUGGUUAUUAAAAAUUUCAUCCGCGACUGCCCACAUUUUACGGUUAUCCAUAAUACACGGAUCGGUUGCAGGUGGUUGUUGCGGUUAAUGCGGUGGAGCGGAUUGAACGUACAGCCCUAUGAAGUAUGGUUGCCAAGCAUUGGUUGGUUGUACACGUGUAAACAAAAUGAUAUUUUAAUAUUUAAACAAAACAAUACAGUCAUAAACAGAUCGUGUCGGGCUGGACUGAUUGUGAUUUUCCUUUUUGGAACUCGUACUCGGCAUCUUCCAAGCGAAUGAUAUUUAGAAGUUUGUUGCUAGUAUACUCCAUGUCAUAAUAAGAGUUCUUUAGAUUUUUUAUAUGUAAUUCGAAGUAUAAAAAACAUAUUUUAACAUAUUAUUUUUAAAUUUUUUAUACAUAAAAAUAUAACAUCUAUAUUUUUAUUUAGAAAAAAAUUUGAAAUAUAAUAUAUAGAUGCAUGUCUUUUUUAUACGUGAAAUUACAUGUAAAAAAUUAAAAGACUCUUAUUUUGAGUAAGAGAGAAUAUGAUGUACCAUAAAGUCAUCGAUCUUUUGUUAUCAAAUAAAUGUGAUAUUUAAUUAUUUAAGAGCAAGUCCAAAAGUAUCUUAGUUAAAGUCCUAAAUAUAAUAUAAAAUAUUACGUUCUGGUGAUUUAGGAUAUAUUUUACUAACUUGGACUCCAACAAUGUGUCUUAUUCUCAUAAGAAGUUUAAUAUUUUAUUAUUAAAGACUCUCUUUCAUCAUUAAAGCAUAAUAUAAAAGUAGAGAGAGAAAAAGAGUGUUGAUAAGAAUUAAUAAUAAAAUAUGGGAUAGGGUUAGGAGAGAUGUGCCUCAAAAAUAGGGUUUGAGGAGUUUCAUUAGGUGUGGACACGGAGACCAAGAAGUAAAAGAUGAGUACAGUUAAAUGAAGAUGUGGUAAAAUAAUGUGACCCAUUUAUAUUUAAUAAUACAUUUGAAAUAGUGGAGGAAAGUAACGAGUGUAAUAACGUUUAUAUUAUUAUAGCAUAUAGAUAGCAGAAGAAAGCAAUGGGUAUAAAAGUGUAUUAUAUUAUUAAAGUUUUGAAAUGUUUAGAAAUAAUGGGGCAAUCAAAAAGAAAACUGUAUAAAAAUGGACGAGAGAAUACAAUUCAAGAAGUAAUAUAUCUCAAUUCAAACUAGGUAAUAUAUUUAUGAAUUAUAUUAAAAAAAAUUUGACAUUCAAAUAUAAAAAUUUAUUUUAUCAUCUUAACAAUGGAAUAUUCGAUUAUUAACUUUCGUAAAUAACAUUAAUUUUUCAUUAUAAUAUACUCUAAACUUUUAUUUUAUGUGCCUGUUUGUUUACAAGAAGCUGGAGUCCUACUUCUCUUGACUCGUUUGUGUAAAAACGUAAAAAGUGCUUUUAAAAAGUACUGAGAAGGAAAUGGAAGUAGAAAAUGCUAGUUUUUCUUUAUAAUAUCUAUUUCUUUUCUAGACACUUUAAUAAUUUAUAUAUAUUAAUUUAUUUCUCACUUAUACUCCAUUUUUUUAUAGAGAACUUCUUUUAAACUAAUCGGCUCCUAUAAUCAGUAGUUUCUCAAUUUUAAUAGGAAUAAGAGCAUGUUUAUCUGAGCUUAAAGCCCGGGGUUUAUAUCAUCUCUGGCUUUAAGCUGAAAAAUGUAUGUUUGUGUAUUAAGUCGGAAGUCGGCUUAAAGUCGGAAAUAAGUCAAAAAUUGACCUAAAACCAGAAGUUAGUUUGAGAUACUUUUCUCGGUGACUAAUUUUUUUUUUAGCCAUUUUUUGAUAAAAAUUAUUCCUAAAUCACAAAUUACUCAUAAAUUACUUUUAUUAUUAUUAUUAUUAUAUUUUUAAUAACUUAUAAAUUAUUAAUAAAUCAAAAUUAAUCAAACAAAUAUUUUAAGUUCUCAUAUUAUGAGAUAACUAACGUUAAGUCAUGAAUCAACUGAACGGGAUGUAAGUCUUCUUCUCCCCGAGUCAUCAGCAGACUUUUUCCAUGUCUUCUGAGCCCCCAUUGGCUCACAAUUGGCCCAAAAAAUAUUUGGUUAUGCAUUGCUAUUCACACACUUAGACAUCAAAAUUUAUCAUCCGACAGGCGACAGCUAACUGCACACUAUUUUUCCCACAAGCUGAAAAAUCAACGAUCAAUUAAUUUUUCUUAUCAAUUAAUAAAGUUAUGAUUUCACGUACACGGCAGGCAAAAUGCUAAUAAAUAGACGAGUGCAGUAUAGUAUGGGUUCAUGAUCACCUUGAGAUUUAAUUGAAAAAUAUUAUGGUGAUAUAGAUUAAAUUAAAUUAUAAUAUCUUGAAAAGUUAUAAAUAAUUUUAAUUACUAAUAAUAUUUAUUUGUACAUUUAAAUAUUUUUAUAAAAACACAAAAAUAGCAUUAUACUCAUUUAAGUUUCUCGUAUCCGCCUCUCUUCUUGGAGAUUGUGGAUUUGCGAUAUUUAUAUUGAUUAUUAUAGGAAAAUGUUAUUUCCAGAGCAAACAUUUUUAUUUCCGGAGCAAAUUCAAACAAAUUUUUCCAAAUUGUUCUGGAAAUUAAAAUAUUGAUAUGGAUAUAACAAUUCCCUUAUUAUAUCCUAUGUAUAUUACAUUAAUGCAAUUAACAUGGUUGAUUGUUUUAGUAUAUAAUCAUAUUACUGUGACCUUUUAGUAUAUAAUUAUAUUAUUUUUGUUAUAUUUUAUGCAUCUAGAAACAAUUUUUUUAUGAUAUUUAUUAUAUUAAUUAUAGUAAAAGAUAUAAUUUUGUUUAAAAAAUUGAAUAAAACUAAGAGGGAUAGCCUACGUCUCUCCGAGUCUUCGAGGACUCAUUCCAAGUCCGAGAGGACCACAGCCUCAACCUUUAAGAGAUGUGAAAGUAGCUUGAGAGUGAUAUAAAUUUAUUUUUGACAAUAAAAUUUAAUAAUCAAAUAAAUUAAAUUAAAUUAAACUAGUUUAUAAUCGAUUAAAAAUAUAUAAAUCAAAAUUAUUCCCGAAUUAUGAUAACAAUUAAAAUCAUUUUAAAAGUUGCAUAAAUCAAAUCCAAAUCGAACAAAUUCCCCUAACACUAAAAUGUAGUUGCUUUAUUGUAGAUAAAAACAGUAUAAUAAUAGUAUUGAUGAAAAAUCAAAUUCAUCAAAUAAGUUUAUAAAAAAUACAUGAUUUUAAUUUUAAAAAAAAAACAUGAUUUUAGUGUGUUGUAUUAGUAGUGUGUCCACGCAUUUAUAUAUUAAAAUCUAUCCUCUAAAAACUAUCGAUCUAUUUACACAACUAUUGAUCUGUCGUGCAACAAAUUCCAGGGCGAAGUUCCAAAGAGAGCUUAAAUGGCUUGCAUUGCUCAAUCUAUCUCAUAAUAGUCUUAACGACAUAUGUUCUGAAUUAUUAUUAUGAUUUCAACAAUAUUUUCAAACAUUUCUUAAUAUGUAUUUUCAAAGAAUUCUCAAGCACUUGAACAUUUGGACCGGUUCUUUCGAAGCCAGGCAAUGCACAAAAAUGUCCAAAAAUGAAUAAAUUAAGAGAGAGUAGCUCACCCUUUCAAAGCCUUCCAGGACUCAUUCCAAGUCUUCGGAGGACCACUGCCUCCCCCUUUCAAAGAUGUGAUAGUAGCUCGAGAGUGAUAUAAAUUAUUUUCCCGACAUUAAAAAUAAAAAAUCAGAUUAAAUUAAUCAAUAAUAACUUAAGGAUGAAAUCCAAAUUAAUCCUAAAUUUUGAUAAUAUAUAAAAAUUAUAAUUAUAAAUUAUAUAACCAAAUCAGAAUUGAAUUAACUUACUUGGCACUAGAAUUGCUAAAGACAGUAUAAUAAUUUAAUUGAUGAAAAGUCAAAGUCUUCUAAUAAAUCCAUAAAGAAUAUGAUAAUAUGAAAAUUAUAAUUGAAAAAUCAAAAUCAAUAGUGUAUUGGAAUAGUGUUCACACACUUAUAUAUCAAAAUUUGUGGUCCAAAAACUAUAGCACAAUAUCCUAAAUACAUCACAUUAAAUAAUAGCACAAAAAUAUUCAAUAAAUAAUUGAUUUCAUUCAUAAAUUUGUUAUUUUAAAAACUAAUAAUUUGGUUGAUGUUAACCUAUAUUUUAUAUAUAAUUUCGUCUUAUUUUAUUUUACUAGAAACAAUAUUUUUAUAAUAUUUAUUACAUUAAAUAUAUUAAAAGAUAUAAUUUUAUUAAAAAAAUUGAAUAAAAUUAAAAGGAUAAGUCUCGGCCUCUCCAAGUCUACAAGACUCAUUUCAAGUCCACCGAGGGCCUCAACCAUUGAGAGAUGUGAAAGUAGCUUGAGAGUGAUAUAAAUUAAUUAAAUUAGUUAAUAAUGAAUCAAGACUAAUCAUGAAUUAUGAUAAUAAUUAAAUAAAUUAUAAAAUUAAAUUAUACAAAUAACACUAAACCUUAGUUACUUUAUUGGUAAAUAAAUAUAAUAUAAUAAUCAAAUUGAUGAAAAAUCAAAAUCAUUUAAUAAAUUCACAAAAAAUAUAUGAUCAUUAGUAUGUUAUAUUAGUAUCCACACACUUAUAUUUCAAAAUCUAUCCUCCAAACUUAUCAUCUCUGUAAACUAGCCACAUAAAAUAAAAAUUUAAAGAUAUUAGAUAUUUAGUUAUUUUCAUUAUAUAAUUUUUCCACACGAAAUAACAAAAUAUCUUUAUCAAAUUAUUAUUUAUGAGUUAAAUAUUCAAUUUAUAAAUCCAGUAUGCAGCGUAUAAAUAGAAGUGUGCAGUAUGAUAUCAGAUUCACAUAACCCAGUUGAUGAGGAGAAACAUGGCAUACUCUGCAAAGCCUUCUCACCUUCUUCUCUUUGUUUUCUUUCUCUCAUCACUUGAAUCCAUUCUUGCAACAACACGAGAGGGAGAAGCUCUUGUGAAGUGGAAGAAUAGCCUAGCCCCUUCUUCUUUUCUCGACUCUUGGUCACUCACCAAUCUCGAUAAUCUUUGUAACUGGACUGGCAUUACUUGUAACUCUGCAGGUUCAGUCUCUGAGAUUAACCUUAGUGAGAAACAACUUGAUGGAAUGCUGUCCGAGUUUGGUUUCACUUCAUUUCCAAAUCUCAACAAUCUCACCCUCGCAUACAACUUCUUCUCGGGUCCAAUACCGCCAGCCAUUGAGAAUUUAACACAGCUUCAAUACCUUGAUUUAAGCUUUAAUUAUCUCGAUGGUCCCAUUCCGUUCCAGGUUAGCCAUCUUCAGAGGUUGCUCAUCUUAAACCUGUCACAGAAUGCAUUGCAAGCUCCAAAUUGGUCCCAUUUCUCUCCCAUGCCUUUCUUGCGCAUCCUCGACCUUAAUAGCAAUCAUCUUGCGUCGAACUUCCCAGAAUUUAUAUCCAAUUCUCAUAGCUUGGCUAUCCUUGACCUUGGAUAUAACAACUUUACAGGUGACCUUGUGCGUGAAUUUACUAAUCUACAAAAUCUUGAAACCCUCUACCUAGAUGAAAAUUCUUUUGAGGGGCCAUUUCCGCCGGAUGUAUUCAGGCUUUCCAAAUUAAAACAUCUUCGCCUGUCAGGUAACAAAUUCUCAGGUUCAAUUCCCAAUGACAUAAGGUUGCUUUGUGAUCUUGAAUCCCUAUAUUUAAGCAACAAUUCCUUUAAAGGACCCCUUCCAUCAAAUAUAUUCAAGCUUUCAAAAAUAAAACAUCUUGUUCUUUGGAGUAAUAAGUUUUCUGGUUCUGUUUCCAAUGAUAUAGGUUUACUUUCUGAGCUUGAAACCCUCGAUCUUAACUCUAAUUUUUUUGAGGGGCCGCUUCCGUCAAAUAUAUUCAAGCUCUCCAAACUAAGGUAUCUUUCCCUUUGGGGUAAUAACGUUUCAGGUUCUAUUUCCAAUGAUAUAGGUUUGCUUUCUGAGCUUGAAACCCUCGAUCUUAACUCUAAUAUUUUUGUGGGGCCGCUUCCGCCAAAUUUAUUCAAGCUCUCCAAACUAAAGAUUCUUUCCCUUUAUAAAAAUAACUUUUCAGGUUUUAUUUCUAAGGAUAUAGGUUUGCUUUUUGAACUUGAAACCCUCUAUCUUGGCUCUAAUUUUUUUGAGGGGCCGCUUCCCCCACAUGUAUUUAGGCUCUCCAAAUUAAGAGAUUUGGGUCUCAGAGACAAUAGAAAUUUAUUUCAAGGAAGUAUUCCUAUUGGACUGGGACUCUUGACUAAUCUCAGGUACUUGAGUCUAUUUUCCAAUGAUCUCAGUGGCUAUAUUCCAUCUGAGAUUGGAAACCUGAAGCUACUAAAAGUUCUUGAACUCGGUUCUAAUCAAUUGACAGGACCGCUUUUAAAGAUAGUUUCUAAUCUCAAAAAUCUUAUAUAUCUUGGUGUAAGUGGUAAUAGUCUUAGUGGAAAUAUUCAGAGUGACUUGUGGAAAUAUAACGAUCAUCCAACUUUGGAAUACAUCAAUUUAAGUGGGAACCAUUUUACGGGUAUAGUUUCUCUCUAUAGAUCUUUGUCAUAUGUAACUAAGCUAGUAAUCUGAUUAUUGCCUUUUCACCAAAGUUUCAACAAUCUUGACAGGUGAGCUUCCAACAACAAUUUGCAAUGUCACAUCCCUUUUGCUUCUUGAUUUGUCAAAUAAUGAAUUAAGUGGUGCACUUCCAAACUGUUUCGGAAAUCUUGCUGAUAGAUUGCUUUACGUUAAUCUUGCUAAUAAUCAGUUUCGAGGAACAAUACCAACUACUUUCUCCAGGAGUUGUCAGCUGAAAUAUCUAAACAUGGAUAAUAAUGAGUUUGAAGGAUUGUUGCCCCCGUCUUUGGAAAACUGUAAGCACUUGAGAAUUCUUGAUAUUGGCAAUAAUAAAAUAGGUGGUACAUUUCCGUCAUGGCUUUAUGUACUUGGAGAGCUAGAAGUCCUUGUCUUGCAAUCAAAUAAACUCUAUGGUACAAUAAGUGGAAGGAGCAUAGAAGAUCCCUUCCGCAAGUUGCGGAUUGUGGAUCUGUCCAACAACCACUUCACAGGCCAUUUGCCAAUUCAAUACUUUAAGAAUAUGAAAUCAACUGAUAAUUUGUAUAGUUAUCAGCUUUCCACAGCAGUUUUUUCUUUCCAUUAUGAAGCAGCAGUCUCAUUAAUUGUGAAGGGAACAGAGUAUGAAGUAGCAAAUAACCUUCAUAUUUACACAGCCAUUGAUCUGUCGUGCAACAAAUUUCAGGGAGAAAUUCCAAAGGUUACUGGAGAGCUUAAAUGGCUGGCAUUGCUCAACUUAUCUCAUAAUAGUCUAACAGGACCUAUCCCGUCAUUGCUGAGAAAUAUGAAAGAACUCCAAUCUUUAGAUUUGUCCUCAAAUCAACUGACGGGGGCUAUUCCACCUCAGUUAACUGCGCUGACAUUUCUAGAGGUCUUAAACCUCUCGGGAAACCAUCUUAGUGGAGAGAUUCCUCAGAAAGGACAAUUCAGCACAUUCAACAAUGAUUCGUAUCUAGGAAACUCCGCUUUAUGUGGAUCACCAUUGACGAAGAAAUGUGCAAACACAGCAUCACCUCCACAAGAAGUCGGAAAUGUUGAUGAAGAUUAUGCGGGUGAUGAAUUGACAUGGGAAGCAAUCAUGAUCGGAUAUGGAUGUCGACUGAUAUGUGGAUUGUCAUCUGCAUACAUUGUUCUCAAACUAGGAAAGCCUUGGUAGUUUGUGAGAUAUGUCGAAGUACUGCAACAGAAGUUGAUGAAAAGAUGCUUGAAGAAAGGUACUGGUCGACCAAUAAGAACUUGAAAGUUGUUGUCCUGGUAGACAUUUCUGAACCAGUAGUAUUUGGUAUUAUGUGAUAUUCUGUUUGGUCCGGACUCAUAACGAUUUCGCUUGCUUCAGGAGUAUUAAUAUUAACCUUCCUAUCUUGAUCAAUGUUAAUGCAAAUUAAAAUGAAAAGGCAAAAAAUAUGCAUCAAAUCCCCUCCUGUUGUACCAAGAUUCAUUAAUUAAGAGGCAUGGCUUUUGUCUCUCCAAGUCUUCGAGAAAUUAUUCCAAGUCUUCUUUGGAGGCCUACUGCCUCAACAACCUUUCAAAGAUGUAGCAGUUGCUCGACAGUGAUAUAUAUAUUAGAUAAAGACUAUGCAACAACCAACGUGACAGAAAAAUCAAAAUAGGACAAAAUCCGUACGAAUCAAAAUAGUUUAUUUCUAAGGGGAAUAGCUGAAUUAAAUUGUAAGAGAAGUAAAACAGAUUCUUUUAUAUUUUGGAAUAUAACUGAAAAAGAUUUUGAGAUAAUUUUCAGAAAUCAAACCAGUCAAAUAAAUAUUCGCUGAAGGAACAGAGUAAAGAUACAACGAAUAUAACAAGUUGUAAGAUGAAUAUCGCUGAAUCAAACAGGGUAGAACCCGUACAAAAACGCCAAACAGAAAGGAUCAAAACAGAGUAAUCAAAUUUACCUAACACUAAUAGAAGUAGUGCUGAAUAAAAGAGAACGAAAUCUGUACCUUAAAAAUAGCAAACGCAAACACUAACCAACCUCACAAGGGACCAUCUAAACUCCCUAACCCCGACUUUAUCUUAAACUCCAAAUAUCUCCCUGACUCCAAUAUGCCCAGAACAAUAAACGAAUGUUUUGACCUUCUAAACGAUGUUUUCUGGAAUAACGCAAAACACGAAAAUCGUAGAGAACGAAAAGACCUUUCCGAAAAGGUAAGGCUCGUCAAGAACGGAGUCAUAACGAAUCGGGAAUUAAAUAAAACGUCCGCUGAUUCAGAACUCAAAGCGAGAACAGGAUCUGAUUAAGUUUUGUAAUUUUGAGAACAGUUUGAAACAUAAUCUGAGAAAACAUUAUAAACGAAAGUAUAUGAGAUUGAAAGAGCUUUCCGAAACAUCAAGAAUCAUCAAAUUCCGAUAAGAAUUGAAUUUUCUACGAAUUUUACAAGACAGCUGAUUUGUGAGAAUAAAGCCCUACGAAUUUUUGUCAUAAAAAUGAAGAGAAGGUUGAGUAGCUCUCAAAAGUAUAUAAAAAGAAUGAGAGAACAAAUCAAUAUACUCCCUUUGUCCCUCUCGUUUAUUUACAGUGUUUGACACGCAUUUUAAAGCGCAUAUAAAACAUAGUUCUAUGAUUUAUUUUCAAAAUUUUUCUUUUUUGUAUAAAAAUUUAAACAUCAAAUUUUUAUCUAGAAAAAAAGGAAGUUCAAAAUAAUUUAUUGAACUACGUUUUACGAGAGCAUUAGAAUGCGUGCCGAGCCCCCGUCCCCCAAUGUAAACAAAUGAGAGGGACGGAAGGAGUAUAUAUACAGAGUCUUGAGACCCUAAUUCUAAACCUAUCCAUUAUCUGAAUGCAAGGCUGAUCUAUAUUUUAAGUACACUAUCCUAAUUCAAUUUUAAAUCCUAUUCAUAAUCUAAUUUUAAUCCUUUAUUAUUAUUACUAACCAAUUAAUAUUAUUUUAAAAAAAUACUGGAUAUUACAUUCCUGAUCAGACUAGUGAUCGGAUUGCAACCGCAAAGCAGCCUAUAUAUAGUGACAAUUAAAUACACAACAAAACAACUUCUUUCUUCUCUCUUGGGUUAUAAUACUCAGACGGACAAGCUAUAUCUGAGGCGAUUUUCUGGGCGAUUAAACACACAAUAAAAGCAGCUUCUUCUUCUUCAAUUAAGGUUUAUUCUACACCCAAUCACAUACACACACACACUUUAAUAUGACUAGUGAGUUCAAUUUUUGGUGGUAUUAUAUGAUUAUCAUGUUCUCUUUUUAAAUAUUAGUAACGUUAUUUUCGGAGUGGACUCUGUUGAUGUUUAAAUUUGAUAUAGAUAUUGUAAUUGAAAAUUUAUGUUGAUUUGUUGUUCAGAUUUCAAGUAUUAAUUUGUGUGUGAUCAAAAUUUUGCUUCUACAUCGAUUAUCAGGAGGAAAUAUGAGGCCGAUCUUGAUCAAAGGACACGAAAGGCCAUUAACAUAUCUAAAGUAUAACAAGGAGGGUGACCUCCUCUUCUCCUGCGCAUUAGACAGAAACCCCGCUGUUUGGUACGCUGAUAAGGGAGAGCUUUUAGGCACUUACCGUGGGCACAUUGGUUCUGUUUGGGGUUGUGAUGUUUCUAGGGAUUCAAAACUUUUAAUAACUGCAAGUGCGGAUCAAACAGCAAAGGUAUGGGAUGUUCAAACUGGGUCUGAGCUGUUCACGUUUGAAUUUAAGUCCACUGUGAAAUCAGUAGAAUUUGGUGUCGGAGACAAGCUUGCUGUCAUUGCAACAGACUCCUUUCGUGACAUGUCUUCUGCAAUUCAUGUCAAACACAUAGCCAGAGAUCCUAGUGAACAGUGCGGUGAUUCUGUGAUUGAAUUCUCACCUGGAGGAAGAAUCAAUAGAGCUGUUUGGGGACCUUUAAAUAGGACCAUAAUAAGUGGUGGUGAACAAGGCGUUGUUCGUGUGUGGGACGUUGAGACAAAGAAAGUGAUUUAUGAGUCAGACAAGGAUACUGGUCAUCAGAAGGCCAUUACAUCACUUGCAAAAUCAAGAGACGGUUCACAUUUACUUACUGCUUCCAUUGACAAAUCAGCUAAGCUUUGGGACAUCAGAUCAAUGAAACUUCUCAGGACAUACAAGGCUGAAGCCCCAGUUAAUGCAGUUGCACUCUCUCCACUACUUGAUCAUGUCGUGCUCGGAGGUGGUCAAGAUGCAUCGACUGUUACAAACGAUCCUCGUGCUGGCAAGUUUGAGGCCAAAUUUUAUUCCAAGGUCCUUGAAGAAGAAAUUGGAUCUGUGAAAGGACACUUUGGUCCGAUAAAUGCAUUGGCAUUCAACCCUGAUGGAAAAAGUUUCGCAAGUGGAGGUGAAGAUGGUUAUUUGCGAUUACAUCACUUUGAUCAUGACUACUUCAACAUGGCGAUUUAAUUCGAAUUACUUACAUUGCUACGUCUUUUUUUUUUUUUUUCCGGUUUUAUUCAAGUUAUUUUCUGGUUUUUAUGUUGAUCUUAUGUUCUUUGUUAUAAAUAGAAGUGUGGUUCCUUUUAAAACUAUUUACAUAAGUUUUUGGCUUUUCAUGUAAUUUAAUCAAAGUAAAUGCCAUGAGAUCCUGAAUAUAUCUACUUAUCUAUCUAUCUACUUAUUAAAGCAGAAUCAGGGGAAAAAUAUACCAGAAAUUGGAUGAAAAAUUUACAUACACACCCUCAAUUAUUCAUCAAUUCCGAAAUUGGCCUGUAGUUUAGCUGUUAACUUGCAGGAUUUUUGUAAAAGUAGGAAUCAGCGAUUCUUAGGUACCCCAGUGACCCCGAAUCGGUUUCUCAGAUUCUUGGAAAUCCUCGGUCAGUUGAUUUAGAUUGUGGGCAUAUAUACACCUAUAGUCAGCCUCCGGCGGUGCAAUCUUUUGGUGGUGUUUUUCAGCCUUUUCUGCUAUAGCGAUUCUUGUUAAAACAUUCAGGUGCUAGGGUUGUUUUGUUGGUAAAGGGAAUUGGAUUGUUGUAUCUGCGGUUGUGGCAAAGGUAAUUUUCUUGCCCUUGCUAUUCUUUUGGGAUGUCUGAUUAUAAAUAGCCCUUCUAACUUUGUUCACCUGUUCUGUAUGAUGUGUGUCAUUUGUGAUUGAGUCGAGCAGUAUAUCAUUUUGAUGCAUAUUGUUAAUUUCACUCUGGGAAAUUUUUAUGCUGAUGUUUGGGCAAUUAAUUCUGGUUAUUUCGUUGAUUUUGUUUGUGGUUUGUUUCCACCUGCCAUUAGAACUGUAAAGUAAAGUGUAUUUAUUGAUCAUGAUUCAAGUGUUUGUAGAUAAUCGAUGUGGGUGACAAAGAAGCUGCAAAUGAUGAUGGUUCUUCACAAAUUUUAUCUGCUUUGCUUCCUUUUGUUGUGGCUCUCACCAUGGUUGUCAAGUCGACGACUGCUGUUGCUGCUCUUGCUCAGCCCUCAACUUUCACCUGGUAACAACUUUUGUAUGUUUGGUAAAAUAUUUUGAUUUUUUUUUUUUUGUAAGGGUAAAAUAUUUUGAUUGUGAUAAGCUAAUUUAUUGUUUUUUAAUGAUUCCAACACUACAACAGAUUUAGCAUCACACAACGGUUUUUGCCCGUUGUCUGAGACCACGGAAAACCGUGGUCUAUCGAGACGCCGUCUGAUAUGCGUAUCAGACAACGGUGCGCACCGUUGUGUGAUAGUGCUAAACACGAUGGUUUACGUUAAAAAAAUUGUUGUGCAACACCCAGAACCAACAACGUUUACUCUUAAACGUGGUGUUGUUAGAAACACUCCUUAACAAUAGUCGAUUUCAAAAAUGGUGUUGUUAGAGAGACUAUCCACAACAGUUUUAUUAGCUCGCAAGACUUGUUGGAAAGAUGAUCAUACAACAGUAGUUGAAAUAGAGAAGCUCGUUCUUUCCUCUCUUGUACAACGGGUUUCGAACACCAAGCCACUUGUGUAAGGCCCCUUCUAACAAUGUUUUAAUUAGUGAGGUUGUUGUGUUUAGUUACGUCAGACAAUGGUUUUCUUUCAUAGUUGGUUGUCGUUUACAUGUUUUAACAAUUGUUUCUGUUUCAUCAUUAUUGCAAGUCAUUUGUUUGGACAAUGGUUUUGUGACAAUAAAUCAUUGUUUCCAGUUUUAUGAGACAAUGUUUUUAAUGAAUAAUGAUUAUUGUAUCAUGUUCAGUAUGACAAUGGCCCUGUAUUAUCCCAUUACCUAAAUACAUAAUAGACAAUGAUUAACAUAACUCGAUUAAACUAAGCUAGAGAAUGUAAUUAAAAAGCCAAAAAUUUGUAAACAAAAAAUUUCAUUAUGCACUAAUAACCAUUGUUACAACCAAAUCAUAUAUACCAUCCAAUAUCCAGAAAUAUUUCCCCCGAGGAUGGCAAAUCUCAAAAAUAUAAAUACCUACAAUAAAUGGUAGCAUCUAGAGAGGCAUAUGUGACUACAAGAGUCUUUUGUGAGCUUUUCAACUACCCAGCCCAGGAACAAUCCUCUGAUUGCAUUCUUUUGAUUCGGAUGGAGCCCUCCUGCUAUCUCUUUUGGAAGUGACUCUACUGCAACCACCUGUAAUACAUAAAAAAGUUCUUGAUAUGCUUUUCGUACAAAGAAAUUAAUGUGGUUGAGGAGUAUGUUUCGAGUUCAAAAUAUACCAGUGUGCCAUCUUCCAUGGUUUCACGUCAUUCAUACACAAUAAAUUGUAGCAAUUGUGAGCCCUAUCAACAUACCAGUCUUUCUGUAUUUAGAGUUGGAGCAGCUAAGCCAAAAUCAGACAAAUGGGGAUUGAGUUCAUCAAGUAAAAUAUUUGCUGACUUUAAGGUACUAUUAACAACAUAAGGAACAACAUCAGCAUCUUGCUUCUAUCAUCAGUGAAGUAUAAAAACUCUUGCAAGCUACUAUUUGCAAUAUAAUCAUGGACCAGAAGACGUACCAUGUUCAGCGGAAUAUCAUUCAAAUCUCUGGCAUGGUUGUUGUGAUGGAUAAAAAUAAGUUCCUUUAUGACCUGAAUUAAACAUUAAAAGAUACCAAAUUAACCGAAAUGCGUAGAGAUGCACAAAAAGUCCAGGCCCGAAAAUAUGGUCAUAGAGAUUUAAAAAAAGUCGAAAAUAAAGACAAACCAUGUGAGUAAAAAGCAGAGUAAGGAGGAUUGAUGGUAGUGUUUGAUAUAGAUGCCAUGUGGGUAGAUCCAUAUGAGCUGCUGGAAGCAGAGAGAUUUCUUCCAAACUCUCUUACAUUAUUGACAACAUUUGUGUUAACAUAUAUGUGUUGUAUAUGAAAUUUUAAAGAUUAGAUACAUAAAUAUAAUAUUAUUCGGAAAAUAUAACAUACCAUCUCGAGUCAUUUUCUUGCUUGGUCAUUAAAAUAACCUACAGCAAGUAAUGUACCCUCACUCUAUAAGAAGAAGAUGGACAAAAAGAAGUCAGUUGUAUGGAUGCCUCGGAAUAUAUACAAGAAUGUCCCAGGGAUAUUUAUUCAGUUGAUGAAGCAUGUAUAUCUAGAAAUUAACAAACCUCAUCAGCCAAAACAAAUAUAAAAUUAAUAAAAUCAUCUGUCUCCAAACACACAGAUUAAAAUCAAAGCACAAAUGUUAUCACACAAAACCAAGACAACACAAGAUCCAUCACUAAAACACACAACUACUACUAAAAUCAAACACACAAACAAAAAUCUCAUAUAGAUUCAAACUUUAUCCCCAAAAUCAAGUAUAAUUACACAGUAAAAAGCAUUCGUUUACCUCUUCAUAAGGUGAAUUGUUGUUAAACUAAUCAGCACGGUCAACACCGGCAUCAAAAACUUGAAUGGCCUUUGGGGUUAUCGCCGACAGAACAGAUCUGAGUAAGCUUUGUAGAAAAUGAGAUAGAGACGGGGGAGGGAGGGGAGAGUUCAGAGGAGGGUGAGGGAGAGACAGAGGGCGAGAGGGAGGGGAGGGGCGAGAUGCUUUAACAAAUCAAUUGCGGCAAGAGUGGGGAAGACACAGCCGCACCAGAAGAGGAAGAGAUAGAUUCAGAAGAAGAGAGAUUUACUCUCACUUACAAAUUUUAGGUCAAAAUAGAGGGGGGGAAAUGAAAAUUUGGAUAAACAAGUAGAGAGGGAAUUGAAAAUUUUUGUAAGGUGGAAAUCAUUCGUUCAUCCCGUGUAAAUAACAAAAUCAAUGUAUUAUAAUAUCCAUAUAGUUGAAUUAUAAAUAAAUGAAUUUUUUAAAUUAUAUUUUUGUAUUUGAUUACAAAUAUUUCAUAUUAAAUAAAUUUUAAAAACAAUUUUAAUGUAGAUGUCAAUAUCUAAUUAUUUUAGUUAUUUGUGAAAAUCUUCAAAAAAUUAAAAAUUAAUCUGGUAAAUCUUUUUGACAAAAUAUAGUUGAAAUACAACUAUUUAAUAAAAAAUUAAUAAUUCUUUAAAAGUUAAAAUUCUCAUUUUCUCGAUGUAUUCCGUUUUUGUACUCUUUGUCUAAAUAAAAUAUACACAAAUUUUUAUUAUUCAUUUGUAAUAAGAAGAUAUUUGUGUGGUUCAAAUGUCAAUAUUAGUAUAAAUUUCAUAUUUACAAUAUAGGAUGUACUUAAUAGAAGUUUUGUGAUCUAUAUGAUUAACCCCGUAUUAAUUUUGAAAUAUUUUCGAUCAUCCAAACAUAUAAAGAUCUUAAUAUCUAUCAAUAUUAGUCAUGUAUAAUAUUUUUAAAUUUUUCUAUAUUUAUUUAUAUCUUGUUGUAACAAAACUAGUGAUGAUCGUUGUUUUUAUGUCAUUUCUUAUUUUUGUACUUUUUAUCAAAAAAUUAUAUUUAUAUUAUGCAUAUGUCCAAAUUUGUAUUAUUCAUUUGUAAUUGGAAGAUAAUUUUGUUGUUCGGACCUGAGUAUUACUAUGUGUUUUAUGUUCACAAUUUAGGAAGCACUAGAUAGAAUUUUUGUUAUCUACAAAAUUUGCUCUGAAUUAAUUUAUAAAUAUUUUUUUCGAUGAUAUAACCGUACGGAUGUUAAUAACUAACAAUAUUAGUCAUGCAUAAAAAAAUUAGAUUUUUUUAUGCUUAUUUUAUAUGCUUUUUUUACAAAACUAGUCAAUUGUAAAUUUUGUCUUAUUGUAAAAAGGUAAUUUUUGUCUUGUAGUGUCCAACAGACAACGGUACUUAUAGGCACGUGUGUUGUAUGAGUUAAAAUGACACAACUGUUAUGGACAUUAUACAGUCAUAACAAAAUCUAUUGUCUAAAAUAGGCUCAAACAAUGUUUCGGGAAAAACUCGUUGUGUGUAAGUAGUGUAGACAAUGGUUUCUGGGAGGCAAACCGUUGUAUAAUAAAUUUUCAUUUUUAAGAGUUAGAAAUUCACAUUUUCUUGAUUAGUUCUUGUUUUUGUACUCUUUGUCUUAACAAAUAUACUUAUAUUAUGUAUAUAUGCAAAUAUCAAUUGUCAUUUGUACUAUGAAGAUAAUUUUGUAGUUCGAACAUGAGUAUUGGUAUGUGUUUUAUAUUUACAAUUUAGAAAGUACUGAAUAGGAUCUUUGCUAUAUAUAAGAUUAGCUCCGUAUUAUUUUAUAAAUAUUGAUUUUGAUGAUCUAACCGUACGGAUGUCGAAAACUAACAAUAUUAGUCAUGUAUAAAAAAAAUCAAUUUUUUAUGUUUAUUUUGUAUGUUUUUUUUAACAAUACUAGUCAAUUGUAAAUUUUGUCUUACUGUAAAAAGGUAUUUUUUGUCAUGUAGUGUCUAACAUACAAUGGUUUUUAUAUGCACCUAUGUUGUAUAAUUGAAAAUGAUACAACUGUUACAGAAGUAUACCGUUCUAAGAAAAUCUAUUGUCUAAAUUAGGCUCAAACAACGGUUCACGGAAAAUCCGUUGUAAAAAAGUAGUGUAGACAACAGUUUAUGGGAAGGAAACCGUUGUAUAAUAAAUUUUCAUUUUUAUGAGUUAAAAAUUCGCAUUUCCUUGAUCAAUUCUUGAUCUAAUGCAAGAAAAACAUAUGACUAUCAAGAAAUUGAUUGUUUUGUUAUAACUUUGGUUAGGACUUUGAAUCUUUGCACUCUCUUAUGUACAUCCAUUUUCUUAAAAUUCAUUCAAUCAUACAACAUUUUAUUAGUUAGUAGAGGCUUGUCUAUAAUGCCAUGCUACAAUGCUAACAAAAACACUUGUAUGUUAGCUUCCCAGUCACACAACACUAUAUAAAACCCUUGUUUGAACUCCUCGUAAACAACACAACAAAUAAAACACUUGUCUAAUUACAACGACGGUUUCUUGAACUAUUGUCUGAAGUUUCUUCACACAUCGGCUCUCAAAACAGUUGUCUAACAUGCAUCAUUACACAAUACCACAGUUAAGAAACCAUUGUCUAAUUGAAUUUACUAGACAACAAUUUUUUAACCGUUGUAGGUCGUAGAUGUUAGACAAUAGUUUUUCGAGGCCGAAAAGAAAGUGUUGUGUCUUUUUUCCAAACAACGCUUUUUUCACCGUGCGUUGUCUGAUCAGUGUUGUCUAAUGGUGUUAUUGUUGUAGUGCAAGUUGGAUUUAUUUAAUGCUAAUAGGUACUUGUUCAAGUGAGGAGAUUUAACUGAGAUUCAGGUUCUGGCAUUUGUCUUGUGUUGUUAUUUGUUUAUGUACCGGUUUUGAGAGUCAUUAGAGAUAUGUAAGGUAUUUAUUCCUAUUUUUUAUUAUUAGUAUUACAUCGUUUUCGGGUAAAAUAAUCGAUGAUUGUUUGUUUUAACUGUGUAAUAGCCUUAUGAUCUGCCAACUUAUGUAGACAUGUGAUAAACAUGUUGACUGUGGUCAAUAUUUUAGAUGAGGUAGUGUGUUUGUUGUUAUUGCAAGACUUUUUGGAAUAAUCAUUGUCAAAAAGAACUAACGAUGAAUGGAAAUGAAGUUCUGAAGAAGUGAUGAUACAAUGUUAAAGAGAUUGCUUUUUGUUGAAUUUUUCUGACUCUGGAAUUAAACUGCGUUAGUAUCUUCUUCUCUGAUUUUCCUUAUUUGGUAGACCUACUACUUUCAGAAGAUACAUGUGGUAUUUGUUUGGUUGAUUAAUUUUGGUAAGAUACAGUUUCCGUUUGGAAUCAGACUAUCCAUUGAACAAUCAGACUAUCCAUUGAAGAUUUUAUGCUCGCUCUUAAAUGGUUGAUCCACUGAUCUUAUUCUUACUUCAUAUGAGCUAAAGCCAGCUCUAGGGGUGUUUCUCGCAUACAAAAAAAUUAAAAAAAAUAUUAUGAAACUAUACUUUGCAGGAGUCUCAAAAUAAAUAAGUGUAAACGAUAAACUUAAACACCUAACUUCUUAAACACCUAGCAUAACACGGGUGAGCAUAUGGUCAAUCAUACCAAAUUGAAUAAAUCGAAAUUAAAAUUUAAAUAUUUUUAGACUGGACCAAACUGAAAUAUUUUGUCCGAUCCAGUUCAGUAUGAUCGAAAAGAAUUGAUUCUUUUGGAAAAAGUAACUUAAUAUUAUAAAUAAAAUUAAGAUUUAUAAUUUAUUUAAAAACUAUCAAUGAAUCAUCAACACUUCUUCAAAAAUAGAUACAUUUGAAUUUAUACAUUAGAUAUUAUAACUUCUAAAAAGUAUAUAAAAAUAUAUAAUAUAAAUAUAAAUUUAUAGUAUAAUUUUUUUGACUAUUUAGAAUAUAUUUUUAACCCAAAUAUUUUUUUUUAAAAUCAAAUUUUAUUUCGAUGAACUUUUCUAGAAAAUUAAGAUAGAAACGAAACUCAUUCCUACAGUAAGGUUUCAGUUUUUCGGCUGCAAUACGGUUUUGCUCAUCAUUAGCAUAAAUGGAGUAUGUAGUAAAUAUGAAUGAAUGGCAUGGGAAUUCUUGGAAUGGUAUCAAGAAUUAAGAUUAAAGCACAUUAGAAGUUUAGAACCAUGAAUGUUAUUUUUGAAAAUAGUAAUCCCUCCGUUUCUUAUCACGUUUCUCGUUUGAUAUGUCGGAACGGUUCAUAAUAUGAGACAAAUUAGUAAUUUAUGUCCAAUUUAUAAAAUUAAAUAUAGUCAUGAGUGAUCUUGUUGGAUUCGUAUCUAUGAGUACUUUAAUAAGAUGAAAUUUUUAUAUUUAAUGUUAAUACAAAAUUAAAAUAUAUUAAUUAAAAAUAUAUAUUGACAAACGUGAUAAAAACAAACAGCAAAAAUAUUAAGAAACGAAGCGAGGGAGUAAUAAAUAUGCUUUAUGCUGAACUGAAUUGAGUGCGUGGAAGCUUGGGGAGGCAGCUUACUACAGUAUCUACGUGUAUCUGUAUAUGCAAUAAAGACACAAAUACUCACAGGAGAUUAUUUUUCAAACACUUAAUUUCCCCCUUUCCUUCUCGUAAUAUUCAACUCAAUUCAUCACAUCAUCUUCUUCAGACAAACAACUAUACUCACUUCAGAUCAUCACAUCAUCUUCUUCUUGACUUCAGAUCCACAUUUCAAACCCUAAUCAUUCGCUUGGUCCCCUCCCUCUCUGUAAUAAUACAAUUCUUUCUACACACAAACAAUAACAUCAUCAUCAUCGAGUGAAGCUUCAUAUCCACAUUCCAAGACCUAAUUACUCGCCAAACCACUCUCGCUCUCAUGGAGGAGGCCUUAGAAAUGGCGAGAUCGAAUGAUACCAAGAAGCGAAGGGCGGGAGUGGAUCGGCUGCAACAGCUUCUUGAAGAUUCAAGAAAGUGCUUGUCAUCGUCGGAAGUGACGGCGCUAGUCGACACGUGUCUUGAGCUUUUGAAGGACACGUGUGUUGCUGUCGUCGGCCGCGGAGUUGUUUAAGUUGCAUUCUGAUAGAAUUAUGACGGCGGUUGUUGAUAGGUUGUGGGAUGGGGAGCAGCGGGUUCGAGACUCGGCGAGGAGGCUGUUGAUUACCCUUAUGGAGGUAAUUUAUUAAUUUUCUUGGGGAAUGCCAGUUGAUUUUAUGGAAUGUGAUAUAGUAUAGUUUCUAUCAAUCGAGUAUCUUAAAUUGAUGACUACAACAAGUAUUAUCGUUUUGCACGCAAGUGGCUAAACUUUUAUGCAUGCCAAAUUGCCAAUCGGGUUUCAAUUUCAGAUCUCUGCCUUCACUUGCAUACGAACACAUUUGAGUUUAAAAAGAUGAAUCACCUCAUAAAUAUCAUUAAUAAUUAGUUGGUGUUAAUAGUGCACUGAAAAAUGGGAGAGAAUGACAAGACUAUAGACAGUAGUAGGGCUGAGCGAGAUGUUAAUUGAGUACUUAUAUGAUGCUUCACUAUGUUCAGGGAGUUAGUUUAUUGCUUCUUUCCUACACUUUCACUUGAAUUAGUACUAAUUAAUAAUUCCUUCUCUAUCUUGUAAAAUUUCUCCUUCAUUGCUAAGCAUAUCUACUCUGAUUAAUUUUCAAACAAACUUUACUACUGAGAUAGGAUUGUUUGCUGGGUAGGAGCACCAUAGAAUGAGUAGCUCUAUUGCUAUAUACUGAAGGGUGCGGUGGCAUCCUCGGUUAUAUUUUAAGUGCUACUUCGAAUUUAGUUGUUGGCUUUUGCAAUUUAUUUUCAUUCACAAUGUUUUAAUAAUGAUACCCCAUAUUAGGUGAGAGAUAUUAGUGCCAGGCUGGAGCAGAUUCAGAUUCAACCAGCAACUUCCGUCUCUUCCAUCUCUGAAGGACUUAAUAGUAAUCUUCUCCACCAUGCACCUGAUUUAGAAGUAUAAUGUAUUAAUGUGAACUUUUUAUUUAUAUUUAUUUCCAUGUGUAGUAAAACGAUCACAUCUUUUAAGAGCUUAGUACAAUGUUAUGUACAAUGUGUAAUUAAUUAAGAGGUUUGUACAUAGUUUAGUAUGAAAUGGAAAAAGUUUGUACAGAAGUUUAUUUGUUCACAUUACAGCUGAGACGAGCAAGCAAAAACCAUCAGAGAAUUCAAAGGAUAAUGAUAAAGGAAUUGAGCCCCUACUGGAACUGCCGGAAGAUAUUAUCUUUCUACAAAUUCUGCCUAAGUUGAACAGCCUAGAUGUUCUUCCCCUGGUUUUGGUGGCUAGGAGUUGGGCCUCCUUUCUUUUGCAUGAGGGACCCAGACUGAUGUUAUUCAACCCACCUAAAAAUCCUACACCUAAACACACUUCAAUUUUAUUUGAUGUAAGCCCGAUUCCGUACUCUGUUUCAGUUUUGUUAUCCCCAGAGAGCCGCCAACUGUGUCAGUCUAGGUGUAUAAUUGUUCCAAUCUUGAAUUCUGGUAUAAAACAUGCUGUUCCAAUUUUCACUGACUACCCAGAUUUUUUAAAGCAGGGGGAAGUCCCAACUGUAGUGGGAUCUUCCAGUGGUAUUAUAUGCCUCUAUAUCACCAGUUCUCCCUCUAGAUACAUCCUGCUAAACCCCUUAACAAAACAUUAUAAAGAGGUUGGGGCCCCUUAUAUUUUUGUACCAGAUUGUGAGCAAGCUUCUGUAACUUCUGGAUUCUUUUAUGAUGAAUGGACUGAUGACUUAAAGAUCGUACAAUUGUUGAGAUGGGAUCAAAGGCUUACGAGCUUGGAUGCUCCGGGACCCAAAAAGAUACAUGCGCUUCGCGUUUGUUCUGUAAAUUCUGCAAAUUGGGAAGUUGUUGACUUGGGGCCAAUGAAAGUCUCCGAUCGUCUUGGUGGUGUGUUAUUUUUGCCGAAAGCUCUCGUCACAUUUGUAGAUGCGUUUGCUACAGAGCCGGAGAUUAACUUUUGGUUGGAUUUUCGUGAUUGCCGUCUAAAGGCAGUUCCGGAAUUAGAAGGGGCUGAACUCAGUAUGAAAUCGGUUUGGUGGAAUAACCAGGUUGGUGUUAUUGUUGGAACUGACAGCAUUUAUGUCCUUGAUGAGGAGUUUGCAGCCUGGUAUUACUGCACAGUGCUUCCGGACGUGGGAAAUUGUGUAUUCUGUUUAGAUGAGAACAAAAUUGUGGGGAUGGGGGCUGGGGAAAGCGGAAGCGUAAAUGAUUACAAUAUUCUUAAUUCCACAAGCGGCGAAAUCCAACAUAUAAUCUCGUUGCCUUCUUGCAGGGUUUUUCCGUAUGUUCCUACAUUCUACUAUAUCGAGGGAAUGGCUAAUUUUUAGACUUUUGCAAGUCACAAUGUAAUAAAAGAAUGUAAACAGUACAUAGCAGCAAUACCUCUCUAUAGCAUAUAGUUUCAGAUACAACAUGUAUUGUGAUGCCAGCUUGUAGAGUACAAGUAUUAUUCUAGGUGAUUGAUUGUUGAGAAUAAUAGAGGCAACCGGUUGCAUGAUGGUAUCCUUGAAACUUUCAUAAUUACUAAUAUCGAACUCAGAUAGCAUGCAAUUUUUCCGGAGAUCAUAUUCUUUAGCUAUCAACUAACUCUACAUUAUAUAUUAUGUCCCAGAUCAAUGAGUUUGUUUGCUAUAAUGUCCUAUUUUAUAUGUGAUUUAGGAAUAUGUUCCAUUAACUUGUUAUCACCCUCAAAUCUAAAAUCUAAGACUACCAUGUCCUUAGUUUAUUUUGUUUAAUAUUUGUGAAUAGACUCUAAUCUGAUCAUAUCAAUUAUAUUUUAGUAACAGAUGUUUAAAUGCAUAUGUUUUUGUUAUCUAGUUAUUUCAAUGAUGAUGGGAUUAAAUUUUUUUAUUCUUGUAAUAUGUACAAUGAUUGGUUUAGCUUUAAUAUUUAUUUUUAUUUUUAUUUACCAAUUUUAAUGUAGGUAAAGUUUUAUCAGCAAAUUUUAUUUUUUGUAUGCAGUAAUCUGUUCUAAUAUCAAAUUUUGAUUUAGAUCGAGUAUUAGUAUGUUGAAUUUGCAUUCAUCUAGUUAGAUGAGUGAAACUGGCUAAUUAAUGGAAAAUCAUAAGUACCUGAGUUGUUUUCAAAUUUUUUUCCCAAAUUUUAAUUGUUUGAUUGGUUUCUUCAAAUUAAUAUUAAUGGAAUCAUGAACGCACAUAAAUAAUUUAAUUAAAAAUUAUUUAUUUAUGUGUCAUUUAGAAAAAAUUGGGGACAAAAUUUGGGAUAGUAAUGGGGACGAAAUAUGUGUUAGCGUUAAUGGUUUAGCGGCAGUGGAGAACGCAAUUUAAGAGCAAAUCCAAUAGUGUCCUAAACUAGUAUCCUAAAUUAAAAAUUAAGGUAUUUAUAUAAAUGAGUGCUCCACCUAAUGAGUGCUCCACCAAUGUCCAGUGAUACCUUAAAAUACUAGGAAAUCCAUCAAGCGUCUCGUUUUUAAGACAUCACUAGGCAUGCCCUAUUUCACUUCUAUCAAUAAAAUAUAUCUUUCCCUCGUUUUUUACAGAUCUCUUCUCUCUCAUUUUUUCCAUUUAUGCCCAAUUAUAAUUCAAAUAUAAUACACCUUCAGUCCCUUUUUAGUUGUGAAAUUUACAAAAAUAAUUUGUCCUUAAAUAAUAUUCUCAUCCUUGUUCCAAUACAUAUUUAUACAUAUUUUUUCAUGUUUACCCCUUGAUUGUUGGUUCAAAUGUUUGACUGUACUACUAAUAUAUACAGUUUUGACUUAGUAUUUAAUAUAAUAAAUAAGGGCAUGCGUGGAAACAACUUACAACAUUUAAUUUUCUUUAAUAUAUGUAUUUUUGCAAAUGUGACAACUAAAAAGGAACAGAGAGAGUAUUAUUUUAAUCAUAAAACAUAUUGUUGGAGUUAAUAUAAAAAAAUCAUGUCUUAAAUCAUAAGAUUACUAUAUUUAAUUAUAUUUAUAAGGCAUCUAAUAGUACAAUAUUGGAUUUGCUCUGAUCACAGAUCAAUCAAAUGAUCGGCAACUUAAGCGAUCAAAUGAGAUGACUCGCAUAGUCCACGCUAAUCGAUAUCCUUAAGAGGAUGUUUGCCUGGGCUUAAAGCCCUUGCUUUAAGCCAUCUUUGGCUUUAAGCUGAAAAAUGUCUGUUUGUGUAAUAAGUCAGAAGCCAGCCUAAAGUCAGAAAUAAGCCAGAAGCUGACUUAAAGCCAGAAGUUAAUUUGAGGUACUUUUUUCAGUGGCUAAAUUUUUUUGAACUUUUUUUUUGAUAAAAAUUACUCCUAAAUCAUAAGUUUCUUAUAAAUCACUUUUAUUUUUAUUAUUAUAUUUUUAAUAACUCAUAAGUCAUUCAUAAGCCAAAAUUACCCAAACAGACAUUUUAAGCUAUCAGCUUAUCAGAUAAGACACGUUAAGUCACAAGUCACAUUAAGUCAUAAGCCAUAAGCUCAGCCAAACGGGCAAGUUUUCUAAGAGACAUUCCUGCUUAGUGCAUUUUUAAUAGGGUUGCCUAAAUCGUUGACGAAAUUGGACAUGUGAGACAUUAUAUAAAAUUUGUUAAACAUGUAAGUGAUUGUGUUUCAAUAAUGUUAACUACAUUGAUAGAUUAUAACUUAAAAAUAGUAUGUUAUUAAUAUUUAGAUUGUUAUAAAAAAAUAUAUGAGUUUAAUAUGAUAGGAAAUGAUGUGUAAAUUACCCCGAUUAUAUAUAUAUAUAAAUAAUAAUAUAUUUAUAUAUAUUAUACUAAAUAUAUUAUUAAAAAUAGAUAAAUUUUAUAAUAUAAUCAAAAGUAAAAAAUAAUCUUUAUUUUUAUUGAUUGAUUAUAAAUAUAUUGUAAUAUAAUAUAUUUUAUAAUUUUAAAUUGUUGUUUAUUUAUAUUAUAAAUCAAUUUUAAUAUGAUUUGAGGUUGAAAAUAUAAGAUAAUAUUAUUUUAUUAUUAUAUUAGGAGUUUGUAGUUUGUUUUUUAAUUAAAAAAAUAUAUUAUAUAUUAUAAAAUUAUUAUGUUUUUAUUAAAAAAUAAAAUUCCCCGAAACCCCGCGGGGAUCCCCGUUCCCCGUUCGGGGCGGGGAUCGGGGCGGAAAAUAAUCCCCGUUCGAGGUUCGGGGCGGGGUCGGGUAGGGCCGUAGGGGUAUUGAAUUCGGGGAUCGGGGUCGGGGAUAGCACUCCCCGCCCUCGAAGUCUCCCCGUGCCCAUCCCUAGUCGAACCUCUAGAGGUCCGUAAAAAAUCUCCAAGAAGAUUACACUAUGUAAUCUUCUUGGAGAUUUUUUACGGACCUCUAGAGGUUCGACAAAUAUAGUGGCCGGUAGGAUGUUGGUUAAAAUUAUAGAUAAGUGGUGUCUAUGGUUGAGUGUGAUUUUUUUGAAUAGAAUGGCUAUAUAUUUUAUUUUUGGGAUGCCAACUCAAUUUUUAAACUAAGGACUUCUCAUAUUUGGAGAUGCUAUAUGAUGGCAAAUCCCGCAAAUCUUCAAUUUUGACAUAUAUUAUCCUAAAUUCUCUUUCAACAAUGAUUGAUUCAAAUUUGGAUCAAGAUUGUUGGAUCCCGCUGACGUGGCAGUGACGUCAUGUUGACGUGGCGCCCUGGGGUGGACCCCGGUGCUGACGUGGCAGAUGACGCGGCGGUGACAUGGCGCCUGGUUGGGGUCCCAUUACUAACGUGGCAUUUGGGUAGAAAGUAUAAAUUACGGAAAAUUGAUGACAAACUGAGAGGUGCAUAUUAUAAGUUUUAAAAAGUAUGAGGAGAUAUUUGAUCAGUUUAAAACUAGUUUUUAGGUUUUUAGGCUAACCGUGGUUUGUAUAUUCGAGCAUCCCCGUGUAUAUUGACAUAUAGGUAAACUCCUUGCAAUACUUUGAGCUGCAAAAUCCAUCAAAAUUUUGAUUUAUCAUGUAACUGUUUGACAGAGUACUUCCAACUUUCAAGCGUAAGUAUCAAAAUCACUACCUUCAUAUGUUCCAUUAAGCGUGAAAGGUACAGAAUAAGAAGUGAAAGAAAUCCUUUAUAUUUACACGGCCAUUGAUCUUAUAGGAUCACCUAGCCCAUCAGUGCUAGGGAAUACGGAACCAUCUUAUCAAUUAACGAAGAAAUGUAUGCAUGCAGUGUCACCACCACAAGUCAGAAAUGGUGAUGAUGCUAAUGAUAAUGAACUCAAUUGGGAGUGAUCCUAAUGGGAUAUGGAUGUGGAUUGGUAUGCGGAUUCUUUGGGGUUUAUUGUUCUUACAAUGGGAAAGCCUUGGUGGUUUAUGAGAUACAUUGAAGUAAGUUGAUAAUGACAUGCACGGCUUAAUUAAGAUUAAUUAAGACAAACACCUUGACAAAAUGUUGUCUUAGAAUGAUAUGUAUUCUGAUUUUUCCUAAUUUAAAAUCAAAUUUAUUACAAUUAAAGUUAAAAUCUGCGUAGCACAUACUAUACUUUGAUUAAAUUUUUAUUGAAGUUGUCCAUAUUAACCUAGUGGCCGAAAGUGAAUAAAUUAAAUUAGUGGGGUCUAAUAUAAAAAUUGCAUUAAUUAAAAUUUGUAAUGUAUAGAUUAUGCUAAAGCUAUUCAUUAUAAAGAACAUAGGAAUGUUAAUCUCUUUAUAUGUUUGCAUGCGGAUAGUCUCUCGGGAGUGUGGUAUAUUGUCAUGGCUGGAAAAACGGCUAAUUUCUACGGUUUUUUUUUGACAGAAAUUAAUUUUGACGGAAUACUGUCGAAAUAUCGAAAGUCGAAAAUAAGCCGCAAAAUUACUUUUUUCAAUUUUCAAUUGAAAACUGUCAAAAAAGUCUCUGGCAAAAUUAUAUUUAUUUCUACAGAUAAUGUCGAAAAUAUUUUCCUGCAAAUUUCCCGCACCUUAGUUGUGAGCGGAAAUAGAUAGUUUGGACAGAAUUCCGUCGAAAUUACGCGAGUUCUUUGUAGUGUGUUUUCACACAUACGCUGAUAAUCUUUGGGGACUGGGGUAUAUUGUUUUCGCAAAGCACUGGUAGUUUGUGAGCUUGUCCAAUUUUUCCCCCCAUGCCUAUACUGGUUGGUCUCAGUCUUAGUGGUAAUAAGCUGGCGUCAAAUUUUCCAGAAUUCAUAUAUAAUUGCUAUAACAUGAUCCGAUGCCUGAAUCAGCAGCUAACAAUUUACGUAAUCUUGAAGAACUAUAUCUUGGUGCCAAUUCUUUCGAGGGCUCAUUUCCAACGAAUAUAUUCAAGCUUUCCAAAUUAAGGGUUCUUGACCUAUCUGUGAAUAAUUUUUCAGGUUCCAUUCCCAAUGGUAUAGAGAUGCUUCCCGAUCUUGGAAUAAAUCGUAUUUAUAAUAAUUCAUUUGAAGGAAUUAUUCCUUCUUCAAUUAGUCUACUUAAAGAUCUUCAACACCUAGACUUCGGUGACGACAACCUUGUGGUUUCAAGUAUAAUGUCUUACGGGUCCAAUCUAACCGAUCAUUACAGGCAACCCCAUUGGAGAUGCUCUUAAUAACAUUUUAACUAGAGAGUAUUUUCUAUCAAUUGCAUUUGUAUUAAAUUUGAUUUAGAUGAAGAGAAACAGAAUACAUAUGAUCCCGAGACAACAUUUUGUCAAUGUUUUCGUCUUGAUUGAACAGUCUUCUUCAUGCGUGUCCUUGUCAACUUCAGUUGCAGUAAUUCAAUGUAUCUCAGGAACCACCUUGGCUUUCCCAUUUUGAUAACAAGUAUCCUGAAGAUAAUCCGCAUAUCAAUCCACAUCCGCGCGUAUCCCAGUUGAUUUAUUAAUUUAUUCAUGAAGUGUUGCGAACGACAUUCCUGCAAAAGUAAAAGUCAGUGGAAUUUGUAUGAUAGCAUGAUGAAUAUUUAAAGUUUCAGUUAAAAUUUCACCAAGUAUUUUAUUUCUGGCUUAAGUCCCGGAUUGACGAAUUCUGCUGAUCACAUUUCUAAUCGACCAAUUCUGGUCGAAUAAAUUAAAUGGCACACUUCCUGAGUUGGUGGUAGGGGCGUUCUUCUUGUGUUUCUUUCUUUUCAUUAUUGACAUUGUUAUCCAGGCCCUUGCUUCUGGGCUUUUGUAAAGCACCCAUUUACGCCAUUGUCAUGAUCAUAGCUAGUCUUCCAUAUCCAAGAUACGCGCAUUAUAGUGGAUUUAUCUUUAUUAGUGAUUUCUGUGGAAAUGCAUAAUCUUAAUUAUAAGCUCCAAUAUUAUAAAAUAAACCUAACUUAUUAGAGUUAACAGGGCAUUUGUGUUGAUAAUUUGCGCAAUGUUAAUGGGGAUCGCUCCCAAGUCUUGGACGGACUCUUUCCAAGUCUUCUGAGGACCCAUCUGCACACUAAUUUGUCCGCCAACUAAAAAUUUAUAUAUAUUUUUCCAUAGAAUAUAAAUAGUUGGGGGUACUAACAGAACCUCUAGUAAAAUUAAUUAAUACCGUUAUGAUUUCGCAAACACAGCAGACAGCAGGCAUAAGGCUUAUAAAUAGAAGUGUCGUAUUUGGUUGAUGGUCAAGUUGAGUGGAAAUAUGGCACACUUUGUAAAGCCUUGUUAUCCUCUUCUCUUUGUUUUCUUUCUCUCAUUACUUCAAUCCAUUCUAACAACACAAGAGGGAGAAGCUCUUGUGAAAUGGAAGAAUAGCCUAGCCCCUUCUUCUUUUCUCGACUCUUGGUCACUCACCAAUCUCGAUAAUCUUUGCAACUGGACUGGCAUUACUUGUAACUCUGCAGGUUCAGUCUCUGAGAUUAACCUUAGUGAGAAACAACUUGAUGGAAUGCUGUCCGAGUUUGGUUUCACUUCAUUUCCAAAUCUCAACAAUCUCACCCUCGCAAUUAACUACUUCUCGGGUCCAAUACCACCAGCCAUUGAGAAUUUAACACAGCUUCAAUAUCUUGAGUUGAGCAAUAAUUAUCUAGAUGGUCCCAUUCCUUUCCAGGUUAGCAAUCUUCAGAGGUUGCUCAUCUUAAACCUGUCAGAGAAUGAACUGCAAGCUCCAAAUUGGUCCAAUUUUUCCCCCAUGCCUUUUUUGACCAUCCUCGACCUUUAUAAAAAUAAUCUUUUGUCAGAAUUUCCCGAAUUUAUAUCUAACUCGUGUAACCUUACGUACCUUGACCUCUCAUCCAACAAGUUUAGAGGGGAUCUUGCGCGAGAAUCAGUAUUAACCAAUCUAGGUGAUCUUGAAACCCUCUAUCUUAUUAGAAAUUCUUUCAAGGGGUCAUUUCCGUCAGAUUUAUUCAAGCUUUCUAAAUUAAAACGUCUUCACCUGUCGAGCAACAAAUUUUCAGGUUCAAUUCCUAAUGCCAUAAGGUUGCUUUGUGAUCUUGAAUUCCUAUAUUUAGGCAACAAUUCCUUUGAAGGACUGCUUCCACCAAAUAUAUUUAAGCUUUCAAAAUUAAAACAUCUUGUUCUUCGGAGUAAUAAGUUUUCAGGAUCUGUUUCCAAUGAUAUAAAUUUGCUUCCUGAACUUGAAUAUCUCGAUCUUAAUUCUAAUUUUUUUGACGGGCCGCUUCCUCCAGAUGUAUUCAAGCUCUCCAAACUAAGGUUUCUUUACCUCUCGGGUAAUACCUUUUCACGUUCUGUUUCCAAUGAUAUAGGUUUGCUUUCUGAGCUUGAAACCCUCGAUCUUAACUCUAAUUUUUUGAGGGUCCGCUUCCGUCAAAUAUAUUCAAGCUCAAAUUAAAAAUUCUAGACCUCUCAAACAAUAGAAAUUUAUUUCAAAGAAGUUUUCCUAUUGGACUGGAACUCUUGAGUAACCUCAGCUACUUAGGUCUAAGUUCCAGUAAUCUCAGUGGCAAUAUUCCAUCUUACAUUGGAAACCUGAAGCUACUAAUAUCUCUUGAUCUCAGUUCUAAUCAAUUGACUGGACCGCUUUCAAAGCUCGUUUCUAAUGUCACAAAUCUUAUAUUUCUUGAUUUAAGAGAUAAUAGUCUUAGUGGAAAUAUUCAGACUGACUUGUGGAAAUAUAACGAUCAUCCAACUCUGGAAUACAUCAAUUUGAGUGGGAACUAUUUUACGGGUAUAGUUUUUCUCUAUAGAUCUUUUCUUUUGUCAUAUGUAACUAAGCUAGUAAUCUGAUUAAUUGCAGUUUUACCAAAGUUUCAACAAUCUUGACAGGUGAGCUUCCAACAACAAUUUGCAAUGUCACUUCCCUUUCGGUUCUUGAUUUGUCAAAUAAUAACUUAAGUGGUGCACUUCCAAAAUGUUACGGGAAUCUUGCUGAUGGAUUGCUUUACAUUAAUCUUGCGAAUAAUCACUUUCGAGGAACAAUACCCACUACUUUCUCCAGGAGUUGUCAGCUGAUAUAUCUGAACAUGGAUGAUAAUGAGUUUGAAGGAUUGAUGCCCCCAUCUUUGGCGAACUGUAAGCACUUGAAAAUUUUUGAUAUUGGCAAUAAUAAAAUAGGUGGUACAUUUCCGUCAUGGCUUUAUGCACUUGGAGAGCUAGAAGUCCUUGUCUUGCGAUCAAAUAAACUCUAUGGUACAAUAAGUGGAAGGAGCAUAGAAGAUCCCUUCCCCAAGUUGCGGAUUGUGGAUCUGUCCAACAAUCAAUUCACAGGCCAUUUGCCAAUUCAAUACUUUAAGAAUAUGAAAUCAACUGAUAAUUUGUAUCGUUAUCAGAAUGACACAGGAGUUUUUUCUUUCCAUUAUGAAGCAUCUGUCUCAUUAACUGUGAAGGGAACAGAGUAUGAAGUGAAAAAUAUCCUUCAUAUUUACACAACCAUUGAUCUGUCCUGCAACAAGUUUCAAGGAGAAAUUCCUGACGUUAUUGGAGAGCUUAGAUGGCUUGCAUUGCUGAACUUAUCUCAUAAUAGUCUAACAGGACAUAUCCCAUCAUUGCUGAGAAAUAUGAAAGGACUCCAAUCUUUAGAUUUGUCUUCAAAUCAACUGAAAGGGGCUAUUCCACUUCAGUUAACUGCAUUGACAUUUCUAGAGGUCUUGAACCUCUCGGGAAACCAUCUUAGUGGAGAGAUUCCUCAGAAAGGGCAGUUCAGCACAUUUAACAUUGAUUCUUAUCUAGGAAACUCCGCGUUAUGUGGUUCACCUUUGAUGAAGAAAUGUGCAAACACAGCAUCACCUCCACAAGAAGCCGGAAAUGGUGAUGAAGAUGAAGCUGGUGAUGAAUUGACAUGGGAAGCAAUCGUGAUGGGAUAUGGAUGUGGACUGAUAUGUGGAUUGUCAUCUGCAUACAUUGUUCUCAAACUAGGAAAGCCUUGGUGGUUUGUGAGAUAUAUCGAAGUACUGCAACAGAAGUUGAUGAAAAGAUAUGCAUGAAGAAAGGUACUGGUAGAUCAAGAUGAACUUGAAAGUUGUUGUCGUGGUAGACAUUUGUGAACCAGUAGUGUACUAGCUGCAUAAGUAUUUGGUAUUAUGUAAUAAUCCGUUUGGUCGGGACUCAAAAUGAUUUCUCUUGCUUCAGGGGUAUUAAUAUUAACCUUGCUAUCUUGAUCAAUGUUAGGGCAAAUUAAAAAGAAUAUAAAAGCAAAAAAUUUGCAUCAAACACCUGUUGUACCAACAUGCAUCCAUUAAUUUGCUUUCAUCUAUUAAGUAACAAUUUAAGAGCGCUUCCACUCUGUUUAAGCAUGGAGAUAACACAAAGAAGGCAAGUCCAUGGACUAAUAUAUUAACACGUAGUCCACAUCUAUGGUAUGAACAAUUCAUAUUGCUCUUCUAUCUGUUCAACAGUCUCCCGAAGAUAGGCCAAAAAUGUCAUCUGUGGUUCUUAUGUUUGUCAGUGAAGGAGAAUCUCUGAUGCCUACACAACCUGGUGUUUUUACAGAAAGGAAUGUAGGUGAAACCAGGGGCGUAAAAUGAAUCAGGACUAAAAUCUGCUAAAAUGAUAAUUAUUUACUCAUCAUUCAAGAUUAGUCGGGCUCAAAGAUUUAUAUGGAUUUUAAGAACAAACUAUGACUAAAUAUGAAAAAAUCAUUAAUUUUUCCGACUCAAUAUUUUUUAGCCUCCCCCGGCCCUGGGUGAAACCAUAAGCUUCUCUGGUGCACAUCCAAAUCAUUCAGUUGGUUCUACUUUCAGCUCACCCACAGGAACAUCAUUCUGCAGGUACUCUUUUAUCUGUACUUUCUUAUAUUGUAUGCCAGUAAAUUUUAUAUCGACAAACUGCACAAUACACCUCGAUCUCAUAUUAUUGACAGGUGAGCUCCUCUCAUAAUGCUCACAGGCGAACCCCUGCAUAUAUACUUUGUGAUGUCAUUGAUGAUCGAUAGACUUGAAAAAAAAUUAUGACAAAGAUUCAUAAAAUAUCUACUUCCAUCCUAAUUCAGUAUUCAAUAUUAUUCAUUCGUAUCAUCAUCCAAUCAAUUCUAAUAGUUCUUCUUUAAAUCAGUACAAAUAUUGUUAAAUACCUGGAUGAUGGUUGUCUUUCCGCGAACCAAUCAUGAAAUUACCUCUGUAUAAAUCCAUCGGAAAUAAGACAGUUAAUAUCCCAAUCGAAUACACCCCGUCAGUUGUCAAACUCCUCGAAACGUAUUAAUCACUUUAGAAAAUUUGUUCCACUGGCGCUAGUCAGUCCCAGAGUUGGUGGUGGGUGCUUCUGGGCUUUCGAAAAGCACCCAUUUACUCCAUUGUUUAGAGAAGUAAAACCCCACCUUCCGCUCAUUUGAUUGAUCAGCUGAAUUAGGCAGAGUUUACAUGGUCAUGAUCAUAGUCUCCCAUNUUAAUAGUCUGACAGGACCUAUCCCAACAUUGCUGAGAAAUAUGAAAUAACUCCAUUACUCCAAUCUUAGAUUUGUCCUCAAAUCAACUGACAGGGGCUAUUCCACCUCUGUUAACUGCAUUGACAUUACUUUUCUCUUUAUAUUCUUUCCUUUUGUAUGUACCUAUGCUAAUUAUCUGAUUAUUAAAAUUAUAACAAAGCUUCAAGAUUUUUAACAGGUGAGCUUCCACUAAAAAUUUGCAAAGUCACUUCCCUUUCGCGUCUCAUUAUGUUAGAUAAUGGGUCAAGUGGUGCACUUCCACAGUGUUUGGGGAACCUUUCUUUGCUUGGUUUCAAUAAUCUUGCUAAUUAUCAAUUUCAAGGACCAAUACCAACGACUGUCCAAGACUUGUCUGUGCAUAUCUAAACAUCCAUAACAAUCACUUUGAAGGUUUGUUGCUCCAAUCUUUGGCAAACUGUAAACACUUACAAAUUCUUGAUAUUGGAAACAACGUUGGAGAGCUAGAUGUCCCAGUUAGGGCGGUAAUUCGACUAGAGCAAACCGAGUUUUGAGCGGAGCCAAAUUCGAGCCAAGUUUAAUCGAGUCGAGCCGAGUCGGCUCGUUUAGCUAAUCGAGCCUAAAACUUAGCCCGAACUCGACUCAUUUAAUUUCACGAGUCGAGUCGAGCCAACUCGUUUAGCUAAAUGAGCUGAUUUUAACAAGUCGAGCGAGCGAGCUCGUAUAAUUUUAACUUAGUCGAGCCUGAAUCUCUACCCAAACUAUUGGCUCGUGUAAUUUCGCGAGUCGAAUCGAGCCGGCUCGUUUUAUUAAACAAGCCGAAAUUUUUGCCCGAAUUUGCUCGUUUAACAAGCCGAUCUGAGCCUAGUUAAAUGAGUUCGAGUUAGUCGAGCUCGCGAGCUGCGAGCUCACCUGCCAGCUCUAGUCCUAGUCUUGCAAUCAAAUAGGUUUAACGGUAUAGAAAGUGGAAGGAGCACAAGGCAUCCAUUCCCCAAGGCUAUUUACCAAUUCAGUACUUUGAGGAUACAAAAUCAUUCUGCAGGUACUCUUGUAUCUGUACUUUCUUGUACUGUAUGCCACUUUGACAGUAGAGUAAAAUUUAUAUCGACAAACUGCAUAUGUUCUGAACUACUCCUCUAUCCCAAAUUAGAUGAGCUAGUUGACUUUGAGCACGUAACUUAAGGUACAUUGACCAACUAGUUCCGAUAUUUAUUUUUUUAAUUUUUCUUUUGUAAAUGAAAAUUUCAUAUUUAAAUUUUUAUUUGCAAAACUAAAAUUUAAAAAUAUGUAAUGUGGCUAUGCGGUCAAUGUCAACGAGCUCAUCUAAUUUGGGAUUGGGAUGCAGGGAGUAUUACGUACUAUGUUAUGCAAGCUGUUUACAACUUUCAUCAAAAUUUUCAAACAUUUCUGAAUAUGUAUUUUCAAAGAAUUCUCGGGCACUCUUAAGGCCUAUAAUUAUUGGAACUCUCACGUUAUGGACCAGAGGACCACUAUGUAUUUUACAAGCACGACGAAUCAUGUGGUCAUUAUGGACUCCCCAAGCCUUAGAGGACUCAUUCCAGGUUUUAGGAGGACCACUGCCUAGCUCACCCUUUCGGAGUGAUGUAAAUUAGUUUCCAGACACUAAAAAUAAGUAAUCAGAUUAAUCAUUACAAAAUUUUGAUAUAAAAUCAGAAUAAAUCCUAAACUUUGAUGAUACAAAAAAAAUUAUAAUUGUAAAUUAUACAAUCAAAUUAAGAUCGAAUUAACUUCCCUCACACUUAAAAUUUAUAGCGAUCAAAUCAAAAUCGAAUUAACUUUCCUAUUACUAAAAUUUAAUUACAAUAUUAUUAGAUAAAGAGAAUAUAUAAUAAUCAAGAGAAAAUAGAUUUUUUUUUGCCACUCAACUUAUUGUGUUUUAAGAAACUUACCACCCAACUAAAUUUUUUUCCUUUUGCUCACUAAUGUUAGGUUUGGAUUUGUUUUUAGCCACCAAAUAAGGUUCGGAUUUGAUUACCAGCAUUAUGAUAAUUUUUUUUGUCACUAAACUUAUUGCGUCUUUAGAAACUAACCACUGAACUAAAUUUUUUUUAUUUUACUCACUAAUGUUAGAUUUAGUUUUUUUUGUCACUAUAGUUAGGUUCAGAUUUGAUUAUUAGCAUUACAUUAAUUCUGUGUAGCAUUUUUAAAAUAUGGUAGUAGUCUGUGAUAUUUAGAUGAUUUGAUAUAUGUCUGUAUUUUUAUAUAUAGUAUAUUUUAUGUCCCCAAGGUCGUUUACCUUGGGUCAUAAAAAUUUUACACUCAUUUUAUGACUUUUAAAAGAUGUAGUUUCAUAAAUAAUUUUAUUUUUUUCUUUCGAAUUAAAAUUCAGCAUUUGAAUUUUACACACAAAAAAAUCGCAAGAAUAAGAUAUGAAACUAUGCUUUACAAGAGUCUUAAAAUACGUGCUAAACGGUAGAAAAAACUGUAAACUAAUGAGAGGUACAUAGGGAGUAAUAAUAACAUAAAAUGAUGCACAAUCAUCGAAUUAAGUUUUCCUCUCUCUAUAUAUUUAUUUUGUAAAUUUUAAUAAGAUAAAGUUAUUAAAAUUUAUGAUAUAAAUUUAAGAGAUAUCUUAGAUUGAGUGGCAAAAAUUUAGUUGGGUGGUAAGUUUCUAAAAACACAAUAAAUUGAGUGGGAACAAAAUCUAUUUUCCCAAUAAUGAGUGGGAAUAAAAUCUAUUUUCCCAAUAAUCAAAGUGACGAAAAAUCAAAGUCAUCUAAUAAGUCCAGAAAAAAUAUGACCAUUAGUAUAUUGAAAUAAUAUUCACGCAUUUAUAUACGAGAAUAUAUGGUCCACAAGUUAGUGCACAAUGUCCAAGAAUCUUUAUCAAAUAACACGGCAAGCAUGCAGCAUAUAAAUAAGAGUGGGCAGUAUGGUAUUGCAUUCAUAACCCACUUGAGCAGAAAUAUGGCACACUUCCUAAAGCCUUCUCACCUUCUUCUCUUUGUUUUCUUUCUCUCGUUACUUCAAUCCAUUCUACCAACAAGACCAGAGGGAGAAGCUCUUGUGAAAUGGAAGAAUAGCCUAGCCCCGUCUUCUUUUCUCGAUUCUUGGUCACUAACCAAUCUCGAUAAUCUUUGUAACUGGACUGGCAUUACUUGUAACUCUGCAGGUUCAGUCUCUGGGAUUAACCUUUAUGAGAAACAACUUGAUGGAAUGCUGUCCGAGUUUGGCUUCACUUCAUUUCCGAAUCUCAACAAUCUCACCCUCGCAUACAACUUCUUCUCGGGUCCAAUACCACCAGCCAUUGAGAAUUUAACACAGCUUCAAUAUCUUGAUUUAAGCAUCAAUAGUCUCGAUGGUCCCAUUCCUUUCCAGGUUAGCCAUCUUCAGAGGUUGCUCGUCCUAAACCUGUCACAGAAUGCAUUGCAAGCUCCAAAUUGGUCCCAUUUCUCUUCCAUGCCUUUUUUGCGCAUCCUCAAGCUCAGUAGGAAUCAUCUUGUAUCGAAAUUUCCAGAAUUUAUAUCCAAUUCUCAUAGCUUGGCUAUCCUUGACCUUGGCCAGAACAACUUUACAGGUGAUCUUGUGCGUGAAUUUACCAAUCUACAAAAUCUUGAAACCCUCUGGCUUUAUCGUAAUUCUUUUGAGGGGCCAUUUCCGCCGGAUAUAGUCCAGCUUUCCAAACUAAAAGAUCUUGCCCUGUCAAGUAACAAAUUUUCAGGUUCAGUUCCCAAUAACAUAAGGUUGCUUUGUGAUCUUGAAUACCUAUAUUUAGGCAACAAUUCCUUUAAGGGGCCACUUCCACCAAAUAUAUUUAAGCUUUCAAAAUUAAAACAUCUUGUUCUUUGGAGUAAUAAGUUUUCAGGUUCUGUUUCCAAUGAUAUAGGUUUGCUUCAUGAGCUUGUAACCCUCAAUCUUAACUCUAAUUUUUUUGAGGGGCCGCUUCCGCCAAAUGUAUUCAAGCUCUCCAAACUAAAGUUUUUUGCCCUUCAUGAGAAUAACUUUUCAGGUUUUAUUUCUAAGGAUAUAGGUUUGCUUUCCGAACUUGAAAUCCUCUAUUUUGGCUCUAAUUUUUUUGAGGGGCCGCUUCCUCCACAUGUAUUUAGGCUCUCCAAAUUAAGAGGUCUGGACCUCUCACACAAUAGAAAUUUAUUUGAAGGAAGUAUUCCUAUUGGACUGGGACUCUUGACUAACCUCAGGUACUUAGAUCUACAUUCCAAUAAUCUCGGUGGCUAUAUUCCAUCUGACAUUGGAAACCUGAAGCUACUAGUACUUCUUGAUCUCGGUUCUAAUCAAUUGACUGGACCGCUUUCAAAGAUCGUUUCUAAUCUCACAAAUCUUAUAUGUCUUGAUGUAAGUCAUAAUAGUCUUAGUGGAAAUAUUCAGAGUGACUUGUGGAAAUAUAACGAUCAUCCAACUUUGGAAUACAUCAAUUUAAGUGGGAACCAUUUUACGGGUAUAGUUUUUCUCUAUAGAUCUUUUCCUUUUCUCAUAUGUAACUAAGCUAGUAAUCUGAUUAUUGCAGUUUCACCAAAGUUUCAACAAUCUUGACAGGUGAGCUUCCAACAACAAUUUGCAAUGUCACUUCCCUUUCGGUUCUUGAUUUGUCAAAUAAUGAAUUAAGUGGUGCACUUCCAAACUCUUUGGGGAAUCUUGCUGAUGGAAUGCUUUACCUUAAUCUUGCUAAUAAUCAGUUUCGAGGAACAAUACCAACUACUUUCUCCAGGAGUUGUCGGUUGACAUAUCUAAACAUGGAUAAUAAUGAGUUUGAAGGAUUGUUGCCCCCAUCUUUGGCGAACUGUAAGCACUUGAAAAUUCUUGAUAUAGGCAAUAAUAAAAUAGGUGGUACAUUUCCGUCAUGGCUUUAUGCACUUGGAGAGCUAGAAGUUCUUGUCUUGCGAUCAAAUAAACUCUAUGGUACAAUAAGUGGAAGGAGCAUAGAAGAUCCCUUCCCCAAGUUGCGGAUUGUGGAUCUGUCCCACAAUCAAUUGACAGGCUAUUUGCCAAUUCAAUACUUUAAGAAUAUGAAAUCAACUGAUAAUUUGUAUCGUUAUCAGAAUGACACAGGAGUUUUUUCUUUCCAUUAUGAAGCAUCUGUCUCAUUAACUGUGAAGGGAACAGAGUAUGAAGUGAAAAAUAUCCUUCAUAUUUACACAACCAUUGAUCUGUCCUGCAACAAGUUUCAAGGAGAAAUUCCUGACGUUAUUGGAGAGCUUAGAUGGCUUGCAUUGCUGAACUUAUCUCAUAAUAGUCUAACAGGACAUAUCCCAUCAUUGCUGAGAAAUAUGAAAGGACUCCAAUCUUUAGAUUUGUCUUCAAAUCAACUGAAAGGGGCUAUUCCACUUCAGUUAACUGCAUUGACAUUUCUAGAGGUCUUGAACCUCUCGGGAAACCAUCUUAGUGGAGAGAUUCCUCAGAAAGGGCAGUUCAGCACAUUUAACAUUGAUUCUUAUCUAGGAAACUCCGCGUUAUGUGGUUCACCUUUGAUGAAGAAAUGUGCAAACACAGCAUCACCUCCACAAGAAGCCGGAAAUGGUGAUGAAGAUGAAGCUGGUGAUGAAUUGACAUGGGAAGCAAUCGUGAUGGGAUAUGGAUGUGGACUGAUAUGUGGAUUGUCAUCUGCAUACAUUGUUCUCAAACUAGGAAAGCCUUGGUGGUUUGUGAGAUAUAUCGAAGUACUGCAACAGAAGUUGAUGAAAAGAUAUGCAUGAAGAAAGGUACUGGUAGAUCAAGAUGAACUUGAAAGUUGUUGUCGUGGUAGACAUUUGUGAACCAGUAGUGUACUAGCUGCAUAAGUAUUUGGUAUUAUGUAAUAAUCCGUUUGGUCGGGACUCAAAAUGAUUUCUCUUGCUUCAGGGGUAUUAAUAUUAACCUUGCUAUCUUGAUCAAUGUUAGGGCAAAUUAAAAAGAAUAUAAAAGCAAAAAAUUUGCAUCAAACACCUGUUGUACCAACAUGCAUCCAUUAAUUUGCUUUCAUCUAUUAAGUAACAAUUUAAGAGCGCUUCCACUCUGUUUAAGCAUGGAGAUAACACAAAGAAGGCAAGUCCAUGGACUAAUAUAUUAACACGUAGUCCACAUCUAUGGUAUGAACAAUUCAUAUUGCUCUUCUAUCUGUUCAACAGUCUCCCGAAGAUAGGCCAAAAAUGUCAUCUGUGGUUCUUAUGUUUGUCAGUGAAGGAGAAUCUCUGAUGCCUACACAACCUGGUGUUUUUACAGAAAGGAAUGUAGGUGAAACCAGGGGCGUAAAAUGAAUCAGGACUAAAAUCUGCUAAAAUGAUAAUUAUUUACUCAUCAUUCAAGAUUAGUCGGGCUCAAAGAUUUAUAUGGAUUUUAAGAACAAACUAUGACUAAAUAUGAAAAAAUCAUUAAUUUUUCCGACUCAAUAUUUUUUAGCCUCCCCCGGCCCUGGGUGAAACCAUAAGCUUCUCUGGUGCACAUCCAAAUCAUUCAGUUGGUUCUACUUUCAGCUCACCCACAGGAACAUCAUUCUGCAGGUACUCUUUUAUCUGUACUUUCUUAUAUUGUAUGCCAGUAAAUUUUAUAUCGACAAACUGCACAAUACACCUCGAUCUCAUAUUAUUGACAGGUGAGCUCCUCUCAUAAUGCUCACAGGCGAACCCCUGCAUAUAUACUUUGUGAUGUCAUUGAUGAUCGAUAGACUUGAAAAAAAAUUAUGACAAAGAUUCAUAAAAUAUCUACUUCCAUCCUAAUUCAGUAUUCAAUAUUAUUCAUUCGUAUCAUCAUCCAAUCAAUUCUAAUAGUUCUUCUUUAAAUCAGUACAAAUAUUGUUAAAUACCUGGAUGAUGGUUGUCUUUCCGCGAACCAAUCAUGAAAUUACCUCUGUAUAAAUCCAUCGGAAAUAAGACAGUUAAUAUCCCAAUCGAAUACACCCCGUCAGUUGUCAAACUCCUCGAAACGUAUUAAUCACUUUAGAAAAUUUGUUCCACUGGCGCUAGUCAGUCCCAGAGUUGGUGGUGGGUGCUUCUGGGCUUUCGAAAAGCACCCAUUUACUCCAUUGUUUAGAGAAGUAAAACCCCACCUUCCGCUCAUUUGAUUGAUCAGCUGAAUUAGGCAGAGUUUACAUGGUCAUGAUCAUAGUCUCCCAUAUAUCCCUGAUACGCACAUUAUAGUGGAUUUAUCUUUAUCAGUGAUUUCUGUGGAGAUGCAUAAUCAUUAUAAGCUCCAAUAUAAAAUUUUAAAGUUAGUAUGGGAAUUUGUGUUGAUAAUUUGCGCAAUGUUAACAGGAUUGCUCCCAAGUCUUGGACGGACUCUUUCAAAGUCUUCUCAGGACCCAUCUGCACACUAAUUUGUCUGCCAACUAAAAAAUCAACAAUAUGUUACUCCCUCCGUUUUUCUUAAACUGAGGUUAAAAUUUUUGACACAAGAUGGGUUGACAGUAUAAAAUUAAAAUAUUUGUGAAUAAAAAUUUUGGUUAUAUUUUUUAUUUAAAAAGAAAAUCUUGAAAAUAAUAUUAUUAACUACCAGUCAGAUCACUUAAGUGUAUGUCCAAAAUUAAAGCGGCAUAUAAAAAAAAGGGAGGAAGCAUGUACUAACUGUUUCCAUAACAGUUUACAAGUAUAAGCUAUACCCCCUCUCUAUUUUUUUCUAUGACAGCUUUGAUUUUGGGCACACAUUCUUAAGUGUUUUGACCGGAUAGUUAAAAAUUUAUCUUCUAAAAUUUUUAAAAAAAGUAAAAUCGCAAAAAAAAUUAGAAAGCUGGUAUUUUUGAUAAAUUUCCAAAUAUGUAAUCAAGAAAAAUAACUUUUACUAUCCAAUCAACUCAUUUAAAGAUGUGUGUCAAAAAUCAAAAUAUCAUACAAAAAAUAGGUAUACAUUUUUUUAAUAGAUUAUACUCCCUCUGUUCCAAAAUAAGUGUCAGCUGGGGGUAAUAACAAGACCUUAGUCAACCCAAGCACAGCAGACAGCAGGCAUAAGGCAUCAGGAAUUUCACAGGACCAUUAUCUUUCUCUUAUUAACUGUGAAGGGAACAGCGUAUGAAGUAGCAAGAACCUUCAUAUUUACACAGCCAUUGAUCUGUCGUGCAACAAAUUUCAGGGAGAAAUUCCAAAGGUUACCGGAGAGCUUAGAUGGCUUGCAUUGCUCAAUUUAUCGCAUAAUUAAUAGUCUGACAGGACCUAUCCCAACAUUGCUGAGAAAUAUGAAAUAACUCCAUUACUCCAAUCUUAGAUUUGUCCUCAAAUCAACUGACAGGGGCUAUUCCACCUCUGUUAACUGCAUUGACAUUACUUUUCUCUUUAUAUUCUUUCCUUUUGUAUGUACCUAUGCUAAUUAUCUGAUUAUUAAAAUUAUAACAAAGCUUCAAGAUUUUUAACAGGUGAGCUUCCACUAAAAAUUUGCAAAGUCACUUCCCUUUCGCGUCUCAUUAUGUUAGAUAAUGGGUCAAGUGGUGCACUUCCACAGUGUUUGGGGAACCUUUCUUUGCUUGGUUUCAAUAAUCUUGCUAAUUAUCAAUUUCAAGGACCAAUACCAACGACUGUCCAAGACUUGUCUGUGCAUAUCUAAACAUCCAUAACAAUCACUUUGAAGGUUUGUUGCUCCAAUCUUUGGCAAACUGUAAACACUUACAAAUUCUUGAUAUUGGAAACAACGUUGGAGAGCUAGAUGUCCCAGUUAGGGCGGUAAUUCGACUAGAGCAAACCGAGUUUUGAGCGGAGCCAAAUUCGAGCCAAGUUUAAUCGAGUCGAGCCGAGUCGGCUCGUUUAGCUAAUCGAGCCUAAAACUUAGCCCGAACUCGACUCAUUUAAUUUCACGAGUCGAGUCGAGCCAACUCGUUUAGCUAAAUGAGCUGAUUUUAACAAGUCGAGCGAGCGAGCUCGUAUAAUUUUAACUUAGUCGAGCCUGAAUCUCUACCCAAACUAUUGGCUCGUGUAAUUUCGCGAGUCGAAUCGAGCCGGCUCGUUUUAUUAAACAAGCCGAAAUUUUUGCCCGAAUUUGCUCGUUUAACAAGCCGAUCUGAGCCUAGUUAAAUGAGUUCGAGUUAGUCGAGCUCGCGAGCUGCGAGCUCACCUGCCAGCUCUAGUCCUAGUCUUGCAAUCAAAUAGGUUUAACGGUAUAGAAAGUGGAAGGAGCACAAGGCAUCCAUUCCCCAAGGCUAUUUACCAAUUCAGUACUUUGAGGAUACAAAAUCAUUCUGCAGGUACUCUUGUAUCUGUACUUUCUUGUACUGUAUGCCACUUUGACAGUAGAGUAAAAUUUAUAUCGACAAACUGCAUAUGUUCUGAACUACUCCUCUAUCCCAAAUUAGAUGAGCUAGUUGACUUUGAGCACGUAACUUAAGGUACAUUGACCAACUAGUUCCGAUAUUUAUUUUUUUAAUUUUUCUUUUGUAAAUGAAAAUUUCAUAUUUAAAUUUUUAUUUGCAAAACUAAAAUUUAAAAAUAUGUAAUGUGGCUAUGCGGUCAAUGUCAACGAGCUCAUCUAAUUUGGGAUUGGGAUGCAGGGAGUAUUACGUACUAUGUUAUGCAAGCUGUUUACAACUUUCAUCAAAAUUUUCAAACAUUUCUGAAUAUGUAUUUUCAAAGAAUUCUCGGGCACUCUUAAGGCCUAUAAUUAUUGGAACUCUCACGUUAUGGACCAGAGGACCACUAUGUAUUUUACAAGCACGACGAAUCAUGUGGUCAUUAUGGACUCCCCAAGCCUUAGAGGACUCAUUCCAGGUUUUAGGAGGACCACUGCCUAGCUCACCCUUUCGGAGUGAUGUAAAUUAGUUUCCAGACACUAAAAAUAAGUAAUCAGAUUAAUCAUUACAAAAUUUUGAUAUAAAAUCAGAAUAAAUCCUAAACUUUGAUGAUACAAAAAAAAUUAUAAUUGUAAAUUAUACAAUCAAAUUAAGAUCGAAUUAACUUCCCUCACACUUAAAAUUUAUAGCGAUCAAAUCAAAAUCGAAUUAACUUUCCUAUUACUAAAAUUUAAUUACAAUAUUAUUAGAUAAAGAGAAUAUAUAAUAAUCAAGAGAAAAUAGAUUUUUUUUUGCCACUCAACUUAUUGUGUUUUAAGAAACUUACCACCCAACUAAAUUUUUUUCCUUUUGCUCACUAAUGUUAGGUUUGGAUUUGUUUUUAGCCACCAAAUAAGGUUCGGAUUUGAUUACCAGCAUUAUGAUAAUUUUUUUUGUCACUAAACUUAUUGCGUCUUUAGAAACUAACCACUGAACUAAAUUUUUUUUAUUUUACUCACUAAUGUUAGAUUUAGUUUUUUUUGUCACUAUAGUUAGGUUCAGAUUUGAUUAUUAGCAUUACAUUAAUUCUGUGUAGCAUUUUUAAAAUAUGGUAGUAGUCUGUGAUAUUUAGAUGAUUUGAUAUAUGUCUGUAUUUUUAUAUAUAGUAUAUUUUAUGUCCCCAAGGUCGUUUACCUUGGGUCAUAAAAAUUUUACACUCAUUUUAUGACUUUUAAAAGAUGUAGUUUCAUAAAUAAUUUUAUUUUUUUCUUUCGAAUUAAAAUUCAGCAUUUGAAUUUUACACACAAAAAAAUCGCAAGAAUAAGAUAUGAAACUAUGCUUUACAAGAGUCUUAAAAUACGUGCUAAACGGUAGAAAAAACUGUAAACUAAUGAGAGGUACAUAGGGAGUAAUAAUAACAUAAAAUGAUGCACAAUCAUCGAAUUAAGUUUUCCUCUCUCUAUAUAUUUAUUUUGUAAAUUUUAAUAAGAUAAAGUUAUUAAAAUUUAUGAUAUAAAUUUAAGAGAUAUCUUAGAUUGAGUGGCAAAAAUUUAGUUGGGUGGUAAGUUUCUAAAAACACAAUAAAUUGAGUGGGAACAAAAUCUAUUUUCCCAAUAAUGAGUGGGAAUAAAAUCUAUUUUCCCAAUAAUCAAAGUGACGAAAAAUCAAAGUCAUCUAAUAAGUCCAGAAAAAAUAUGACCAUUAGUAUAUUGAAAUAAUAUUCACGCAUUUAUAUACGAGAAUAUAUGGUCCACAAGUUAGUGCACAAUGUCCAAGAAUCUUUAUCAAAUAACACGGCAAGCAUGCAGCAUAUAAAUAAGAGUGGGCAGUAUGGUAUUGCAUUCAUAACCCACUUGAGCAGAAAUAUGGCACACUUCCUAAAGCCUUCUCACCUUCUUCUCUUUGUUUUCUUUCUCUCGUUACUUCAAUCCAUUCUACCAACAAGACCAGAGGGAGAAGCUCUUGUGAAAUGGAAGAAUAGCCUAGCCCCGUCUUCUUUUCUCGAUUCUUGGUCACUAACCAAUCUCGAUAAUCUUUGUAACUGGACUGGCAUUACUUGUAACUCUGCAGGUUCAGUCUCUGGGAUUAACCUUUAUGAGAAACAACUUGAUGGAAUGCUGUCCGAGUUUGGCUUCACUUCAUUUCCGAAUCUCAACAAUCUCACCCUCGCAUACAACUUCUUCUCGGGUCCAAUACCACCAGCCAUUGAGAAUUUAACACAGCUUCAAUAUCUUGAUUUAAGCAUCAAUAGUCUCGAUGGUCCCAUUCCUUUCCAGGUUAGCCAUCUUCAGAGGUUGCUCGUCCUAAACCUGUCACAGAAUGCAUUGCAAGCUCCAAAUUGGUCCCAUUUCUCUUCCAUGCCUUUUUUGCGCAUCCUCAAGCUCAGUAGGAAUCAUCUUGUAUCNUUUUUAUUUAAAAAGAAAAUCUUGAAAAUAAUAUUAUUAACUACCAGUCAGAUCACUUAAGUGUAUGUCCAAAAUUAAAGCGGCAUAUAAAAAAAAGGGAGGAAGCAUGUACUAACUGUUUCCAUAACAGUUUACAAGUAUAAGCUAUACCCCCUCUCUAUUUUUUUCUAUGACAGCUUUGAUUUUGGGCACACAUUCUUAAGUGUUUUGACCGGAUAGUUAAAAAUUUAUCUUCUAAAAUUUUUAAAAAAAGUAAAAUCGCAAAAAAAAUUAGAAAGCUGGUAUUUUUGAUAAAUUUCCAAAUAUGUAAUCAAGAAAAAUAACUUUUACUAUCCAAUCAACUCAUUUAAAGAUGUGUGUCAAAAAUCAAAAUAUCAUACAAAAAAUAGGUAUACAUUUUUUUAAUAGAUUAUACUCCCUCUGUUCCAAAAUAAGUGUCAGCUGGGGGUAAUAACAAGACCUUAGUCAACCCAAGCACAGCAGACAGCAGGCAUAAGGCAUCAGGAAUUUCACAGGACCAUUAUCUUUCUCUUAUUAACUGUGAAGGGAACAGCGUAUGAAGUAGCAAGAACCUUCAUAUUUACACAGCCAUUGAUCUGUCGUGCAACAAAUUUCAGGGAGAAAUUCCAAAGGUUACCGGAGAGCUUAGAUGGCUUGCAUUGCUCAAUUUAUCGCAUAAUUAAUAGUCUGACAGGACCUAUCCCAACAUUGCUGAGAAAUAUGAAAUAACUCCAUUACUCCAAUCUUAGAUUUGUCCUCAAAUCAACUGACAGGGGCUAUUCCACCUCUGUUAACUGCAUUGACAUUACUUUUCUCUUUAUAUUCUUUCCUUUUGUAUGUACCUAUGCUAAUUAUCUGAUUAUUAAAAUUAUAACAAAGCUUCAAGAUUUUUAACAGGUGAGCUUCCACUAAAAAUUUGCAAAGUCACUUCCCUUUCGCGUCUCAUUAUGUUAGAUAAUGGGUCAAGUGGUGCACUUCCACAGUGUUUGGGGAACCUUUCUUUGCUUGGUUUCAAUAAUCUUGCUAAUUAUCAAUUUCAAGGACCAAUACCAACGACUGUCCAAGACUUGUCUGUGCAUAUCUAAACAUCCAUAACAAUCACUUUGAAGGUUUGUUGCUCCAAUCUUUGGCAAACUGUAAACACUUACAAAUUCUUGAUAUUGGAAACAACGUUGGAGAGCUAGAUGUCCCAGUUAGGGCGGUAAUUCGACUAGAGCAAACCGAGUUUUGAGCGGAGCCAAAUUCGAGCCAAGUUUAAUCGAGUCGAGCCGAGUCGGCUCGUUUAGCUAAUCGAGCCUAAAACUUAGCCCGAACUCGACUCAUUUAAUUUCACGAGUCGAGUCGAGCCAACUCGUUUAGCUAAAUGAGCUGAUUUUAACAAGUCGAGCGAGCGAGCUCGUAUAAUUUUAACUUAGUCGAGCCUGAAUCUCUACCCAAACUAUUGGCUCGUGUAAUUUCGCGAGUCGAAUCGAGCCGGCUCGUUUUAUUAAACAAGCCGAAAUUUUUGCCCGAAUUUGCUCGUUUAACAAGCCGAUCUGAGCCUAGUUAAAUGAGUUCGAGUUAGUCGAGCUCGCGAGCUGCGAGCUCACCUGCCAGCUCUAGUCCUAGUCUUGCAAUCAAAUAGGUUUAACGGUAUAGAAAGUGGAAGGAGCACAAGGCAUCCAUUCCCCAAGGCUAUUUACCAAUUCAGUACUUUGAGGAUACAAAAUCAUUCUGCAGGUACUCUUGUAUCUGUACUUUCUUGUACUGUAUGCCACUUUGACAGUAGAGUAAAAUUUAUAUCGACAAACUGCAUAUGUUCUGAACUACUCCUCUAUCCCAAAUUAGAUGAGCUAGUUGACUUUGAGCACGUAACUUAAGGUACAUUGACCAACUAGUUCCGAUAUUUAUUUUUUUAAUUUUUCUUUUGUAAAUGAAAAUUUCAUAUUUAAAUUUUUAUUUGCAAAACUAAAAUUUAAAAAUAUGUAAUGUGGCUAUGCGGUCAAUGUCAACGAGCUCAUCUAAUUUGGGAUUGGGAUGCAGGGAGUAUUACGUACUAUGUUAUGCAAGCUGUUUACAACUUUCAUCAAAAUUUUCAAACAUUUCUGAAUAUGUAUUUUCAAAGAAUUCUCGGGCACUCUUAAGGCCUAUAAUUAUUGGAACUCUCACGUUAUGGACCAGAGGACCACUAUGUAUUUUACAAGCACGACGAAUCAUGUGGUCAUUAUGGACUCCCCAAGCCUUAGAGGACUCAUUCCAGGUUUUAGGAGGACCACUGCCUAGCUCACCCUUUCGGAGUGAUGUAAAUUAGUUUCCAGACACUAAAAAUAAGUAAUCAGAUUAAUCAUUACAAAAUUUUGAUAUAAAAUCAGAAUAAAUCCUAAACUUUGAUGAUACAAAAAAAAUUAUAAUUGUAAAUUAUACAAUCAAAUUAAGAUCGAAUUAACUUCCCUCACACUUAAAAUUUAUAGCGAUCAAAUCAAAAUCGAAUUAACUUUCCUAUUACUAAAAUUUAAUUACAAUAUUAUUAGAUAAAGAGAAUAUAUAAUAAUCAAGAGAAAAUAGAUUUUUUUUUGCCACUCAACUUAUUGUGUUUUAAGAAACUUACCACCCAACUAAAUUUUUUUCCUUUUGCUCACUAAUGUUAGGUUUGGAUUUGUUUUUAGCCACCAAAUAAGGUUCGGAUUUGAUUACCAGCAUUAUGAUAAUUUUUUUUGUCACUAAACUUAUUGCGUCUUUAGAAACUAACCACUGAACUAAAUUUUUUUUAUUUUACUCACUAAUGUUAGAUUUAGUUUUUUUUGUCACUAUAGUUAGGUUCAGAUUUGAUUAUUAGCAUUACAUUAAUUCUGUGUAGCAUUUUUAAAAUAUGGUAGUAGUCUGUGAUAUUUAGAUGAUUUGAUAUAUGUCUGUAUUUUUAUAUAUAGUAUAUUUUAUGUCCCCAAGGUCGUUUACCUUGGGUCAUAAAAAUUUUACACUCAUUUUAUGACUUUUAAAAGAUGUAGUUUCAUAAAUAAUUUUAUUUUUUUCUUUCGAAUUAAAAUUCAGCAUUUGAAUUUUACACACAAAAAAAUCGCAAGAAUAAGAUAUGAAACUAUGCUUUACAAGAGUCUUAAAAUACGUGCUAAACGGUAGAAAAAACUGUAAACUAAUGAGAGGUACAUAGGGAGUAAUAAUAACAUAAAAUGAUGCACAAUCAUCGAAUUAAGUUUUCCUCUCUCUAUAUAUUUAUUUUGUAAAUUUUAAUAAGAUAAAGUUAUUAAAAUUUAUGAUAUAAAUUUAAGAGAUAUCUUAGAUUGAGUGGCAAAAAUUUAGUUGGGUGGUAAGUUUCUAAAAACACAAUAAAUUGAGUGGGAACAAAAUCUAUUUUCCCAAUAAUGAGUGGGAAUAAAAUCUAUUUUCCCAAUAAUCAAAGUGACGAAAAAUCAAAGUCAUCUAAUAAGUCCAGAAAAAAUAUGACCAUUAGUAUAUUGAAAUAAUAUUCACGCAUUUAUAUACGAGAAUAUAUGGUCCACAAGUUAGUGCACAAUGUCCAAGAAUCUUUAUCAAAUAACACGGCAAGCAUGCAGCAUAUAAAUAAGAGUGGGCAGUAUGGUAUUGCAUUCAUAACCCACUUGAGCAGAAAUAUGGCACACUUCCUAAAGCCUUCUCACCUUCUUCUCUUUGUUUUCUUUCUCUCGUUACUUCAAUCCAUUCUACCAACAAGACCAGAGGGAGAAGCUCUUGUGAAAUGGAAGAAUAGCCUAGCCCCGUCUUCUUUUCUCGAUUCUUGGUCACUAACCAAUCUCGAUAAUCUUUGUAACUGGACUGGCAUUACUUGUAACUCUGCAGGUUCAGUCUCUGGGAUUAACCUUUAUGAGAAACAACUUGAUGGAAUGCUGUCCGAGUUUGGCUUCACUUCAUUUCCGAAUCUCAACAAUCUCACCCUCGCAUACAACUUCUUCUCGGGUCCAAUACCACCAGCCAUUGAGAAUUUAACACAGCUUCAAUAUCUUGAUUUAAGCAUCAAUAGUCUCGAUGGUCCCAUUCCUUUCCAGGUUAGCCAUCUUCAGAGGUUGCUCGUCCUAAACCUGUCACAGAAUGCAUUGCAAGCUCCAAAUUGGUCCCAUUUCUCUUCCAUGCCUUUUUUGCGCAUCCUCAAGCUCAGUAGGAAUCAUCUUGUAUCGAAAUUUCCAGAAUUUAUAUCCAAUUCUCAUAGCUUGGCUAUCCUUGACCUUGGCCAGAACAACUUUACAGGUGAUCUUGUGCGUGAAUUUACCAAUCUACAAAAUCUUGAAACCCUCUGGCUUUAUCGUAAUUCUUUUGAGGGGCCAUUUCCGCCGGAUAUAGUCCAGCUUUCCAAACUAAAAGAUCUUGCCCUGUCAAGUAACAAAUUUUCAGGUUCAGUUCCCAAUAACAUAAGGUUGCUUUGUGAUCUUGAAUACCUAUAUUUAGGCAACAAUUCCUUUAAGGGGCCACUUCCACCAAAUAUAUUUAAGCUUUCAAAAUUAAAACAUCUUGUUCUUUGGAGUAAUAAGUUUUCAGGUUCUGUUUCCAAUGAUAUAGGUUUGCUUCAUGAGCUUGUAACCCUCAAUCUUAACUCUAAUUUUUUUGAGGGGCCGCUUCCGCCAAAUGUAUUCAAGCUCUCCAAACUAAAGUUUUUUGCCCUUCAUGAGAAUAACUUUUCAGGUUUUAUUUCUAAGGAUAUAGGUUUGCUUUCCGAACUUGAAAUCCUCUAUUUUGGCUCUAAUUUUUUUGAGGGGCCGCUUCCUCCACAUGUAUUUAGGCUCUCCAAAUUAAGAGGUCUGGACCUCUCACACAAUAGAAAUUUAUUUGAAGGAAGUAUUCCUAUUGGACUGGGACUCUUGACUAACCUCAGGUACUUAGAUCUACAUUCCAAUAAUCUCGGUGGCUAUAUUCCAUCUGACAUUGGAAACCUGAAGCUACUAGUACUUCUUGAUCUCGGUUCUAAUCAAUUGACUGGACCGCUUUCAAAGAUCGUUUCUAAUCUCACAAAUCUUAUAUGUCUUGAUGUAAGUCAUAAUAGUCUUAGUGGAAAUAUUCAGAGUGACUUGUGGAAAUAUAACGAUCAUCCAACUUUGGAAUACAUCAAUUUAAGUGGGAACCAUUUUACGGGUAUAGUUUUUCUCUAUAGAUCUUUUCCUUUUCUCAUAUGUAACUAAGCUAGUAAUCUGAUUAUUGCAGUUUCACCAAAGUUUCAACAAUCUUGACAGGUGAGCUUCCAACAACAAUUUGCAAUGUCACUUCCCUUUCGGUUCUUGAUUUGUCAAAUAAUGAAUUAAGUGGUGCACUUCCAAACUCUUUGGGGAAUCUUGCUGAUGGAAUGCUUUACCUUAAUCUUGCUAAUAAUCAGUUUCGAGGAACAAUACCAACUACUUUCUCCAGGAGUUGUCGGUUGACAUAUCUAAACAUGGAUAAUAAUGAGUUUGAAGGAUUGUUGCCCCCAUCUUUGGCGAACUGUAAGCACUUGAAAAUUCUUGAUAUAGGCAAUAAUAAAAUAGGUGGUACAUUUCCGUCAUGGCUUUAUGCACUUGGAGAGCUAGAAGUUCUUGUCUUGCGAUCAAAUAAACUCUAUGGUACGAUAAGUGGAAGGAGCAUAGAAGAUCCCUUCCCCAAGUUGCGGAUUGUGGAUCUGUCCCACAAUCAAUUGACAGGCUAUUUGCCAAUUCAAUACUUUAAGAAUAUGAAAUCAACUGAUAAUUUGUAUCGUUAUCGGAAUUCCACAGGACCAUUAUCUUUCUCUUAUGAAGCAGCAGUCUCAUUAACUGUGAAGGGAACAGAGUACGAGGUAGCAAAGAACCUUCAUAUUUACACAGCCAUUGACCUGUCGUGCAACAAAUUUCAGGGAGAAAUUCCAAAGGUUACUGGAGAGCUUAGAUGGCUUGCAUUGCUGAAUUUAUCUCAUAAUAGUCUGACAGGACCUAUCCCAUCCUUGCUGAAAAAUAUGAAAGAACUCCAAUCUUUAGAUUUGUCCUCAAAUCAACUGACAGGGGCUAUUCCACCUCAGUUAACUGCAUUGACAUUUCUGGAGGUCUUCAACCUCUCGGGAAACCAUCUUAGUGGAGAGAUUCCUCAGAAAGGGCAGUUCAGCACAUUUAACAAUGAUUCUUAUCUAGGAAACUCCGCGUUAUGUGGAUCACCUUUGACAAAGAAAUGUGCAAACACAGCAUCACCUCCACAAGAAGUCGGAAAUGGUGAUGAAGAUGAUGCUGGUGAUGAAUGGACAUGGGAAGCAAUCGUGAUGGGAUAUGGAUGUGGACUGAUAUGUGGAUUGUCAUCUGCGUACAUUGUUCUCAAACUAGGAAAGCCUUGGUGGUUUGUGAGAUAUAUCGAAGUGCUGCAACUGAAGUUGAUGAAAAGAUAUGCUUGAAAAAUUGUACUGGCCGAUCAAGACGAACUUGAAAGUUGUUGUCCUUGUGGACAUUUCUGAACCAGUAGUGUACUAGCUGCAUAAGUAUUUGGUAUUAUGUAAUAAUCCGUUUGGUCAGGACUCAUAAUGAUUUCUCUUGCUUCAGGGGUAUUAAUAUUAACCUUGCUAGUUAAUUCAAAUUAAAACAAAUAUAAAAUCAAAAAAUUUGCAUCAAACACCUGUUAUACCAACAUCCAUUAAUUUGCUUUCAUCUCUUACGUAACAAUUUAACAGCGAUUCCACACUGUUUUAGGCAUGGAGAUUACACAAAGAAGGCAAGUCCAUGAACUAAUAUAUUAACCCGUAGUCCACAUCUAUGCUACGAACAAUUCAUAUUGGUCUUCCAUCUAUUCAACCGUCUCCCGAAGAUAGGCCAAAAAUGUCAUCUGUGGUUCUUAUCUUUGUCAGUAAAGGAGAAUCUCUGAUGCCUAUACAACCUGGUUUUCUUACAGAAAGGAAUGUAGGUGAAACCAGGGGCAUAAAAUGAAUCGGGACUAAAAUCUGCUAAAAUGAUAAUUAUUUACUCAUCAUUCGAGAUUAGUCGGGCUCAAAUGAAGAUUUAUAUGGAUUUUAAGAACAAACUAUGACUAAAUAUGAAAACUAGACAACCUGGUUUUCUUACAGAAAGGAAUGUAGGUGAAACCAGGGGCGUAAAAUGAAUCGGGACUAAAAUCUGCUAAAAUGAUAGUAAUUAUUUACUCAUCAUUCAAGAUUAGUCGGGCUCAAAUGAAGAUUUAUAUGGAUUUUUAAGAACAAACUAUGACUAAAUAUGAAAAAAAUCAUUAAUUUUUCCGACUCAAUAUUUUUUAGCCUCCCCCGGCCCUGGGUGAAACCAUAAGCUUCUCUGGUGCACAUCCAAAUCAUUCAGCUGGUUCUGCAGGUACUCUUCUAUCUGUACUUUCUUAUAUUGUUUGCCAGUACAUUUUAUAUCGACAAACUGCACAAUACACCUCGAUCUCAUACACAGGUGAACUCCUGCAUAUGCUUUGUGAUGUCAUUGAUGAUCGAUAGACUUGAAAAAAAAUUAUGACAAAGAUUCAUAAAAUAUCUACUUCCAUCCUAAUUCAGUAUUCAAUAUUAUUCAUCCCGUAUCAUCAUCCAAUCAAUUCUAAUAGUUCUUCUUUAAAUCAGUACAAAUAUUGUUAAAUACCUCGAUGAUGGUUGUCUUCCCGUGAACCAAUCAUAAAAUUACCUCUGUAUAAAUCCAUCGGAAAUAAGACAGUUAAUAUCCCAAUCGAAUACACCCCGUCAGUUGUCAAACUCCUCGAAACGUAUUAAUCACUUUAGAAAAUUUGUUCCACUGGCGCUAGUCAGUCCCAGAGUUGGUGGUGGGUGCUUCUGGGCUUUCGAAAAACACCCAUUUACUCCAUUGUUUAGAGAAGUAAAACCCCACCUUCCGCUCAUUUGAUUGAUCAGCUGAAUUAGGCAGAGUUUACAUGGUCAUGAUCAUAGUCUCCCAUUUCCCAGAUACGCGAAUUAUAGUGGAUUUAUCUUUAUCAGUAAUUUCUGUGGAGAUGCAUAAUCAUUAUAAGCUCCAAUAUAAAAAUUUAAAGUUAGUAUGGGCAUUUGUGUUGAUAAUUUGCGCAAUGUUAACAGGAUUGCUCCCAAGUCUUGGACGGACUCUUUCAAAGUCUUCUCAGGACCCAUCUGCACACUGAUUUGUCUGCCAACUAAAAAAUCAACAAUAUGUUACUCACUCCGUUUUUCUUAAACGAGGUUAAAAUUUUUGACACAAGAUGGGUUGACAGUAUAAUAAAAUUAACAUUUUUGUGAAUAAAAAUUUUGGUUGUAUUAUUUUAUUUAGAAAAAGAAAAUCUUGAAAAUAAUAUUAUUAACUACCCAGUCAAAUCACUUAAAAGUAUAUGUCCAAAAUUAAAGCGGCAUAUAAAAAAACCGAGAGAGAGUAUGUACUAACCUGUUUCCAUAACAGUUUACAAGUAUAAGUUAUACUCCCUCUCUAUUUUUUUAUAUGACGCUUUGAUUUUGGGCACAUAUUUUUAAGUGUUUUGACCGGAUAAUUAAAAAUAUUAUUUUCUAAAAUUUUUAAAAGAAAGUAAAAUUGAAAAAAAAAUAGAAAGCUGGUAUUUUUGAUAAAUUUCCAAACAUAAUCAAGAACAAUAAUUUUUACUAUCCAAUCAACUCAUUUACAGAUGUGUGUCAAAAAUCAAAAUAUCAUAUAAAAAACAACAAUAUGUUACUCCCUCCGUUUUUCUUAAACUGAGGUUAAAAUUUUUGACACAAGAUGGGUUGACAGUAUAAAAUUAAAAUUUUUGUGAAUAAAAAUUUUGGUUAUAUUUUUUAUUUAAAAAGAAAAUCUUGAAAAUAAUAUUAUUAACUACCAGUCAGAUCACUUAAGUGUAUGUCCAAAAUUAAAGCGGCAUAUAAAAAAAAGGGAGGAAGCAUGUACUAACUGUUUCCAUAACAGUUUACAAGUACAAGUUAUACUCCCUCUCUAUUUUUUCUAUGACGCUUUGAUUUUGGGCACACAUUCUUAAGUGUUUUGACCGGAUAGUUAAAAAUUUAUCUUCUAAAAUUUUUAAAAAGAAGUAAAAUCGCAAAAAAAAUUAGAAAGCUGGUAUUUUUGAUAAAUUUCCAAAUAUGUAAUCAAGAACAAUAACUUUUACUAUCCAAUCAACUCAUUUAAAGAUGUGUGUCAAAAAUCAAAAUAUCAUACAAAAAAUAGGUAUACAUUUUUUUUAAUAGAUUAUACUCCCUCUGUUCCAAAAUAAUUGUCAGCUGUGACAUUUUGCAAAAGUAGCUGGGGGGUAAUAACAAGACCUUAGUCAACCCAAGCACAGCAGACAGCAGGCAUAAGGCAUCAGGAAUUUCACAGCACCAUUAUCUUUCUCUUAUUAACUGUGAAGGGAACAGAGUAUGAAGUAGCAAGAACCUUCAUAUUUACACAGCCAUUGAUCUGUCGUGCAACGAAUUUCAGGGAGAAAUUUCAAAGGUUACUGGAGAGCUUAGAUGGCUUGCAUUGCUCAAUUUAUCUCAUAAUAGUCUCACAGGACCUAUCCCAUCAUUGCUGAGAAAAAUGAAAGAACUCCAAUCUUUAGAUUUGUCCUCAAAUCAACUGACAGGGGCUAUUCCACCUCAGUUAACUGCAUUGACAUUACUUUUCUCUUUAUAUCCUUUCCUUUUGUAUGUACCUAUGCUAAUUAUCUGAUUAUCAAAAUUAUAACAAAGCUUCAAGAUUUUUAACAGGUGAGCUUCCACUAAAAAUUUGCAAAGUCACUUCCCUUUCGCGUCUCAUUAUGUCAGAUAAUGGGUCAAGUGGUGCACAUCCACAGUGUUUGGGGAACCUUUCUUUGCUUGGUUUCAAUAAUCUUGCUAAUUAUCAAUUUCAAGGACCAAUACCAACGACUGUCCAAGACUUGUCUGUGCAUAUCUAAACAUCCAUAACAAUCACUUUGAAGGUUUGUUGCUGCAAUCUUUGACAAACUGUAAACACUUACAAAUUCUUGAUAUUGGAAACAACAAAAUAGGUGGUACAUUUCGGUCAUGGCUAUUUAUUUUGGAGAGCUAGAUGUCCUAGUUAGGGCGGUAAUUCAACUAGAGCAAACCGAGUUUUGAGCGGAGCCAAAUUCGAGCCAAGUUUAAUCGAGUCAAGCCGAGUCGGCUCGUUUAGCUAAUCGAGCCUAAAACUCUGCCCGAACUCGACUCGUUUAAUUUCACGAACGAGUCAAGCGAGUGAGCUCGUAUAAUUUUAACUUAAUCGAGCCUAAAUCUCUACCCGAACUAUUGGCUCGUGUAAUUUCGCGAGUAGAAUCGAGCCGGCUCGUUUUAUUAUAGAAGCCGAAAUUUUUGCCCGAAUUUGGCUUGUUUAACAAGCCGAUCUUUCAUCAAAAAUUUCAAACAUUUCUGAAUAUGUAUUUUCAGAGAAUUUCUCCAGCACUCUUAAGGCCUAUAAUUAUUGCAACUCUCACGUUAUGGACCACUGUGUAUUUUACAAGCACGACGAAUCAUGUUGUCAUUAUGGACUCCCCAAGCCUUAGAGGACUCAUUCCAGGUCUUAGGAGGACCACUGCCUAGCUCACCCUUUCGGAGUGAUGUAAAUUAUUUUCCAAACAUUAAAAAUAAAUAAUCAGAUUAAUCAAUACAAAAUUAAAGAUAUAAAAUCAGAAUAAAUCCUAAACUUUGAAUAUACAAAAAAAAUUAUAAUUGUAAAUUAUACAAUCAAAUUAAAAUUGAAUUAACUUCCCUCACACUUAAAAUUUAUAGCGAUCAAAUCAAAAUCGAAUUAACUUUCCUAUUACUAAAAUUUAGUUACAAUAUUAUUAGAUAAAGAGAAUAUAUAAUAAUCAAGGGAAAAUAGAUUUUUUUUUUUUGCCACUCAACUUAUUGUUUUUUAAGAAACUUACCACCCAACUAAUUAUUUUUUCCUUUUGCUCACUAAUGUUAGGUUUGGAUUUGUUUUUAGCCACCAACUAAGGUUCGGAUUUGAUUACUAGCAUUAUGAUAAUUUUUUUUGUCACUAAACUUAUUGUGUCUUUAGAAACUAACCACUCAACUAAUUUUUUUUUAAUUUACUCACUAAUGUUAGGUUCAGUUUUUUUUUGUCACUGAAGUUAGGUUCGGAUUUGAUUAUUAGCAUUACAUUAAUUCUGUGUAGCAUUUUUAAAAUAUGGCUCAUAAGAAUUUUACACGCAUUUUAUGACUUUUAAAAGAUGUAGUUUCAUUAAUAAUUUUAUUUUUUUCUUCCGAAUUAAAAUUUAGCGUUUGAAUUUUACACACAAAAAAUCGAAAGAAUAAGUUAUGAAAGUAUGCUUUAUAAGAGUCUUAAAAUACGUGCUAAACGGUAGAAAAAACUGUACACUAAUGACAGGUAAAUAGGGAGUAAUAAUAACAUAAAAUGAUGCACAAUCAUCGAAUUAAGUUUUCCUCUCUCUAUAUAUUUAUUUUGAAAAUUUUAAUAAGAUAAAGUUAUUAAAAUUUAUGAUAUAAAUUUAAGAGAUAUCUUAGAUUGAGUGGCAAAAAUUUAGUUGGGUGAUAAAUUUCUAAAAACACAAUAAAUUGAAUGGGAACAAAAUCUAUUUUCCCGAUAAUCAAAGUGACGAAAAAUCAAAGUCAUCUAAUAAGUCCAGAAAAAAUAUGACCAUUAGUAUAUCGGAAUAAUAUUCACACAUUUAUAUACGAGAAUAUAUGGUCCACAAGUUAGUGCACAAUGUCCAAGAAUCUUUAUUAAAGUAACACGGCAAGCAUGCAGCAUAUAAAUAAGAGUGGGCACUGGGCAGUAUGGUAUUGCAUUCAUAACCCACUUGAGGAGAAAUAUGGCACACUUCCUAAAGCCUUCUCACCUUCUUCUCUUUGUUUUCUUUCUCUCGUUACUUCAAUCCAUUCUACUAACAAGACCAGAGGGAGAAGCUCUUGUGAAAUGGAAGAAUAGCCUUGCCCCUUCUUCUUUUCUCGAUUCUUGGUCACUCACCAAUCUCGAUGAUCUUUGUAACUGGACUGGCAUUACUUGUAACUCUGCAGGUUCAGUCUCUGAGAUUAACCUUUAUGAGAAACAACUUGAUGGAAUGCUGUCCGAGUUUAGUUUCACUUCAUUUCCAAAUCUUAACAGUCUCACUCUCGCAUACAACUUCUUCUCGGGUCCAAUACCACCAGCCAUUGAGAAUUUAACACAGCUUCAAUAUCUUGAUUUAAGCAUCAAUAGUCUCGAUGGUCUCAUUCCGUUCCAGGUUAGCCAUCUUCAGAGGUUGCUCGUCUUAAACCUGUCACAGAAUGCAUUGCAAGCUCCAAAUUGGUCCCAAUUCUCUCCCAUGCCCUUUUUGUGCAGCCUCAACCUCAGUAGCAAUCCUCUUGCGUCGAAAUUCCCAAAUUUCAUAUCCAAUUCUCAUGGCCUGACUCACCUUAGCCUUGAUCAAAACGAGUUUACAGGUGAUUUAGCGCGUGAAUCAAUAUUUGCCAAUCUGCAUAAUCUUGAAGUCCUCAGUCUUGUUGGCAAUUCUUUUGAGGGGCCAUUUCUGCCAAAUAUAUUCAAGCUUUCCAAAUUAAAACGUCUCACCCUGUCAAGUAACAAAUUUUUAGGAUCAAUUCCCAAUGACAUAAGGUUGCUUUGUGAUCUUGAAUUCCUGUAUUUAGGAAACAAUUCUUUUGAAGGACCGCUUCCACCAAAUAUAUUCAAGCUUUCAAAAUUAAAACAUCUUGUUCUUUGGAGUAAUAAGUUUUCAGGUUCUGUUUCCAAUGAUAUAGGUUUGCUUUCUGCGCUUGAACUUUUGAAUCUUCACUCUAAUUUUUUUGAGGGGCCGCUUCCGCCAAAUGUAUUCAAGCUCUCUAAACUAAGGUUUCUUAACCUCUGGGGUAACAACUUUUCAGGUUCUGUUUCCAAUGAUAUAGGUUUGCUUCCGGAGCUAGAAAUCCUCAAUCUUCACUCUAAUUUUUUUGAGGGCCGCUUCCGCCAAAUAUAUUCAAGCUCUCUAAACUAAGGUUUCUUAACCUUUGGGGUAAUAACUUUUCAGGUUCUGUUUCCAAUGAUAUAGGUUUGCUUCCUGAGCUAGAAUUCCUCAAUCUUCACUCUAAUUUUUUUGAGGGUCCGCUUCCGCCAAAUGUAUUCAAGCUCUCUAAACUAAAGUUUCUUCAUCUUCGAGGUAAUAAGUUUUCAGGUUCUGUUUCCAAUGAUAUAGGUUUGCUUCCUGAGCUUGAAAUCCUCAAUCUUCGCUCUAAUUUUUUUGAGGGGCCGCUUCCGCCAAAUGUAUUCAAGCUCUCCAAACUAAGGUUUCUUUCCCUUAAGGAAAAUAAAUUUUCAGGUUCUGUUUCCAAUGAUAUAGGUUUCCUUUCUGAGCUUGAAUACCUAUAUCUUGACUAUAAUUUAUUUGAAGGAAGUAUUCCUAUUGGACUGGGACUCUUGACUAACCUCAGCUACUUAGAUCUAAGUUCCAAUAAUCUCAGUGGCUAUAUUCCAUCUGACAUUGGAAACCUGAAGCUACUAGUAUUUCUUGAUCUCAGUUCUAACCAAUUGACUGGACCGCUUUUAAAGAUCGUUUCUAAUCUCACAAAUCUUAUGAAUCUUGAUGUAAGUGAUAAUAGUCUUAGUGGAAAUAUUCAGAGUGACUUGUGGAAGAACUCUAUAUCCUUACGUUACAUUAAUUUUGCAAAUAAUUAUUUGUCUGGGAACAUUCCUAAGGAAUACAACGAUCAUCCAACUUUGGAAUACAUCAAUUUAAGUGGGAACCAUUUUACAGGUAUAUUUUUCUCUAUAUAUCUUUUCCUUUUCUCAUAUGUAACUAAGCUGGUAAUCUGAUUAUUGCAGUUUUACCAAAGUUUCAACAAUCUUGACAGGUGAGCUUCCAACAACAAUUUGCAAUGUCACUUCCCUUGCGGUUCUUGUUUUGUCAAAUAAUGGAUUAAGUGGAGCACUUCCAAAUUGUUUCGGGAAACUUGCUGAUAGAUUGCUUUCCAUUAAUCUUGCUAAUAAUCAGUUUCGAGGAACAAUACCAACUACUUUCUCCAGGAGUUGUCAGGUGAAAUAUCUAAACAUGGAUAAUAAUGAGUUUGAAGGAUUCUUGCCCCCAUCUUUGGCGAACUGUAAGCACUUGAAAAUUCUUGAUAUUGGCAAUAACAAAAUAGGUGGUCCAUUUCCGUCAUGGCUUUAUGUACUUGGAGAGAUAGAAGUCCUUGUCUUGCGAUUAAAUAAACUCUAUGGUACAAUAAGUGGAAGGAGCGUAAAAGAUCCCUUCCCCAAGUUGCGGAUUGUGGAUCAAUAGACAUCGGCUAAAAAGCGAUGUCUAUGUAAAAUCAGACCGAUGUCUUCGUGGGUGAUGAGAAAAGUAAGUGCAUUACACAUCGCUUUCUAGCCGAUGUCUAUAACCUAUUUACACAUCGUUUAAUAUGACAAUCUGAUGUAUUUUUUAACAGUAGAUACCUUCACUAUAAUUUCAGUUCCUCAUUCCUAUGCCCUCUAUAUCAUUUUAAACUUGUCACAUGCUUAAUAAAAUGAUACUUUAACAUCUUAAAACUUGUAAAAUAGAUGUAUAUGAUAACCUUUUACAUCAUGCUUUUAUAGGAAGUGAUGUGGUACCCUUCUUUUCUUUAAGAAAGCGAUGUCUUUGUUCUUGUUUUACAUCAGUGAUUUUUAUACUCUGAUAUCUAUUAUAUAGUUUAACAUCAGGCUUUUUCUUGUUAACUGAUAUGUAUUCAUUCUUAUGACAUCGCUUACUAAGUGAUGUAAAUGUUAGUUUUAAAUUGCCAUGAAUCCUCCUGUUUCUUAUGAAUCCCCCUGUUUCAUUUAAAUUUCCAACAAAUUCCAAAACAACACCAAAGCUAUACUAAUUAAACAACCAAUUACCAAUGUCUAGCCUACCAUAACAGAACUAAAACAAAACUAGCUAGCAAAACAAUACUUCCGCAAAAGCCAAAUAUAUUACCAUCAAUCAUUACCAAUCAAAUUACAUCCCACAAUCAAAGAAACUGCACAAAUCCUAAAUAUUAACCAAGCAACCAUAAUUUACAAGCAGUUCACCACGUACUCCAGCAACCAUAAUUUACCAACUACAUUUCCCUCCAUUUAUCAACAAAAUCUACUUAGCUAGCUAGUGUCACUGUCUUACAUAAACUGAACUAAUUAAAGGAAACCAAAGUUCUCCAAUAAACCAAAGGCCUGUUUAUAAGAAGGACUCGAUAUGGCUAAGUGUCUCAAACCGAACCUCGUCAAGCUCAGCCUUGGAACAAAUCACUUUUCGAUUCUUGGAUGCCCACUGAAAAAUGUAAAACAAUAACAUUGAAUUAUACCUAAAUUUAUAUGUACACCAUUUAAUUAUAUCAACAAUGGAUUAGGCAAAGAAAAAUACCCUUUUAAAAAAUGUCAUUUCAUUGUCCAUGACAAUCUCUUUCAUAUACCGCAUAAUAACAUAGCCGCAUUCAGUUCCACCGGGCUGUUUAGGACAUCCCUAUUUAACCAAAAAAAACUCAAAAUAGUAAGUAAAGUAAUGCCCCUGGUUCUAAGCAUCAGUAGCACAAAUUGUUAAAAAUAAAUACGAAAGCUUACUGUAAUAUAUUUGAAGCUUGGGGCUUUAUUUCCCCUUCCGGCCUGAACAUUGAAAGUAAUCACAGCCCUGUCAUCUUGGCAGUGUUAAUAAUGCACAUGCAUUUAUAUCUCCAUAAGAAAGAUAAUCAAUAAAAAAAUAAAUGAAAAUACCUUGAUAUUGCUUUUUCCAAGUUGGGGAAACUAGUUGAACGAGGCAGAGGAUUAAGUAUGAAAACCUCGCCACCCCAAAACAGAACCAAUACCCAAUGGAAACUAUUUUUAACAAAUAUUUAUGAAAAACACAAUUACUAUCAAAAUCAUAUAAAUUUUAUUUUCAGUCAUGUAAAAAACUAAAUAAAAGAGAUUUAUAAUAAAUAAGAAAACACUUAAGCUACUUACUUGCUAUUAUGCGGCAUCAAAAAGAGACGAUCAGGAUUACCCUCUUUAAAUCGAUUAACCAAGUUAUCUUCAAAAGAAUUGUUCAUCAAGUUCAGCGAGGCUCCAGGAUCACAAAAAGCAAAUUGAUCCUUAGUGCCAUUUUCACGAACCACGCAAUGCAAGUAUCUACAUUGUAAAUGAAAUGAAAUUAUAUAAAAUUACACGAAUAUGAAUUAUAACUAAACAACAGUCAUGAUCUAGAAGACAGUAAUUAAAAAAAGUUUACUCACGCCAUGUAUGCAGCAAUUGCUGCUUGGCCAAUCAUAUUAAACUCCAGCAAGGCGACUAUGUUUUCAUACAAGAUGAAGAUUCUUUUCUCGAUACCAAACACCUCAGCAUCACACGGGAUUUGAAUUGAGUCUCCGGAGGAUUGCAUAAAUGUUGUUGCAUGUUUAUACAACAACCGAAAGCGUUUUGGAACAUUUUUAUUGAUCUCCAUGUUAUGAAACAAGGACUGGACUUUAUCUAAAUCGGUUUUAGGUUCCUUUACUUUCCGUUUACCUUUCUGAAAAAUGAACAAAAUUAAUUUAAAACAAAAUAUAACAAAAUAUAGGGGUAACAUAUAAUAGUACAAUCCAGUACAACAAUUAUGUUAAAGUACACACCAUAGUAGGAAUAGUAGGAGGGGCAUUUGGGAAUAUGAUCAAGUCGCGGGGCCAUGAGACGUACGAGCCAACAGCUUGCUCUACUGUUUCAAUCUCACCUGGUACCGGUUUAGGAAUCUUGGCUUGUCCUUGAAUUGGGCCAUCCACUGAGACGCGAACACAUCCAGGCUCUAUCGGCACUCCAUGUAUAGAUUUGUUCAUGUUAUCAUCAUCAAACAACAAACCAAAUGCCACUUUAUUUUCUAUUGUGCCUACAGCCAACUCACAUUUUCGUGGACCGGCCUACACACAUAUAUUUAAACAAUUAUGACGAAUGCUUGAAAUAUGUUGAGCUAAAUUGAAUAAAUGUGCUAGUUAUUUUACCUUAUUCUCUGGUGGAUUAGGUUCCAAGUCAACUUCAAUCAUCUCUGGUUCCAGUUUUUUCACCACCUCUGUCUUAGCUUCUUUGACAGUGUUUGCCUCACAACUUGCUUUAUCAGAAGCAAUAGGAGAUGAAAUAUUUGCUUUGCUGAGCAAGGCCUUCAUUUCAGCCAUCUCCUGCCUUGUCUUCUCCAUUUCCAUGGCCAUCUCUUUCUUGGCUUUCUCCAGCUCCGCGUCCCUCUCUCGAUCCCUCUCCAACAACUCAGCUUUGGUGAUUCUAUUUCUUCUUCCUGGUGGUAUAUUAAAAAAAAUUGACGGGCUCACAAAGCCUCCAACUCCUCGAACCCUCCCCGAAUGUUCAGGAGUUUGUAGGGCCGUAGUCAACACAUCUCGACUCCCAGAAGGAGUGAAUUCCCCCUUACUUUGCUGCUCUAGUAAAAUAUUCUGACAUGAAAAAUAUGAACAUACAAAUCAUCAUCUAGUGAACCUCAUCAUCAAUAUUAACUUUAAUUUUACGAGCCUUUUAAUUAUAAAUACUCACAAUUCUUUUUCCUAUUUCAGCUAGGUCUGAAUCCUCAUCAUCAGCAUCAUCAGCCUCAUCAUCAUCAUCAACAUUAUCAUUAUCAUCAUCAAUUUUAAUUUUACGAGCCUUUUGCCACAUGAGAGCCCGAUCAGGUUCUUCAUCGGCAGCCAAAGUUCCUUUCUUGAUCUGAUUAAAAUCAAAAAAAAAUUAAAAAGGCCAAGAUAUGUAAAAUACAAUUAUUUAGGUUCAAUGCUUAAAAUACAACUAUUUUUAUACCUCUUCUUCCAAUAAUCCAAUGUAACCCUUUCUUGAUGUCCGGUGAGGAUAUUUUCGAUUACUCACCCUCAGCUUUUGUUUUUCACUAAAAGACUUCAAAUAUUUUAAAUAAUAUUAGAAUACUAUUUUUCAGAAUAUAAAAAGACAUUUAUAUCACAAUAAAGCAGAACAUAAAAUAUAUUUCAUACCAGAAAUUUCGAGGUAGUCCUCUCAGCAACAAAAUUUUUCCAAGCCUCCUUUCCAACAAAAGCAUACUUCUUUGGAGGCUUUCGUAAUUUCUUCUUCUGCCCAAGAUACGGCCUCACAUAAUCUCUUGUUAAAUUUGCUUUAAAAUUCCUCCACUUUGCUCCUGCAGACCUGAUCAACCCCUUCUCAAGUUGCUUAGGAACUUUAAAUGUCUCCUGCAACCAAUGUUAAUUGACAAAAUUUACAAAAUUAUACUCUAAAUGAGUAGAAGAAAAUGCAAAAUUUACAAAAUGCAUAGGAGAUUACUUAUUUUUAUACCUUCACAUCAAUCCAUAUUUUCUCCUUUAGUUCAUCAGGUACCUUUGACCAGUUAGGAUAAUCAAUCGGAAUCAUUGUCCUAGCCAACAUUCCAGUGUAGGAUUGUAGACUGUGCCUUGCAUCCCCUGUAGGAACUCCAUGUGCAUUACAUGAAACCUUUGUUUUCUUGCCCUGCGCCUUCCUCACCACCACUUUAUACAUAGCAGAAACCCCUCGGGCACCCCCACGCUUUUUCUUUGCUGUUUCAGAUGUUGUAACUGUUGCAUCCGUUUCCUCCACAGAAUUCACAUUUUCUCCCUGAGGUUCUGUUGUCAGCUCCAACCUUUUAUCUGAUGCCUCAUCCGACUUUUUGGAGUCUUCAUGGAAUUGUACUUUGGUUUUUUGCUUUUUAUUUGCCAUUUAUCUUCUUCAAUCUGAAAAUGAAACAUAUAUAAUCCAUUAGUCACAGGCAUAUAUACGAGCAAUUACAGGAUAAGCAGUUAUAAAGUUACAUAAGCCUACAUAAGCCGUUACAAAAUUGUAAAAAUGCAUAACUAAACAUUUACACAGAGUGAAAAUUACAGGAGUCUAAUUACACAGAGUAAAUUACAAAGUUGCAUCACAUAUAUUACAUGACUUGAAAUAAUGUUAUCACAGAGUAAAUUACAAAGUCUCAUCACAAAAUUAACUAUUACAUGACUUGAAAUAAUGUUAUCACUUCUUAACCCAAGUGCCCUUAAUAUUUUCUCUAAUACUUUUCUCAACAUCAUCACCGACAUCACAUGUAGGAAUUUGGCAGCAGAAUGGAGGAUUUUCCAUGGUUGUGUCUCCUAAAUCAUCAUCGUUAUACACCUCUUGGUAGUCUCGAGUUGUAGAGGUUAAUACGACGGACCACUUGGCAUCCACCGGAUCUUCAAUAUAAUAAACUUGCUUUACUUGAUCUAUAGACACGUAUUUAUCUCUCUUGUGGCCUUGUCGACUUAGAUCGACAAGUGUGAACCCAAGAUCAUCCACCUUAAUUCCCUUGUCAUUGUCCGCCCAAUUACAUAAAAACAGUGGGGCUUUGAAUGCAUGAUAAUCCAGCUCCCAUAUAUCUAGGAUAACACCAUAAAAUGUCAAGUCACUUUCUACGGGGUUUAAAUCUUUAGCGCUAGACACUUGGACAGUUUUAGCAACUAAAGACACUCCGCUGUUUUGAACUACCCUCACAUUGUCUCGCUGUUUUGUAAAGUAUCGGACCCCGUCUACUAGAUAAGCUUCGUAAGUCAUAACUGAAAAUGAUGGUUUUCCAGCUAUCCAUCUUACUGUCUCUGAAACUCCUCCAGGAUUCUCCACCAUUUCACUACUGACCUACACAUUUCAUAAACAGAAAUUAUCCUAAAUUACUAUAGAGAAAAUAAAUUAGGCACAAAUGAAACUAUAAAAAUACUAACUUUUUCUAGAAACCAAUCAGCAAAACUGUUAUUGUGCUCUCUCAAGAGCCAAUGAACGCUUUUCUUUUUCCCACGAUGGAUUUCCUCUAGAUACUCCUUAUGCAUUCUGCCAAAAAUUAUAUAUUCAUUAAAGAAGUAGUUUAUACAGAAUGUAUAUAUUAAUUGAACAGCCACAAAAUUAAAAAAAUCUUACAAGAUAUAUGGCUGUACUUCAAGGUUGUUUAGAAGAACGUGUAAAUGAGCUUCAUCCCUCUCUUUUUCUUCGAUUGAUUUCAUUACCGCAACAGAUAAUGGACCACUUAACUUGCCUUCAUCUUUGCGAAGACCAGCAGUGGUGCAAGUUUGCUUGACAAACUCUUGGCAGAAUUCAAUCGAUUCUUCUCCAAGAUAACAUUCUGCUAUACAACCUUCGGGGUAGUAACGAUUGCGUACGUAACUCUUCAACACCUUAUUAAACCUCUCAAAUGCAUACAUCCAUCUAUAGAAGACUGGCCCACAUAACCGUAAUUCCCGAACCAAGUGCACUAUGAGAUGUAUCAUUACAUCAAAAAAUGAUGCAGGAAAAAUUUUUUCUAGCUCGCACAAAGUUACUAUUACAUCUGAUUGCAAUUUAUCUAGUUUAGAUACGUCGACAACUUUGCUGCAUAAAGCAUUAAAGAAGAAACACAAUCUAAUUAUUGUGACCCUGACUUUUUUUGGAAGUACCGCGCGAAUUGCAAUAGGAAGUAAUUGUUGAAGUAGGAUGUGGCAAUCGUGGGACUUCAACCCAAACAUUUUUAAUUCUUCCAUGGAAACACAGUUUUUAAUGUUUGACGCGUGUCCAUAAGGAAGUUUCAUGUGCAUUAACGAUGACAACAUCUUCUUCUUUUCUGCCUUGGACAAAUUAAAAAUCGAAGGAGGUAAAUAGGUCUUUCUUUCUCCUUUUUGUGGAGCUAGAUCAGCCCUAACCCCCAUGUCAAUCAUGUCAAGACGAGAAGCUUCACUAUCUUUAGACUUAUGUUUCAUAUUCAGUAGUGUGCCAAUCAAGCUAUCACACACGUUUUUCUCCACGUGCAUAACAUCUAGACAAUGACGGACAUGGUGAAAUUUCCAAUACUCUAACUCGAAGAAAAUUGACUUUUUCUUCCAUGGACAGUCAACCUUCUUUGACUUCCUUACUUCUUUCCCAAACUGAAAUUCAAUUUUUUCUUGCUGCAAUAAAACCUCUUCUCCCGAAAGAGGUUGACGUGCCUGCCCUAAUUCUUGUUGUCCAUUAAAAGCAGCUUUUUGCUUCCUAUAUGGAUGAUUUCUAGCCAAGUAACGUCGAUGACCUUGGUAACACAUCUUCCUACUAUGGCUUAAAUACUUUGCAACAGUAUCAUCACCACAUAUUGGACAAGACAUAUAACCUUUAUUAACACAUCCGGACAGAUUUCCAUAUGCGGGAAAGUCGUUUAUUGUCCACAAUAAAAUUGCUUUUAAAGUGAAAUACGACUUAGUGUGUGCAUCAUAGACAUUUGGUUCACCUUCCUCCCACAACUUCUUUAAAUCAUCGAUUAGAGGCUGUAAAUAUACAUCAAGGUCAUUACCAGGCUCAUGAGGACCGGGAACUAAAACUGUUAGCAUCAUAAACUUCCUCUUCAUGCAUAACCACGGAGGAAGAUUAUAAGUCACUAGUACUACUGGCCAACAAGUGUAUCUAUUGGUUAGACCGUUAUUAUGCGGGUUUAUACCAUCUGCAGACAACGCCAAGCGAAUAUUUCUUGCCUCACUACCGAAGGCAGGCCACCUAUAGUCGAUAUUUCUCCAAGAAGGAGAGUCGGCUGGAUGCCGCAUCUUUCCAUCUUCUAUUCGCUGCUUUGCGUGCCAGGUAAUCAGUUCAGAUGUAGAAGGAGAUUUAAACAUUCGCUUCAAUCUCGGAAUAAUUGGAAAAUACCACAUUAUUUUAGCAGGAACAUUAAUCCUUACUUUACCAUCCUUUCCUAACUUCCAGCGAGAUAGACUACACUUAGGACACUUAGAAGCAUCAACAUAUACCCCCCGAUAUAGUAUGCAAUCGUUUGGACAUGAGUGGUACUUUAUGUAUUCUAGGCCUAAGUUGGAUAAUGUUUUCUUGGCUUCAUAUGCAUUAGGUGGCAUCACAUUUUCCUUAGGAAGGAGAGAGCCAACAGUAGACAAUAAAUCUGUAAAGGCGCUAUCACUAAUUCCAAACCUUGCUUUCCAAUUAUGCAGUUUUAGCAUCGACUCCAAUUUGGUACAUUCACUACCCUCAUACAAAGGCUGUUGAGCAUCAGCCACAAAUCUCCUAAACUGAUACGACUCAUUAUUGUACUCACUCGAAUUAUACGCAGCAUCACAAACAUUGACUGUUUGUGAUGCAUGACCAGGGGAAUGCAUCGAUGCAGGGUCAAGCGUAGGUGCAGGGCUAGGGGCAUUGUCAUGAACUGUUGAUCCAGUGAUUCCACACCCUUGUGUGUGCCAAAUCCAAUCAAGGUAUCCCAAACUAAAACCGUAUUCAUAUAAAUGUCCCCUAAUAAUCUUAACUGCAAAUUUUUUAAAGUUAACACAUCUUUUGCAGGGGCAUGGGAUUUUUUUAGUAUCACUAGCAUUUUCCUCGGCAAAUAUUAAAAACUCUUCAACCCCGAUUUCAUAGUCAAGUGUAUCCCUAUCUUUGAAAAUCCAAGACUUGUCCAUGUUAUUCUCAAACUACCUGAUUGUCAAAUAUGAUAUCAAAUUACAUGGUAACAAAGAUCCAAACACAAUAUACAAUUACAUUUACAAACUAAACAAACACAAAUAUAUUUACACAGCUGUGCAUAAAACAUAAAAAACAAAUCCCAAGCUCUAAACAUAUAUAACACAGUACAUAAAAAAGAAACCCCAAGCUCCAAACAUAUAUAAAACAUAUAUACAACUACACGUUUAAUUUUCACAUGCAUACAUAUAACUACAAAAAGUUAUACUUGCAACCGAAACAUUUAUAUAAAUAUAAAGAAGAAUAUAGAAGAAUAUAUAUACCUAAAACCCAGCAGCUUCGAAACCCAGCACCUCCAAAAUCCAGCAGCUAUCCAGCAGCUUCGAAAACCCAGCAACUACCCUAAUCUCCAAGCUUCAAAUCUCCAAGCUUCAAAGAACCCUAAUCUCCAAGCUCCACUCGACCCUAAGCUUGAAGAUCGAACCUUAAGCUUGAACACAGCAGCUUCGAAUCGCGCACAAAUCGCACCUAGGGUUUAGAAGAGAGGGAAUCAGUUAAUAGAACAUUUGAAAGGGGGUUUAGAAGAGAGGGAAUCAGUUAUUAAACCAAGAACGAGGAUUGAAGGACUGAAGGAUUGAAGAAAAUCGCAUACCUAGGUUUAGCUGUCGAGAGAAAGGGGGAAGAGCUGCUGUCUGAAAGAAAUAUGUAUAUAUGUCCCGAUUGUUUUCUUUUGAAUGCUUUUGUUUUAAUUUUGAUUUAUUUUUAAUGUUUUUUUAUUGUUUUAUACUGAGGCGGGAGUGAAUGAUAUGUUAAAGGGGGGGAAAACAGUAGGGGGAACUAAUUAAAAAAUUGACUAAGGGCGGGGGAGCGGAGGGCGCGGGCUUUAAUAUUUUUAAAAUUGAGAUUAGACAUCGCUUAAUAAACAAUGUGAUGUGAAAAAAUUUUAAAGUGAGAGCUUAGACAUCACUUAUGUUAAGGACUGAUGUAAAGAUACCAGAAAGACAUCACAUAUAAAACGAGCGAUGUAAAAAAGGCAUUUUACAUCGGUGACACUUCCGACUGAUGUCUAAUGUGCGAUGUCUAUUGACGAAUUUCUAGUAGUCUCCAAAGGAUAUUUAUCUUUCCAUCAUGAUGCAGCAGUCUCCUUAACUGUGAAGGGAACGGAGUAUGAGGUAGCAAAGAACCUUCAUAUUUACACAGCCAUUGAUCUGUCGGGCACCUAAUUUCAGGGUCGAAUUCCAAACGUCACUGGAGAGCUUAGAUGGCUUGCAUUGCUCAAUUUAUCGCAUAAUAGUUUAACAGGACCUAUCCCAUCAUUGCUGAGAAAUAUGAAAGAACUCCAAUCUUUAGAUUUGUCCUCAAAUCGACUGACAGGGGCUAUUCCACCUCAGCUAACUGCAUUGACAUUUCUAGAGGUCUUGAACCUCUCGAAAAACCAUCUUAGUGGAGAGAUUCCUCAGAAAGGACAGUUCAGCACAUUCAACAAUGAUUCUUAUCUAGGAAACUCCGCGUUAUGUGGAUCACCUUUGACGAAGAAAUGUGCAAACACAGCAUCACCUCCACAAGAAGUCGGAAAUGGUGAUGAAGAUGAUGCUGGAGAUGAAUUGACAUGGGAAGCAAUCGUGAUGGGAUAUGGAUGUGGACUGAUAUGUGGAUUGUCAUCUGCGUACAUUGUUCUCAAACUAGGAAAGCCUUGGUGGUUUGUGAGAUAUAUCGAAGUACUGCAACUGAAGUUGAUGAAAAGAUAUGCAUGAAGAAUGGUACUGCACUACAACAAAAACAGCAUCACACAACGGUUUUUGCCCGUUGUCUGAUACCCAAGAAAACCGUGGUCUAUUGCGAUGCCGUCUGAUACGCGCCUCAGACAACGUUUUAUUAGUUAAAGGCUUGUCUAUAAGGCCAUGCUACGAUGGUAACAAAAACACUUGUAUGUUAGCUUCCUGGUCACACAACACUGUAUGGAACCCUUGUUUAAACGGCUCGUAAACAACACAACAAAUAAAACACUUGUCUAAUUACAACAACGGUUUCUUGAAAUAUUGUCUGAAGUUUCUUCACACAUCGGCUCUAAAAACAGUUGUCUAACGUGCAUCAUUACACAAUAUCACAGUUAAGAUACCGUUGUCUGAUUGAAUUUACUAGACAACACUUUUUAAACCGUUGUAGGUUGUAGGUGUUGGACAAUAGUUUUUCGAGGACGAAAAUAAAGUGUUGUGUCUUUGUUUCGGCCAACACUUUUUCCAGCGUCCGUUGUCUGACUAGUGUCGUGUGAUGCCAGUUUUGUUGUAGUGCUGGUUGAUCCAGACGAACUAGAAAGUUGUUGUCCUGGUAGACAUUUCUGAACCAUUUGUGUCCUGGCUGAAUAAGUAUUUGGUAUUAUGUAAUAAUCCGUUUGGUUGGGACUCAAAAUGAUUUCUCUUGCUUCAGGGGUAUUAAUAUUAACCUUCCUAUCUUGAUCAAUGUUAAAUCAAAUUAAAUGAAUGAAAAAACAAAAAGUAUGCAUCAAAUCCGCUCCUGCUGUACCUAACAAUUUAACAGCACCCUUCCACACUGUUCAUACCUAAUUUGCGUGUAAUAUGAAAACUAAGAGGCAUGGCUUUUGUCUUUGAGAGAACUUAUUCCAAGUCUUCUUCGGAGGCCUACUGCCUCAACAACCUUUCAAAGACUAUGCAAUAAUCCACGUGACAGAAAAACCAAAGUCCAAUUAGUAUUAUAAGUUCAUAAAAAAUACUAUAGGAUCAUUAGCAUUAGCAUUACAUUAGCAUACAGCAUAUAUAUAAAUAGAAGAAUGCAGUGUGGUAUUGGAUUCAUAAUCCAAUUGAGCAGAAACAUGGCACACUUUGUAAAGCCUUAUGACCUUCUUCUCUGUGUUUUCUUUCUCUCAUCACUUGAAUCCAUUCUUGCAACAAGACGAGAAGGAGAAGCUCUUGUGAAAUGGAAGAACAGCCUAGCCCCGUCUUCUUCUCUUGAUUCUUGGUCACUCACUCAUCUCGAUAAUCUUUGUAACUGGACUGGCAUUACUUGUAACUCUGCAGGUUCAGUCUCUGACAUUAACCUUUUCAACAAACAACUCACUGGAAAGCUUUUCGAGUUUGGUUUCACUUCAUUUCCGAAUCUCAACAAUCUCACCCUCGCAGAUAACUUCUUCUCUGGUCCAAUACCAUCAGCCAUUGGGAAUUUAACACAGCUUCAAUAUCUUGAUUUGAGCAAUAAUUAUCUCAAUGGUUCCAUUCCGUACCAGGUUAGCCAUCUUUCAAAAUUACACGUCUUAAACCUGUCAGAGAAUGAACUGCAAGCUCCAAAUUGGUCCAAUUUCUCCCCCAUGCCUUAUUUGACCAUCCUCGACCUUUAUCAGAAUAAUCUUAUGUUGGAAUUUCCAGAAUUUAUAUCUAACUCGCGUAACCUGACAUACCUUGACCUUUCAUAUAACAAGUUCACAGGCGAUCUUGUGCGCGAAUCAGUAUUAGCCAAUCCAGGUGAUCUCGAAACCCUCUAUCUUAAUGAAAAUUCUUUUGGGGGGCCAUUUCCACCAGACAUAUUCAAACUUUCCAAGUUGAGAGUUCUUGCCCUGUUCAAUAAUCUUUUUGAGGGGCCGCUUCCGUCAAAUAUAUUCAAGCUCUCUAAACUAAGAUUCCUUUUACUUUGGAGUAAUAAUUUUUCAGGUACUCUUUCGAAUGAAAUAGGUUUGCUUUCUGAGCUUGAAGACCUAGAUCUUCACUCCAAUUUUUUUGUGGGGCCGCUUCCGCCAAAUAUAUUCAAGCUCUCUAAACUAAGAACCCUUUUCCUCUUGGGUAAUAACUUCUCAGGUUCUAUUUCCAACGACAUAGGUUUGCUUUCUGAGCUUGAACACCUAUAUCUCGACUCCAAUUCUUUUGAGGGACCUUUUCCAACAAAUAUUUUCAAGCUUUCCAAAUUAAUACAACUUGGUCUCGCAAACAAUACAAAUUUAUUUGAAGGAAGUAUUCCUCCAGGACUGGGGCUCUUGACUAACCUAGAGGACUUGUCUCUUGCUUACAAUAAUCUUGGUGGCUAUAUUCCGUCUUCCUUUGGAAACCUAACACUACUAGUAUAUCUUAAUCUCGCUCGUAAUCAAUUGGUUGGAACACUAUCAAAGACCAUUUCUAAUCUCACAAAUCUAUGGUUUCUUGAUGUACAUCAUAAUAGUCUCUCUGGGAAUAUUCAGAGUGACUUCUGGAAAAACUCUACAUCACUGCGUUACAUUAAUUUGGCAGACAAUAAUUUUUCUGGGAACAUUCCUAAGGAAUAUAAUGUUCUUCCAAUCCUGGAUCACAUCAAUUUUAGGGGGAACAAUUUUACAGGUAUUUUUCUUUCCAUAUUUUUUCCUUCUGUUGUAUUCAAUUAUGCUAGAAACUACAGCCUCUGUUUUUUCAAAUACAUAUCGUUUAACUUUUUGGCACAAAACUUUAUAAUAAUUCUAACUAAAAGGUCAAUGAACUCAAAAAUGUGUGUCAAAAAGUCAAACGUCAUUUAUCUGAAAUCAGAGGGAGUAUAUAUUACUGUUUUACCAAAGUUUCAACAAUCAUGACAGGUGAGCUUCCACCAACAAUUUGCGAUGCCACUUCCCUUUCGAUUCUUGAUCUGUCAAAUAAUGGAUUUAGUGGUGCAGUUCCACAUUGUUUGGGGAAUCUUGCGGAUAAAUUGAUUUCGAUUAAUCUUGCUAAUAAUCAGUUUCAAGGACCAAUACCAACAAAUUUCUCCGAGAGUUGUCGUCUGACGUAUCUUAACAUCUAUAACAAUCACUUCAAAGGUUUGGUUCCCCAAUCUUUGGCAAACUGUAAGCACUUGCAAAUUCUUGAUUUUGGAAAAAAUGAAAUAGGUGGAACACUUCCGUCAUGGUUUUUUACUCUUGGAGAGCUAGAAGUCCUGAUCCUGCGAUCAAACAGAUUUUUCGGGAGAAUAACUAGAAGGAGCAUACCACGCCCCUUUCCCAAGUUGCGGAUUUUGGAUCUAUCCAACAAUCAGUUCACCGGCUAUCUGCCAAUUUUAUACUUCAAGAAUAUGAAACCAAAUGAUAAUAAUUAUGAUUAUUUCAACAACACAAACGAAGCCUAUUACGUUUAUCAAGUUUCUAUCACAUUAAAUGUGAAAGGAAGCGAGCAUGAAGUGACAAAUAUUCUUCAUAUUUACACGGCCAUUGAUCUGUCGUGCAACAAAUUUGAAGGAAAAGUUCCAGACAUUACCGGAGAGCUUAGAUGGCUUGCAUUGCUAAAUUUAUCUCAUAAUAGUCUUUCGGGGCCUAUUCCAUCACAACUGGGAAAAAUGAAAGAGCUCCAGUCUCUAGAUUUGUCGUCAAAUCAAUUGACAGGUGUUAUUCCGGAUCAACUUACUAGUAUGACAUUUCUUGCUAGUUUGAACCUCUCAGAAAACCAUCUUUCUGGGAAAAUCCCUCGGAAAGGACAGUUCAGCACUUUUGGCGAAGAAUCUUACUUAGGUAAAUCGGCCUUGUGUGGAGUUCCUUUGACAAAGAACUGUAUAGACGAUGUGCCACCUUCACAAGUUGGAAAUGGCAAUGAUGAAAAUGUUGAUGAAGAUGAUACCGUUGAUGAAUUCAAUUGGAAAGUGAUCCUGAUGGGAUAUGCAUGUGGAUUAAUAGGCGGAUUGUCUGCAGGAUACAUUGUCUUCACAGUCGGAAAGCCUUGGUGGUUUUUGAGAUACAUUGAGACACUGCAGCAGAAGUUGAUCUGAUGCGCAACUAGAAACAACGUUAUAAUCUUAGAAUGACUUGUGUCUUUAAACAGAGUUAGGAACUUAGGAUGACUUGUGGUGCUAUAUUUUUUUUUUGAAAAAAAAAAACAUAUUUUUGUAAUUUUUUAGAUACAGAUGUUAAGAAGGUGUUGUAUAUUCAUUUUUUACCCAAAAAAAAAAAGAGGGCUUAUUUCAUGAAAAUUAGAGUUUUAUGUAUUUUCUCCAGAAAUUAGUCCUUAUUUCUGAAAAUAAGGUUAGUCAAAACGGUCACUACACGAUUGGUAGCCUUUCAGUUCUUCCUAGUGUCCACUACAGUUUCAUUCCUUACCAGUUAUUUUAUGCUCUGCACUGCAUUAUGCAGCUUUCAUAUUACUGACAGCUAAUCUCCUUCCAACACUUUGCGAUGCGAAGCAGGGACGCAUAAGUAUUUUUAUAUGUGUAUUAGUUUUGAAGAUUAAAGUUGCAUGGACAAUUGUGUUGAUAAUUUGAGCAAUGUUAACCGGGAUAGGUCUUCUUCUCUCUCCCAAGUCUUCUGAGGACUCAUCGGCUCAGAUUAGUCUAUCCAAAAAUUAUGAUCUGACGGCUAUUGGCACACUAACGAUUUACAUAUCACUUGAAUAUUACUGGAUACCCGCAUCUUGUUUUAAAUGGCGUAUAUCGGCUAAUAGUUCAACGAUGGUGACAAAUCCCGGUGAUCCAAAUAAUUGAUUGUCGCAAAAUUUUCCGCUUACAUCCAACUAACACGUAUUAGGAAAAAAAAUUAUAUAAUUAAACACGCUCAUGUAUCUAUAUCUUUUACAAGAUUGUAAGUCCCCAAUUCUAUGUGAUAUUAGCUAUAUGUGACUAGAAGGUUUAGAAAUACUAGAUUAUCAAGAUUUCUUUUUAUUCUAGCUAGUGUUGAGUUAUAUUUAUUUUCUUCAAACAAUCAAUACUUAUUUUUUAUUAAUAUGUGAAACUCCAAUAUAUAUUAUUAUACGAUAUAUUAUGAAAACACUAUAUUUUGUAAUGUUCAUCUUAUCCUACCAGCAAAAUUACAUCGCUAACAAAAUUAUAUCAAUUUUAUUUUAUAAACUCAAAUAAUUUAAUUUAUGAAACAACUCUAUGAGAUUCUUAUCAUGAGUUAGAAUUCAAAUAAAUAAAGAGUUCAUAUUGAUAAGUGGAAUUGAUGUGCAAGUAAGGGGUAUAAAAAAAUCUCAAAAUAACUCCAAAAAGCACAUGACAUGUUUGAUUUAAUAGAACUGGUACAUAAACAGGGGGACCAUUAUAUUUAUAAGCAAGUGACCAACAAUAGUUUACUACUGAUAUUUUGUGAUAUUUUUUGUGAUAUUUUUUGAGACCUUUAACAUUAUUCUGUGAAGUGGUAUACUACUGUUACUAGUUCUGAAACUUCAAACAAAGUAGGCGCAACAUUGUAAGAGUGAUUAAUAAAGUUGAGAAACAGUGUGUACAUUGAGCAGUAUGACAAUCAGGUUCAGCAUAUAAUACAAUCAGAUUCACAAUCAGGUUCACGAGAAACAUGCUGCAUUCCAAAAAGCCUUAUUAUCUUCUUCACUAAAUAACAAGGCAAAUACAGCAUAUAAAUACAAGUUAUAAGUACAAGUGUGGUAUUAGAUUCAUAACCCAGUUGAGGAGAAACAUGGCACACUUUGUAAGGCCUUCUCACCUUCUUCUCUUUGUUUUCUUUCUCUCAUCACUAGAAUCCAUUCUUGCAACAAGACGAGAGGGGGAAGCUCUUGUGAAGUGGAAGAAUAGCCUAGCCCCUUCUUCUUUUCUCCACUCUUGGUCACUCUCCAAUCUCGAAAAUCUUUGCAACUGGACUGGCAUUACUUGUAACUCUGCAGGUUCAGUCUCUGAGAUUGACCUUUGUGAGAAACAACUUGAUGGAAUGCUGUCCGAGUUUGGUCUCACUUCAUUUCCAAAUCUCAACAAUCUCACCCUCGCAGACAACUUCUUCUCAGGUCCAAUACCACCAGCCAUUGAGAAUUUAACACAGCUUCAAUAUCUUGAUUUAAGCAUGAAAAGUCUUAAUGGUCCCAUUCCGUUCCAGGUUAGCCAUCGUCAGAGCUUGCUCAUCUUAGACCUGUCACAGAAUGCAUUGCAAGCUUCAAAUUGGUCCAAUUUCUCUCCCAUGCCUCAGUUGCGCUUCCUCAAGCUCAGUAGCAAUCAUCUUGUGUCGAAAUUCCCAAAUUUUAUAUCCAGUUCUCAUAGCCUGACUUACCUCAACCUCUCAUAUAACAUUGGAAACCUCAAAAAAUAUAUAUUUAUAUAUUUAUAAUUAAAAAAUUGAAUUACUUAAUAUAUUAAAAAAUUGAAUAAAAUUUUAUAUAUUUUAUUAAAAAAUUGAAUAAAAAUUGAAUAAAAUUGAAUAAAAUUGAAGUACACGAAAAGGUACACGACACGAAAUACACGACUGAGAAGUCGUGUCGGUUUUGUGUUUACCCUUCGGGUACACGACACGAGGUACACGAAAUAAAUAAAUAAAUAUAUAUAUAUAUAUUUACCCUUCGGAUUAAGAGUUGGUCGCGGACAAAUUCAAAGUUUCCCAAUUAUCCUUUAUUUUAUGUAACUUUGCUUAUGUUUAAGCCUAAAUUUGGACAAUAUUUGUAAAAUAUUAAUAUUUCGUGUACUAAUUCGUUACCAGUUUCGUGUAUUUUUUCGUGUAUAUUUCGUGUUUUCGUGUUUUCAUGUACUAUUUCGUAUCGUGUCGUUUUCGUGUACAUGAAAAAAUUCGUGUACUACAGUUCGUGUCGUUUUUACCUGUUUCUAAAUCGUGUCGUGUUCGUGUUUACAAUCGUGUACACGAAUUGAAUUCGUGUCGUGUUCGUGUAUACCCACCAGAUACACGAAACACGAAAGUACACGACACGUUUAUACACGACACGAACGAUUUGCCAGGUCUANGAAACACGAAAGUACACGACACGUUUAUACAUGACACGAACGAUUUGCCAGGUCUAUUCAAACCUAGCAAGUAACCAAGAGGGGGCAAACUCCACCAGAGACAAAUCAAAGACCAUACCUGAGUAUUGCCAACAUAACAUUACAAACUGGCAGGUGAAAAAUAUGUGAAUAAGGUCUUCGUCACCAGAGUUACACAUGGGACAGUCAAGAGAAAGAUUUACUCCCUUAGAUUGUAAUCGACUUUUCACAGGCACAUUAUUCCUGCAAAAACGCCAUAAAAACACUUUGAUCUUAAGAGGAACCUCCAACUGCCAGAGUUUCUUCCACCCACUAGAUUGUGUAACAGUGCCAGUGCCAAUAUUUUGGGCAUGCCAAAACUGGUAACCUGUUUUCACAGAAUUUUGGCCGUUAGUAGUCUUUGACCAAGCUAGAUGAUCCACGGUCGACCUAUAGGGAACAGAAGUUUUUAAAAAUUAUGUAAUUCAUUCAAUUCCGUAUCAGACAAUACAUCUUAUCAUCGGUGAUAAUGGAAAUAGUGUAGAUGUUUGACCUAGUCCAUGUUUGACAACCAAUAUAAUAAGAAAUAAAUUCUUAUUUUUCUAAAAAAUAUAUUUUUGUAUAUAAAUGUUAAAGAGAUAUUUCUUAUUUGUUGUUUGAAAAAAGUAAAGACUUAUUUCAGAAUAAAUAAAAAUUAUUGUACAUUCUCUUUAUUUUUAAAAAUAAGUUUGGUCAAAUCGCCCAUAAUUCUCGUAAUUCAAAAGCCCAUUAUUUUUUUUUUUCUUGCUAAUUGAUCAGCACACGCACACGUUUCCAACUUCCCGCAAAGGGUACCGGAGUACCACCACACCGACGCUUUGUUGGGCCCAAUAAUUGGCUGAAGUUGAACGGGGCUUUCUGCCUCCGCUGGACCCCAGUUGGGAGGACUCUUUCCAAGUCUUUCGGAGACUCUUUCCCAUUGACUCCAACUUUCCAGGGUGUAUACAAAUUUUUUGAAAGAGGGUGUAUACAAAUUAUUCACGGCCAUCAAAUUAACCAGCGUAGCUGGUGAACAAAUAUUAUUGUUUAUUAUAAUUUUAUUUAAUUUAAAUGUGAUUAUAAAGAACAUAAGAGGACGUUUGAAAGUGUGGGUCUUAUUUCAAACAGUAGAUUUCAAAAAAUAUGAUUUCAAUUGUUAUUUAAAAUUCUUAAAUUUAUAUUAUAUUAAAAUGUUCUUAUCUAUACUAUACUAUUAAAACCGAAACAUUAAAAGUUUGGUCGGUCGGUACUUGGGCCGAUAUAUGGGCCUAUCUAUAUAACUAAUUAUUUUUUUUUAAUUUUGGGCCGAAAUACAGGCCUGUCUAUAUAAUCAAUUAUUCUUUUUAACUAAAAUAUGUUAUCUUUUUUACUAUUAAAGCCAAAACAUUAAAAAUUUGAUCGGUCGGUACUUGGGCCGAAAUAUGAGCGUAUCUAUAUAACUAAUUAUUUUUAUUUUUUUUUAUUUUUGGCCGAAAUACAGGCCUAUCUAUAAAAUCAAUUAUUCUUUUUAACUAAAAUAUGUUAAUUUUUUUUACUAUUAAAGCCGAAAUAUUGAAAGUUUGGUCGGUCGGUACUUGGGCUUCUAGGCCGAAAUAUAGGCCUAUCUAUAUCAUCAAUUAUUCUUUUAAACUAAAAUAUGUUAUCUUUUUUACUAUUAAAAUCGAAACAUUGAAAGUUUGAUCGGUCGGUACUUGAGUCGAAAUACGGGCCUAUCUAUAUAACUACUUAUUAUUUUUAACUUGGGCCGAAAUACAGGCCAAUCUAUGUAAUCAAUUACGCGGUAUUCUUUUUAACUAAAAUAUGUUAUUUUUUUAACUAUUAAAGUUGAAAUAUUGAAAGUUUAGUCGCUCGAUACUUGAGCCGAAAUACGGAUCUAUCUAAAUAACUAAUUAAUUUUUUUUAACUUUGGAUGGAAAUACAGCCCUAUCUAUAUAAACAAAUAUCUUUUUAACUAAAAUAUGUUAUCUUCUUUAUACUUUCUAACUAAAAACUCAAUCUUCUAAAUGAACAUGGAAGAAUAUAGUAAUUAUCUUUUUAACUAAAACAAAUUAUCGUCUAUUAAAUCAAAUUAUAACAAACUAUCCAUAAACAUCCUUAAUUUAUAACAAAUUAUUAAAUAUUUUUUAUCAUCUACUAAAUCAAAACAUUAAAAAUUAGAUUACCAUUAUGGAUCAGUAUUUGAAUUACGCUUCUCUUUAACUUAUAAUAUGUUUUAUACUAUAUUAUUAACUAUUAAUAACUAAAUAUUAAAACGCUGAUUGGGUUGUUUCUAUCUGGGUUUACGGGUCUCCUCAAAUUAUAAUCCCUCCGUUCUUAAAUAUCUGCCUUUUGACUUUUUGGCACGCAUGUUAAAGUGUUUUGAAUUUAUAGUAAAAAUAUUAUUUUUAAAUUUCUUUUUCUGAAUAAAAAUUUUAUAUCAAUACUUUUAUUCAUAAAAAGAAAUAUUUGAAAAUAACAUUUCUAGCUAUGUGGUCAAAAUAUCUUAAAAUGUGUGCGAAAAAGUCAAAAGGCAUAUAUUCAAGAACGGAGGGAGUAACAUGUAAAAAAAAUUAUUUUAACAUUAUCAUUAAAAAAUUAUAUAUUUGACCUAAUUAUAAAUUAACUAUUUGAAGGAAUAAACUAUUAAGAAUUUAUUUAGCUGCUAAAUAAAAGUUUUUUUAAUAACAUUAUUCUAUCACAAUUUUACUUUCAAUAAAAUUCGUUAAAUCUAAAAUAUAUGCGAUGAAAUAACAAAUAUUAAAACCGCCCGUGCAUUGCACGGGUUUUAAGCUAGUUCUAAUUAAUGAGUCACUAUUCGUAUUCUCAAGCAUGUUAGUUUGUUAAAAUUUAAAAUUUCAAAUGAAAUUAGGCUAAAAGACCAUAAUAUCAAAUCAAAAUCUCAUUAUCCAAUAUAUUGGUGGGCAAAAAUAUUAAACCUGGCUAUUCAUUAAUAUUGGUUCUUUAUUCAAAUUAUGUCAAAUUUAUAUAAAAUUUCGAAAAUUAUUUAUGAAUAAGAGUCGGCAUUCAUAUAUUUAUUAAGGAUACAAGUGAGAAAAUGUUAUUAAAUUAAUAUUUUUUAAUAUACGUAAGUUUUUUAAAAUAAAUUUGUAGCGUGGGACGGGAGUAUUAGACUGAUUCUGGCUUGGAGUGAAUCAGCCCAUAAAGUUUACAGGGUAGAUGACCAUUCUUAAAUCUUAAAGAAUCUUACGGUGACAGCUAACUGAACGACUCGGUUUCAGAAGUGCUGAAAAGUUUCGACGUAAACUACAAUUUGCCUAGCAUGUAAUUUCCAUGCAUUUUCUCGUUACGAGUAGGUUUGUCCGGAAGUACAAUUCAAAAUAGAGUGCUGUUAAAAAAAAUUGAGUUACUUAUUCAAUAACUUUUUUGAUAUUUAUAUAUUUUUAAUUAUAAUAAAGAUACUAGUGAUUAUGGUUAGCUUUUGGAGUACUUUUGGAGUACUUGGAAAUUUUCUUUUCGAGAAAAACGAGAGUACCUAUUUCAAUUUUUUACCAAAAAUUAUAAUUGAAAACAACGGACUUUUAUACUUAUCAUAACAAUUUUUAACAUCUUGUUUAGAAAUAACCUGUUGUUGUAUUAUGCAAAAGUAAUAUCACUAGUUUCUAUAUCCGUAUUCUAAUGAUAAUAAAAACAUCUCUAAUUCAUUAAAACUCUUACAUAGAAAUUGAUAAAAAAAGAAGAUAUAAAAUAAUUUAUUAAAAAUAUAUCAAAGUUUUUGCACUCGGUUAUAAUUAUUGUGUAAUUUUUUUUUUCAAUUCCAAGAUAUUGUUAUAAGAAAAUUUUACAUCAUAUAUAUAUUACAAAAAAAAUUAAUGUAUUAUAUAUAUAUAGGGUCCUACUCUGGUACAAACCUUUUUAGCGUACAAACUACAAACCAAAAUUAAAAAGUCUCUAAAUCAAAUCAGAAUAUAGCACAUAUGGUAUGGAAAUUGAUCGUUGCGAGAUGAACAAAAAUAAUGAUUAUAAAGUUUGUAUUUGAGCCAUUAUAUAUAUACUUACAAUAAAAGUAAUAAUAUAUUAUAUUCUAAAUAUAGUUAACCACUGCAGUUGGUCGCUUAUAAAUAGAAGUGUGCAUUAUAGGAUGAAACGUACAUCAAGCUGAGGAGAAACAUGGUACACUCUGCAAAGCUAUAUCAUCUUCUUUUACUUGUUUUCUUUUCCUCCUUACUUCCAUCCAUUCUAUUGGCAACAAGACGAGAAGGAGAAGCUCUUGUGAAAUGGAAGAAUAGCCUAGCCCCGUCUUCUUUUCUUGAUUCUUGGUCACUCUCCGAUCUCGAUAAUCUUUGCAACUGGACUGGCAUUACUUGUAACUCUGCAAGUUCAGUGUCUCAGAUAAAUCUUUCCCAAAAACAGCUCGAUGGAACGCUGUCCGAAUUUGGUUUCACUUCAUUUCCGAAUCUCGAAAAUUUGACUAUAAGAGACAACAGCUUCUCCGGGCUAAUACCACCAGGCAUUGCGAAUUUAACACAGCUUCAAUACCUUGAUUUAAGCUACAAUUAUUUCAGUGGUUCCAUUCCGUACGAGGUUAGCCAUCUUCAGAGAUUACGUGUUUUAGACUUGUCGUAUAAUGAAAUGCAGGCUCCAAAGUGGUCUGACUUCUCUCCCAUGCCUUUUAUGAGCAUCCUCAACCUACGGGCCAAUCAUCUUGUGUCGAAAUUCCCAGAAUUUAUAUCCAAUUCUUUUAGCCUGACUUUCCUUGACCUUGGAGACAACAAGUUCACCGCUGAUCAUCUUGUGCUCGAAUCAGAAUUUACCAAUUUGCAAAAUCUUGAAACGCUGUUUCUUGAUGGUAAUUCUUUUGAGGGGACGUUUCCACCGAAUAUAUUCAGGCUUUCUAAAUUAAAAUACCUUUCCCUAUCUGCUAAUAAGUUUUCAGGUUCUGUGCCGGAUGACAUAGGGAUGCUUCGUGAUCUUGAAUCCCUUUAUCUUGGUAACAAUUCUUUCAAAGGGAUGCUUCCACAAAAUAUUUUCAGACUUCCCAAAUUACGGGAUCUUUCCCUCUGGGGUAACAAUUUUUCAGGUCUUAUUUCAGAUGAUAUAAGGAUGCUUUCUAACCUGGAAUCUCUUGAUCUUAAUGGUAAUUCUUUUCAGGGUCCGCUUCCACCAAAUUUCUUCAAGCUUUCCAAAUUAAGACAUCUCGCCCUCUCAAAUAAUAAAAGAGUAUUUAAAGGAAGUAUUCCUCUUGGGUUGGGGCUUUUGACUAACCUUGACUACUUAUGUCUUAAUUCCAAUUAUCUCACUGGCUACAUUCCAUCUGACAUUGGAAAUCUAAAGCUACUAGAACAUCUUGAUCUCAGUUUUAAUCAAUUGACCGGACCGCUCCCAAAGAUCAUUUCUAACCUCACUAAUCUAACGCGUCUUGGUCUGAAUGAUAAUUGGUUUUCCGGCAGUAUUCCAAGUGACUUCUUGGAAAACUCUACAUUAUUAUUUUACAUUGAUCUUUCAAACAAUGAUCUGUCUGGAAGCAUUCCUAAGGAAUUCAACGUUCAUCCGACAUUGGAUUAUAUCAAUUUAAGUGGAAACCGUUUUAGAGGUCUACUUCUCUCUUUAAAUUUUUAUGUUCGUUUUGUAUAUGCUAGUAACCUGAUUAUUACACUUUUACUGAAGCUUCAACAAUUCUAACUGCAGGCAAGCUUCCAGCAACGAUUUGCAAUGCUACAUCCCUUUCGACUCUUGUUCUGUCAAAUAAUGAAUUCAGCAAUGCACUUCCACAUUGUUUGGGGAAUCUUGCUGAUCAACUUCUUUCCAUUAAUCUUGCUAAUAAUUUGUUUCGAGGACCAAUACCAACAACUUUCUCUAAGAGUUGUCGGCUGACAUAUCUAAACAUGUACAACAAUCACUUUGAAGGGUUGUUGCCGCAAUCUCUGGCAAACUGUAAGCACCUACAAAUUCUUGAUAUUGGAAACAAUGAAAUAGGUGGUAAAUUCCCGUCAUGGCUGUUUACUCUUGGAGAGCUGGAAGUCCUAGUCUUGCGAUCAAAUAGAUUCCACGGUCCAGUCAAUGGAACAAGCUCAGCAAAUUUAUUCCCCAAGUUGCGGAUUGUUGAUCUCUCCAACAAUCAAUUUACAGGCGAUUUACCAAUUCAGUAUUUUAAGAAUAUGAAACCAACAGAUAACCACUAUAGUUAUUUUUAUACAGAAAGUGGUUUUUACUAUCAUCAAGCAUCGAUCUCAUUAACUGUGAAAGGAAGAGAGUAUGAAGUGAAAAAGAUCCUUCAUAUUUAUACAGCCAUAGAUGUGUCAUGCAACAAAUUUCAGGGAGAAAUUCCCGAGGUUAUUGGAGAACUUAAAUGGCUUGCAUUGCUCAAUCUAUCACAUAAUAGUCUUAUUGGACCUAUCCCAUCACAGCUCGGAAAUAUGGAAUCACUUUUAUCUCUAGAUUUGUCUUCAAAUCAUUUGACAGGGGGUAUUCCCGAUCAGUUGAUUAGGUUGACAUUUCUAGAGGUCUUGAACCUCUCGGAAAAUCAUCUGACAGGGCCUAUCCCCCAAAAAGGACAGUUCAGCACAUUCAACAAGGAUUCUUACCUAGGUAACUUUGCCUUGUGUGGAUUACCUUUAACUAAUAACUGUACACACACUGUGUCACCACCACAAGAAGGCGGAACUGGUGACAAUGAUGCCUAUGAUGAACCCGAUUGGGAAGUGAUCCUCAUGGGAUAUGGAUGUGGACUAAUAUGCGGAUUGUCCACAGGGUACGUUGUCUUCACAUUCAGAAAGCCUCAGUGGUUUAUGAGAUACACUGAAAGCGUGCAACAGAAGUUGAUGAGAUGAUGCAUGUUGAGUACCGUUCAAUCAUGAAGCACAACUGGAAACAAUGUUAUCUUAGGAAAACAUGUGUUCUGAACCAGUAGUGUUUGCACAAAAUUUGUGGUGCUAUGUAAUACUUAUAUAAUUGUACGUAUGAUUAUUGAUUAGUCGUUGAGAAAAUGCAUUUUAUUUCAGUGUCAAUGAUAAUCUACAUGUUUUGGAUACUUCCAGCUUCUCAUACUAAUAUAGGAACCACUUGAAAAAUUUUGGACAGGCUCUGAGGAUGCUAAUGCUGCUGUUUAGUUUCUACCGCGGAAUUGACUUUAGCAUAUACUCGUAUGACAUAUUACUAGAUAUAUGGUUGUUAAAUAAAAUUAUCUUUUUGUGGAAUAAAUAGGAAAGCAAAAUCAUAGAAUAAUGUAUGUUAUAUAGGAAGGUAUUGUCCUCUUAGAUAGGUAUCAUUUAUGCCUCAUUGGCAUGUCUCAGAAAACUUUUGGGUUAACACAAUGUUUACUUAGAGCAUUGCCAUUCCUUAAAUAUAAUAUAAAAUAUUGGAUCUUAGUGACUUAAGAUGAUAAUAGCUAUUCGCACCUCCAACAAUAUUCCUUAUAUUCAUUCCUUAUAUACUAUUUUAUUAUUAAAAGUUACCAUUAUUGCAAUAGGUGAAAAGAGAGAACAUGUUUGUAUUCAAAAUUUAUUGUAAAAUAAUAUUUAGGAGAGGAGAGAGGUUACCUAAAGAUAAGGCAUGGCUAGUUAUUUAGAGAAUCACUAGGAUACUGUUGGAGUGGAUUAUUUUCCCAUAUUACUCAUAUUUUGGUUUAAGAUUCCUAAUAGGGAAGCUGCUGGAGUUGCUCUUAGAGCAUCUCCAAGAGAUUCUUCAUUUAAGCUCCUAACUUGAGAUUUGAGUAGGGAGAGGAAAAAUGUUGCUCCAAGAGACUCUUAAGUGGCUCUUAAAUCACUAAGAGCCUCUUGUUUCUCUCUCCUCUCUCCUCAAAGUUAAGAGCCACCACAUUGCUCCUAACUUAUUUUUUCACAAUAAAAAAAUCUUUUCCUCCAAUUCAGCUCCAUCUUUCCAUCUCUUUUGUUAUAGUGGAGCCCAAUAUAUGAAUAAAAUAUGAAAUAGAGAAGAGAUGUAGAGAGUAUUGUUGGAGUUUACACUCUUAACUUUGUCUUAAAUUGCUAAGAGCUAUUUUUUUAUAUUAUAUUUAGGAGCCAAUAAGGAGGCUCUUGGAGAUGCUUUUAGUACUAAUUGUUAGAAUAUGAAAAUGCAGUUAUGAACUAUUAUGCUAGAGAGAGAAAAAUUCAACAAACUUCAUUUCUGUAAACUACAACUAUUAGUCUGUUACAUUGCUGAAAGCUACAUUUAUACAUUUACAGUUUACAACAAACUAUGAAACUGAUUUUCCCGCGUCCUCCUCACUUGUCCACGUGGCCUGACUGGCUUGGUGUCCUUGACACUCUUUAUUAUUGCUAAUAUAUACUUAACACUAAUACCUCAAAGCAGGGUAUAAAUUCAAUAGCACAGCUUCUGGAUAAUGGAAAUUUAGUUAUCCAGAGGUCUUGGUUUUACAUAUCACUUGUAUAUUAUGUCUCGGUCUCAUUGAAGCAUACCAAACGAGAUUUUGGGUUUGUUAAUAUUUUUUUAGUCCAAAUUUGAAUAAUACUGUUAUGCUUAUUCACACGGUAGACGUGUUUUUAUUAAAAUACUGCAACUGAAAUUGAUGAAAACAUGCACAAAGCAUAGCAGACGAAAGACUUGAGGAGAUAUUGUCUUAGGCGAUGCAAUACGUUCUAAUAUAAUGCUAUAUUAUGCAAUCUCGUUUAAUACUUUCAUCAUUAUUCUCCAAGAUGUCUGAACAUGUAUUUUCAAAGAAUUCUCAGUUCACCUUUAGUCUUAUAGCGACAUUUUGAAGGCACUCUCAACUUACACCCUAUAUAUACACGUACGGUUCACUUCAGUACAAAGAUUUUAUGAUACAACUCUCAUAUUAUGAACUAGUUCUGUCGAAUACAUGAAUAUUGAUCAAUCAUUUGAACUCGAGUUUCCCAGCUGGCCAGAUACCCAGAUUAUUAGCCAUGCAAAACAUGCAGAACCACUAGUAAUGCAGAAAAACAAUAUAUUAGUUUUCUCCGGUGUUACAGAAAUCAGGAAUCGGACCUAAUCGGUUUAGCUACCGAUUUAGGGAUUAAUAGGAAAUAGGGGAUUAAUCGGAGUGAAAAUCGGAUUUAUUUUAAUAUUAAAAUAUUAUUUAAUAUUUAGUUAUUAUUAUAUUAGCUAUUUAGUAACUAAUAUAUUUACUAUAUUCAUAAACUCUAUAAUUAUUCGUAUUGAAAGUAAUAUAGUAUUUUAAUUUUAAUAAUUUACUAUAUAUACUUCGAUUAAGAAAUAUAUAUAUAAGGAUUAAUCGGAUUUCAAAAAUCGAAUCGGUGGCCAACCUUGCAGAGGAUUAAUCGGGGAUUAAUUGGUUGAAUCGGGGAUGUUUAGAACACUGGUUUUCUCCAAAUAUCACUACAACAAAACUGCCAUUUUACGACGGAAAUCUAAUAUUCUAAAGGGUUACGACCAAACUAUGUCGGUGGACUUUAUUUUAAUUUACCGUUUAACAGUAGUUAAUUUUGGAUAUCUACACUUGCGAUGGAAAACAUACGACAGUCUACUUCGUGAGAGAAAAUCAUUUUAUUUUAUUUUUUAGCGCCAGAAUUUUAAUACUGAAAUAUUAUAUAUAUGAAGGAAACUGAUCUCUAAUGUUUUCAGCUUGCUCAUCCAUCGUAAGUAAUCCGUCGAAAAAGUUAGUUUGUUGUGGUGGUGUCUUAUCAUGAGAGAAAAUGAUAAUAUCGCAAAAUAUUUGCAACUGAAAGAUAAAUUAUAAUUCUAGAAACCAUUUAGGUAACGAUGCACGAAGUUAUUUUCACUCACUUAGAAUUAAUGNUGAAAACAUGCACAAAGCAUAGCAGACGAAAGACUUGAGGAGAUAUUGUCUUAGGCGAUGCAAUACGUUCUAAUAUAAUGCUAUAUUAUGCAAUCUCGUUUAAUACUUUCAUCAUUAUUCUCCAAGAUGUCUGAACAUGUAUUUUCAAAGAAUUCUCAGUUCACCUUUAGUCUUAUAGCGACAUUUUGAAGGCACUCUCAACUUACACCCUAUAUAUACACGUACGGUUCACUUCAGUACAAAGAUUUUAUGAUACAACUCUCAUAUUAUGAACUAGUUCUGUCGAAUACAUGAAUAUUGAUCAAUCAUUUGAACUCGAGUUUCCCAGCUGGCCAGAUACCCAGAUUAUUAGCCAUGCAAAACAUGCAGAACCACUAGUAAUGCAGAAAAACAAUAUAUUAGUUUUCUCCGGUGUUACAGAAAUCAGGAAUCGGACCUAAUCGGUUUAGCUACCGAUUUAGGGAUUAAUAGGAAAUAGGGGAUUAAUCGGAGUGAAAAUCGGAUUUAUUUUAAUAUUAAAAUAUUAUUUAAUAUUUAGUUAUUAUUAUAUUAGCUAUUUAGUAACUAAUAUAUUUACUAUAUUCAUAAACUCUAUAAUUAUUCGUAUUGAAAGUAAUAUAGUAUUUUAAUUUUAAUAAUUUACUAUAUAUACUUCGAUUAAGAAAUAUAUAUAUAAGGAUUAAUCGGAUUUCAAAAAUCGAAUCGGUGGCCAACCUUGCAGAGGAUUAAUCGGGGAUUAAUUGGUUGAAUCGGGGAUGUUUAGAACACUGGUUUUCUCCAAAUAUCACUACAACAAAACUGCCAUUUUACGACGGAAAUCUAAUAUUCUAAAGGGUUACGACCAAACUAUGUCGGUGGACUUUAUUUUAAUUUACCGUUUAACAGUAGUUAAUUUUGGAUAUCUACACUUGCGAUGGAAAACAUACGACAGUCUACUUCGUGAGAGAAAAUCAUUUUAUUUUAUUUUUUAGCGCCAGAAUUUUAAUACUGAAAUAUUAUAUAUAUGAAGGAAACUGAUCUCUAAUGUUUUCAGUUUGCUCAUCCAUCGUAAGUAAUCCGUCGAAAAAGUUAGUUUGUUGUGGUGGUGUCUUAUCAUGAGAGAAAAUGAUAAUAUCGCAAAAUAUUUGCAACUGAAAGAUAAAUUAUAAUUCUAGAAACCAUUUUGGUAACGAUGCACGAAGUUAUUUUCACUCACUUAGAAUUAAUGCUAAAUAUUUGCAACUGAAAGAUAAAUUAUAAUUCUAGAAACCAUUUAGGUAACGAUGAGCGGAGUUAUUUUCACUCACUUAGAAUUAAUGAUAAAUAUUUGCAACUGAAAGAUACAUCAUAGUUCUAGAAAAGGAUCCACGAAGUUAUUUUCACUCACUUAGAAUUAAUUGUAAGUUAUUGUGAGUUUUUGAAUAUGAAUUAUCUCAAAUUUUAUUAAAACACAUGUUGAUUCUUAUAUACAAAUUUGCCUAUCUAAUAUUAUAAUAUUUAUGGAGAAGGUGUAUGAACAAUUGUGUAGAUAAUUAUACUUUACAAAGCAUACUUCUGCUAGCUGAAUUUUGAUUAAAAAAAUCGAAAGGGAUAGGUCUGGGUCUCUCCAAGUCUUUGAGGACUCAUUCCAAGUCUUCUGAUGAGGACAAAAUAUAUUGCUGGAAGUCUUUCAGUCCUUCCUAGAGUAUUUUGUGCUCUGCACUGCAUUAUGCAGCUCUCAUAUAACUGACCGCUAACCUCCUUCCAACACUUUGCGAUGCAAAACAGUGGCAUGUUAUAAGUAUUUCCGUAUGUGUAUUUAUUUGGAUAUUAAAGUUGCGUAACAUUUGUGUUGAUAAUUUGCGCAAUGUUGAUGAGGAUUGCUCCCAAGUCUUGGCGGACUCUUUCCAAAUCUUCUGAGGACCUAUGGGUUCAAAUUAGUCCAUUAAAAUGAAUACCAUUGUUUUGUGAUUAAGUUGUAUGGUUAAGAGCUUAUCCUCUGUCGUCCCAGGUCCUGGGUUCGACCCUGGCUCACCCCGAGAGUUUCGUAGAACAGAUACUCAUUAUAAGGCUAUAAGCCAUAUUUGUCAAAAAAAAAGUUGUAUAGGCAAUAUGCAUUGCAAAAUCAGCAACAGAAUAUAUACUAAUUAAUUACCUGAUAUCGGUUUGAACAAAUACUUUCUAUGUAGUUGUAAUAUUAGUCUUCUUUAAAAGUUAUCAUGAGGGAAGAUAUAUAUUGUGAUGCGGGGGAAAUAUUGUAACCGAAAAUAAUUAUAAUUCUAAAAAUUUCCAUUAUACACUUUUUUUAGUGUUCGUACGUGGUAAGUACUUCAGACGACAUUUCUCGCGUAUGCCUCCAAUUAAGAAUUUGAUGUUCAGCCUAGUCCUAAACUAAAAUUAUUAUAAAUGUGUAAUUCAAAAUUAUAUUGCUGGUAGGCUCUGAGAUUAACCUUAAACAAAAACAACUCAGUGGAACGCUUUCCGAGUUUGGUUUCACUUCAUUUCCAAAUCUCAACAAUCUCAACAUAGCACGAAACAACUUUUACGGUCCAAUACCACCAGCCAUUAAGAAUUCUAUUUUAAUAUGUAACAUUCUAUUUUCUAAAAUAAUAAAUAUUUUUUUUAAUAGUUGGUCAAAAAUUAGUCAAUUUGACUUCUCAAAAAGCAGAAAGGACAUGUAAAUUGAGACGGGGGAGUAUUUAACGGAAUUCAACGAAAGGUGUGCGUAUCGUUCUUGAAAUGUAAAAAUAGGUGGUGCAAUUCGAGUUUCCAAACCUAUGGGUACAAUAUCGUUUUUAAACGUAAGCUAGGGGGUCCAAAUUACAAUUACAUGUAUAUAUAGUGACUUAACGGAGUGCAUAUAGUUAACGGAAGUUAACGGCAGGGAGUGCAUCUCGGGCUUGAAUAGUAAAGAUAAAAGGUGCGAGUUGAGUUUCUCAAAGUAUGAGUACAAUAUCGUUUUUGAAUGAUAGUUAAGGGGUGCGAUAUGCAAUUACCUCAAAAAAAUAUGAUCAUUAGUAUAUUAUAUUAGUAUCCACACACUUAUAUCUCAAAAUCUAUCCUCCAAAAUUAUCAUCUAUAUAGGCUAGCCACAUAAAAUAAAAAUUUAAAGAUAUUAGAUAUUUAGUUAUUUCAAUUAUAUAAUUUUUCCACGCAAAAUAACAAAAUAUCUUUAUCAACUUAUUAUUUAUGAGUUAAAUAUUCAACUUAUAUAAUUCGGGCAUGCUGGGUAUAAAUAGAAGUGUAACGCCUAAUUUCCGGGGUCUGGGAGUAGUUAGCGGGGUAUGAGAGAGCAGGCUAUUUAGAAGUCUUGGUCAUGAAAACUUCCAAGCUAACUUCGACAACGGAAUCUUCUGAGGCUACUAUUCUAAAGCACGCAUAAUCAUUGUAUUCAUUUUCCUCUAACACUGGCAAAAAGUCUAUUUAAGCAAAUGAAAUACAAACAACUGAGUGGAAUGCUGACCGAAAGUCUUUUUGGCUGAGCUUAUGAUUUAUUAGUACAUGAUUAAUAUGAUAAGCUAAGCUGAGAGCAUAAGAUAUCGUGUGUAUAAUUUUGUGUUUAUUAAUGACUUAUAAAUUAUUAAAAAUAUAAUAAGAAAAAUAAAAAUGAUUUAUAACUAAUUUAUGUUUUAUGAGUAAUUUUUAUUAGAAAAAAGUUUUAAAAAAUUAUUUCACUGAAAAAAAAUCCUCCAACUAACUUUUGGCUCUAAGUCAGUUUUUGAUUUAUUUAUGAUUUUAAGUCGGAUUCUGAUUUUUACACAAACAGAAAAUUUCCAGCUUAAAGUUAAAAACAACUUUAAGCUCCGGUUUUAAACCUCUGAGUUUGGUUUCACUUCAUUUACAAAUCUCAACAAUUUCACCAUCAAACACAAUGACUUCUCCAAUCUCCGGUCCAGUUCACCAGCCAUUGAGAAUUUGGCACAACUUCAAUUCCAUACCAGGUUAGUCGGCUUCGGAGGUUACACGCCUUAGACCUGUCAAAUACAAAUUUCAAUCUCCAAACUGGUCCGAUUUAUCUUCUAUGCAUUUUGUUGAGUCCGGCUCAUCUAAAACCUGAAGGUGUUAGAAGAAACCCGAAUGAAUCUUAUAUAUGAAUCUUAUAUAUGCUAUAUUUAAACAAUUCUGAGCACACUCAACCUUGGUAUUAAUAAUAUCGUGUCGAUAAUUCCAGAAUUUAUAUCUAAUUCUCAUAGCCUAACUUUCCUUGACCUUUCCAUAUAACAAAUUUACAGUUAAUCCUGUGCUUGAAUCAGUAUUUGCAACCAAAAUUAUGCAAUUAUAGUGCAGGUAGUCUUCCAGUUCUUCCUACUCUAUGCUAUAAUUUCAUUUGAUACCAAUAAUUUUACGCUCUACACUCCAGGAUGAGCUCGCAUAUUAUUGACAGCAAUAAUCCUUCCAACACUUUGUGAUGCAAAGCAGGGGGGCGCCUGUAUUUUCAUAUGUCUAUAUUAUUGGAGAUUAAAGUUGUGUGGACAAUUGUGUUGAUAAUUUGCCCAAUGUUAACAGGGAUAGGUUGGCUUAAAAAUAUAUAAGGUCACUUGUGCAUCGCUGUUCACACACUUAGACCCUGUUUGUGUAAGCUUUAAGUCCGGGCUCAAGCAAUUUCGACUUAAUCACUUCCGAGGACCAAUACCAACAGCCUUCUCAAAGAGUUGCCAGCUAAGAUAUCUAAACAUGUAUGACAAUCAGUUAGAAGGACUAUUGCCCCGAUCUUUGUCAAACUGUAAGCACUUAAAAAUUCUUGACAUCGGGAACAAUAAAAUGGGUGGUACAUUCCCUUCAUGGCUAUUUAAUCUCGGAGAGCUAGAAAUCCUAGUCUUGCGAUCAAAUAGACUGUACGGUCCUGUAAGUGGAAGGAGCACAUCACAUCCAUUCCCCAAGUUGCGGAUUCUAGAUCUCUCCAACAAACAAUUCGCGGGCUAUUUGCCAAUUCUAAACUUUAAGAAUAUGAAACCAGCUGCUGAUGAUAACGCGUAUAGUUAUAAAAAUAAGUCACAAGGACUAAUUAAUUACAUCUAUGAAGCAUCUAUCUCCUUAAAUGUGAAAGGAACAGAGUAUGAAGUGAAGAACAUUCUUCAUAUUUACACAGCCAUUGAUCUAUCGUGCAACAAAUUUCACGGAGAAGUUCCAAAGAGAGCUUAAAUGGCUUGCAUUGCUCAAUCUAUCUCAUAAUAGUCUUGCCGGACAUAUGUUCUGAAUUAUUAUUAUGCUUUCAUCAAUAUUUUCAAACAUUUCUCAAUAUGUAUUUCAAAGAAUUCUCAAGCCCUGGAACAUUUGGACCGGUCCUUUCGAAGCCAAGAUGCCCAGGUUAUCAUGGCCAUGCACAAAAAUGAAUAAAUUAUUCCAAGUCUUCCAUGACUCAUUCCAAGUCUUCGGAGGAGACCCUGAGCACAAAGAUGCUCAGGGUCUCCCCAAGCCUUCCAGGACUCAUUCCAAGUCUUCGGAGCACGGCCUCGACUCGCCCUUUCAAAGAUGUGAUAGUAGCUCGAGAGUGAUAUAAAUUAUUUUCCGGACACUAAAAAUAAAUAAUCAGAUCAAAUUAAUCAAUAAUAAAUUAAGGAUGAAAUCCAAAUUAAUCCUAAAUUUUGAUAAUAUAUAAAAAUUAUAAUUAUAAAUUAUAUAACCAAAUCAGAAUUGAAUUAACUUCCUUGGCACUAAAUUGAUAAGGAAAGUAUAAUAAUUUAAAUUUAAUUGAUGAAAAGUCAAAGUCUUCUAAUAAAUCCAUAAAGAAUAUGAUAAUCAAAAUAACGAAAAUUAUAAUUGAAAAAUCAAAAUCAUUAGUGUAUUGGAAUAGUGUUCACACACUUAUAUAUCAAAAUUUGUGGUCCAAAAACUAUAGCACAAUAUCCUAAAUACACCACAUUAAAUAUUAGUUCAAAAAUAUUCUGUAAAUAAUUGUUUUCAUUCAUCAUUUUGUUAUUUAAAAAACUAAUAAUUUGGGUUGAUGUUAACCUAUAUUUUAAUAUAUAAUUAUAUUAUUUUCGUAUUAUUUUAUUUAACUAGAAACAAUAUUUUUAUCAGACAUCAAUUAUAUUAAAAGAUAUAAUUUUAUUAAAAAAAAUUGAAUUAAAUUAAUAGGAUAACUCUACGCCUCACCAAGUCUACAAGACUCAUUUCAAGUCUACCAAGGACCACUACCUCGGUCCUCAACCAUUGGGAGAUGUGAAAGUAGCUUGAGAGUGACAAAAAUUAUUUUCCUCACAAUAAAAUUUAAUAUCUGAUAUAAAUUAAUUAAAUUAGUUAAUAAUAAAUUAAAACUAAUCAUGAAUUAUGAUAAUAAUUAAAUAAAUUAUAAUUAAAUUAUAUAAAUCAACUCCAAAUGAUACAAAUGACACUAAACCUUAGUUACUUUAUUGGUAAAUAAAUAUAAUAUAAUAAUCAAAUUGAUGAAAAAUCAAAAUCAUCUAAUAAAUUCAUAAAAAAUAUAUGAUCAUUAAUAUAUAUUAUAUUAGUAUCCACACACUUAUAUUUCAAAAUCUAUCCUCCAAACUUAUCAUCUCUGUAAACUAGCCACAUAAAAUAAAAAUUUAAAGAUAUUAGAUAUUUAGUUAUUUUCAUUAUAUAAUUUUUCCACACUAAACAACAAAAUAUCUUUAUCAAAUUAGUAUUUAUGAGUUAAAUAUUCAAGUUAUAAAUCCAGCAUGCAGCGUAUAAAUAGGAGAAACAUGGCACACUCUGCAAAGCCUUCUCACCUUCUUCUCUUUGUUUUCUUUCUCUCAUCACUUGAAUCCAUUCUUGCAACAACACGAGAAGGAGAAGCUCUUGUGAAAUGGAAGAAUAGCCUAGCCCCGUCUUCUUUUCUUGAUUCUUGGUCACUCACUCAUCUCGAUAAUCUUUGUAACUGGACUGGCAUUACUUGUAACUCUGCAGGUUCAGUCUCUGAGAUUUACCUUUAUGAGAAACAACUUGAUGGAAUGUUGUCGGAGUUUGGUUUCACUUCAUUUCCAAAUCUCAACAAUCUCACCCUCGCAUACAACUUCUUCUCCGGUCCAAUACCACCAGCCAUUGAGAAUUUAACACAGCUUCAAUAUCUUGAUUUGAGAAAUAAUUAUCUAGAUGGUCCCAUUCCUUUCCAGGUUAGCCAUCUUCAGAGCUUGCUCAUCUUAAACCUGUCAGAGAAUGCAUUGCAAGCUCCAAAUUGGUCCCAUUUCUCUCCCAUGCCUUUUUUGCGCAUCCUCAACCUCAGUCACAAUCCUCUUGCGUCGAAAUUCCCAGAUUUUAUAUCCAAUUCUCAUAGCCUGACUCACCUUAGCCUUAAUUAUAACGAGUUUACUGGUGAUUUAGCACGUGAAUCAAUAUUUGCCAAUCUGCAUAAUCUUGAAGUCCUCAGUCUUAAUGGCAAUUCUUUUGAGGGGCCAUUUCCACCAGAUAUAUUCAAGCUUUCAAGAUUAAAACGUCUCUUCCUGGCAGUUAACAAAUUUUCAGGUUCAAUUCCCAAUGACAUAAGGUUACUUUGUGAUCUUGAAUACCUAUAUUUAGGCAACAAUUCUUUUGAAGGACCGCUUCCACCAAAUUUAUUCAAGCUUUCGAAAUUAAAGCGUCUUUUUCUUUGGAGUAAUAAGUUUACAGGUUCUAUUUCCAAUGAUAUAGGUUUGCUUUCUGAACUUGAAACCCUCAAUCUUCAAUUUAAUUUUUUUGAGGGGCCGCUUCCCCCACAUAUAUUUAGGCUCUCUAAGUUAACAGGUCUAGAACUCGGAGACAAUAGAAAUUUAUUUGAAGGAAGUAAUAUUCCUAUCGGACUGGGACUCUUGACUAACCUCAGGUACUUAGAUUUACAUUUCAGUAAUCUCAGUGGCUAUAUUCCAUCUGACAUUGGAAACCUGAAGCUACUAGUACUUCUUAGUCUCGGUUCUAAUCAAUUGACUGGACCGCUUUCAAAGAUCGUUUCUAAUCUCACAAAUCUUAUAUUCCUUGAUGUAAGUGAUAAUAGUCUUAGUGGAAAUAUUCAGAGUGACUUGUGGAAAUAUAACCAUCAUCCUACUUUGGAAUACAUCGAUUUUAGUGGGAACCAUUUUACAGGUAUAUUUUUUCUCUAUAGAUCUUUUCCUUUUGUCAUAUGUAACUAAGCUAGUAAUCUGAUUAUUGCAGUUUUACCGAAGUUUCAACAAUCUUGACAGGUGAGCUUCCAACAACAAUUUGCAAUGUCACUUCCCUUUCGGUUCUUGAUUUGUCAAAUAAUGAAUUAAGUGGUGCACUUCCAAACUGUUUCGGGAAUCUUGCUGAUGGAUUGCUUUACAUUAAUCUUGCUAAUAAUCAGUUUCGAGGAACAAUACCAACUACUUUCUCCAGGAGUUGUCAGCUGACAUAUCUAAACAUGGAUAAUAAUGAGUUUGAAGGAUUGUUGCCCCCAUCUUUGGCGAACUGUAAGCACUUGAAAAUUCUUGAUAUAGGCAAUAAUAAAAUAGGUGGUACAUUUCCGUCAUGGCUUUAUGCACUUGGAGAGCUAGAAGUUCUUGUCUUGCGAUCAAAUAAACUCUAUGGUACAAUAAGUGGAAGGAGCAUAGAAGAUCCCUUCCCCAAGUUGCGGAUUGUGGAUCUGUCCAACAAUCAAUUCACAGGCCAUUUGCCAAUUCAAUACUUUAAGAAUAUGAAAUCAACUGAUAAUUUGUAUCGUUAUCAGAAUUCCACAAAAGUUUUUUCUUUCCAUUAUGAAGCAUCUGUCUCAUUAACUGUGAAGGGAACAGAGUAUGAAGUGAAAAAUAUCCUUCAUAUUUACACAGCCAUUGAUCUGUCCUGCAACAAGUUUCAAGGAGAAAUUCCUGACGUUAUUGGAGAGCUUAGAUGGCUUGCAUUGCUCAACUUAUCUCAUAAUAGUCUAACAGGACCUAUCCCAUCAUUGCUGAGAAAUAUGAAAGGACUCCAAUCUUUAGAUUUGUCUUCAAAUCAACUGACAGGGGCUAUUCCACCUCAGUUAACUGCACUGACAUUUCUAGAGGUCUUAAACCUCUCGGGAAACCAUCUUAGUGGAGGGAUUCCUCAGAAAGGACAGUUCAGCACAUUCAACAAUGAUUCUUAUCUAGGAAACUCAGCGUUAUGUGGAUCACCAUUGACGAAGAAAUGUGCAAACACAGCAUCACCUCCACAAGAAGUCGGAAAUGUUGAUGAAGAUGAUGCGGGUGAUGAAUUGACAUGGGAAGCAAUCUUGAUGGGAUAUGGAUGUGGACUGAUAUGUGGAUUGUCAUCUGCGUACAUUGUUCUCAAACUAGGAAAGCCUUGGUGGUUUGUGAGAUAUAUCGAAGUACUGCAAUUGAAGUUGAUGAAAAGAUAUGCAUGAAGAAUGGUACUAGCCGAUCAAGAUGAACUCGAAAGUUGUGGUCCUUGUGGACAUUUCUGAACCAGUAGUGUUCUAUUCUCUUUGUGGCUGCAUAAGUAUUUGGUAUUGUGUAAUGUUCUGUUUGGUCUUGAAUCAUAAUAAUUUUUCUUUCUUCAGGGGUAUUUAUAAUAUAAACCUUGGUAUUGUGUACUAGCUGUAAUAUUCUGUUUGAUCAAUGUUUAUACCAGUAAUUUUAUGCUCCGCACUGCAUCAUGCAGCUCUCAUAUUAUCUUCAUAUGUGUAUUUAUUUGGAUAUUAAAAACAUAUGGGAUAUGUGUUAACAGGGACAGCUCCCAAGUCUUGGAUAGACUCUUUCCAAGUCUUCCGAGGUCCUAUAGGUUUAAAUUAGUCCAUUAUCUGCAUACUAAUUUGUCCAACUGAAAAAUCAAGGAUAUUAUGUAUUAACUGUUUUAAUAACAAUUUACAAGUAUAAAUUUCAUAUAUUUUUUCAUAGAAUAUAAAUUAGUUGACGUACUAAAAUCACUAGUCAAAUUAAUUUAAAUAAAUAUAUUGAAAAGAUGAUAAUAAAAUUAUGGUAAUUUAUCACUACAACAAUUCUGGACAUUAAUUAUAUGUAUACUUAAAUAUAUUGAAAAGAUGAUAAUAUAGUAGAAUACAAAUGGUUAUGAUUCCGUAGUAACUACACCGUCGUAAGUUCACAUAAUUAUAUAAUUAUAGUUAUUUGAAAACGAAAAAUAAAUGAGAAAAUAUAUAGUGACCAAAUAUGAAUCAAUCUAAAAUUUUCAUUAUGGAGAUCGUAAGAAACGUGAUGAAGAACUGGAAUGAGAAUUCCUUACAAAACAUUUGGGUUAUAUUAUCAAUGAUGAAUGUUGUAUAUUAUACCUAUGAUUUCAAGUCUCAUACAAAAUUAUAUUGCUCAUAGUCUUUCGAUCAGUUCUUACUAGUGUAUGCAAUAGUUUCUCAUUCCAUACCAGUUAUUUUAUGCUCUGCACUGCCUUAUGCGCGCAGCUAUCAUAUUACUGACAGCUAACCUCCUUCCAACACUUUGCCAUGCGAAGCCUGAAGAUUAAAGUUAACAGGGAUAGGUCUUCUUCUCUCCCAAGUCUUGGACGGACUCUUUCCAAGUCUUCUGAGGACCCAUCGGCUCAGAUCCGUCCAUUAAAAAUUUAUUAUUGAUUACUUAUUAUUAUUGAUUGAUCUAAGAUUCCAAAGACAUGUUCCCGUAAUUUUCAGACUUAGCCAGUUGGUGUGGGCAGAAGUUUUAGAAAUAGUAGAUUAUGGGGAUUUUAUUUAUUCUAACCAAUUUUGAGUUAUUUAUUUUCUUCAAAAAAAUCAAUACUUAUUUUUUAUUGUUAUGCGGAAUUCCAAUAAAUAUUAAAAUAUAUAAUUUUGAUUAUUAUCAUAAAUUUAUUUAUUCAAUAAAUAUUAUUAUACUAUUAUGGAAACAUUUUAUUUUGUAAUGUAUAGUACACCCUUAUCCCACCAACAAAACUACAUCACAAACAAAUUAUAUCAUAUUUAAUUUAAUAAACUCAAAUAAUUUAAUUUAUGUAACAACUCUAUAAAAUUAGAGUGAUUGAUACUUUGCACCCCUUAUGUUUAAGCGUUUUUUCAAUUUGGUUUCAAACAAUUUUUUUGGCAGUAUGCACCCCAAAAUUUGAAAAUUGCUUCGCUUUGCACCCUUUUAAUCGCUCUCCGUUUAAUUGAUAUUGACCGUUAAAGACUUAAAGUUGACAGAUAUGGGUUUACAUUUUCAACACCACAAUUUUAAUUUUUUUUCAUGGGUAUUUUGAAAUAUUCAGACGACUGGGAUGAUUCAAGUGUCUUCAUGUUAGACAGUGCGAUAGGUCGGUCGAGGGGUUUUCAGAAACUGGGACCAAAGAUUGGCGCCAUCAGAUUGGAUUUAUAUCAUUGGAAACUCUCUGUACACCUCUAUAGAAACUGGGACCAAAGACAAGAGGGAGAAGCUCUUGUGAAAUGGAAGAAUAGCCUAGCCCCGUCUUCUUCUCUCGACUCUUGGUCCCUCACCAAUCUCGAUAAUCUUUGUAACUGGACUGGCAUUAAUUGUAACUCUGCAGGUUCAGUCUCUGAGAUUAACCUUUGUGAGAAACAACUUGAUGUAAUGCUGUCUGAGUUUGGUUUCACUUCAUUUCCAAAUCUCAACAAUCUCACCCUCGCAGCUAACUACUUCUCCGGUCCAAUACCACCAGCCAUUGAGAAUUUAACACAGCUUCAAUAUCUUGAUUUGAGAAAUAAUUAUCUAGAUGGUCCAUUCCGUUCCAGGUUAGCCAUCUUCAGAGCUUGCUCAUCUUAAACCUGUCACAGAAUGCAUUGCAAGCUCCAAAUUGGUCCGAUUUCUCUCCCAUGCCUUUCUUGCGCAUCCUCAACCUCAGUAGCAAACCUCCUGCGUCGAAAUUCCCAGAUUUUAUAUCCAGUUCUAAUAGCCUGACUCACCUUAGCCUUAAUUAUAACGAGUUUACUGGUGAUUUGGUACGUGAAUCAGUAUUUGCCGAUCUGCAUAAUCUUGAAAAGCUCAGUCUUGUUGGCAAUUCUUUCGAGGGGCCAUUUCCGCCAGAUAUAUUCAGGCUUUCCAAAUUAAAACAUCUUAGCCUGUCAGAUAACAAACUUUCAGGUUCAAUUCCCAAUGACAUAGGGUUGCUUUUUGAUCUUGAAUAC